rnacentral:lncRNA from 1 species
UUUGCAGUAACUGCUAGUUAGUGAUGGAGCAAACUGAGCUGGUCUUCAUCCCAUUUCCUAUCAUCGGCCACCUUACGUCUGCACUGGAGAUUGCAAAGCUGAUUACUCAGCGAGACCCCCGAUUCUCAAUCACGAUCAUCAUCAUGAAGUUUCCGUUUGAGUCCAUUGAUGGUAUGGACACGGACUCUGAUUCCAUACGUUUCGUUACACUUCCUCCUGUAGAGGUCGGCUCCAGUACCACGCCGUCUGGUUUCUUCCUCUCUGAACUCCUCAAAGCUCACAUCCCAGUCGUCAGAGACGCCAUCCACGAGCUCACUCGCUCCAACUCGGUUCGUCUCGCAGGGUUCGUUAUUGAUAUGUUCUGCACCCACAUGAUUGAUGUGGCCAAUGAGUUUGGGGUGCCUUCCUAUCUCUUCUUCACUUCCAGCGCUGCUUUUCUUGGCUUCCUGUUGCAUCUUCAGUUCCUCCAUGAUUAUGAGGGCUUGGAUUUCAAUGAGUUCAAGGACUCGGAUGCUGAGUUGGAUGUUCCGAGUUUCGCGAUCUCAGUUCCGGGUAAGGUCUUCCCUUCUCGGAUGUUUGACAAGGAAAGCGGAGGGGCUGAGAUGCUUCUUUAUUACACGAGGAGAUUCAGAGAAGUCAAGGGUAUUCUGGUAAAUACAUUUAUUGAGCUUGAAUCACAUGCUGUUCGAUCACUUUCUGGCAGUACAGUACCCAAGGUGUAUCCCGUUGGACCCAUACUCAACACCCGAAUGGGAUCUGGUGGGUGUCAACAAGAUGCUAGUGCCAUUAUGAGCUGGCUUGAUGAUCAGCCUCCAUCGUCAGUUGUUUUCCUGUGCUUCGGGAGCAGGGGAAGCUUUGGUGCGGAUCAGAUCAAGGAGAUAGCAUAUGGGCUAGAGCACAGUGGGCAUCGCUUCUUGUGGUCCCUUCGCCAACCUCCCCCAAAGGGUAAAAUGGAUUUUCCAAUCGACUAUGAAAGUAUUGAGGAAGUUCUACCAGAAGGAUUUUUACAUCGGACAGCUAGAAUUGGAAAGGUGAUUGGAUGGGCUCCACAAGUAGCGGUUUUAUCCCACUCAGCUGUUGGAGGAUUUGUAUCUCAUUGUGGAUGGAAUUCUUUGCUAGAAAGCGUAUGGUAUGGUGUUCCAAUAGCCACUUGGCCAAUAUAUGCAGAACAACAAAUCAACGCAUUUCAAAUGGUGAAAGAUUUGGGGUUGGCGAUAGAAAUUAAAAUAGAUUACAAUGAGGAUAGUGAUUAUGUUGUAAGUGCUCAUGAGAUUGAAAAUGGAUUAAGGAACCUAAUGAAUAUUAAUAGUGAAGUGAGGCAGAAGAAGAAAGAAAUGCAAAAAAUAAGUAGAAGAGUCAUGAUAGAUGGUGGCUCUUCACACUUUUCUUUAGGCCAUUUUAUUGAAGACGUGGUGGCCAACAUUCCAUGUCAGAAACAAAGACGGGAUACCUAAUGUAUGAAUUAUUUUAUACUACUAUGAAAGGAAAAGGUGCAUUGUAGGCUCUAAUAAAUUAAUUUAUCAUCUCCUUUAUUUCAAUGCCCAAAUAUUUCUUUGAUGAUGUCAAGAAAUUUGACCUUUCAAACUAGGAAAUGUGUUCUCUCUUUAUUAUUUAGUGAAACAAGUUCACAAGGGCAUGAAUUUAGUCAUAUGUCGAUCUCAUUGAUCAAUGAAUACACAAUUGAGCAUUUUCCUGUAGGAAGCUGGACUAGUAAAAACAUCAACUAUAUAAUUAAAAAUCCAUAAACCCUACUGAAUUUGGUUUGCUGAGAUGAAUAGAUAUAAGAAUUUGUUGAAUUGGAUCACUAUUAGAGACAACCGUCCAUUUGAGAUAUACAUUGAUAGAAAUUUAAUUAAUUUUUGGGCUGUGUUUAUCUUCUUUUCUGCAAGCAUGAUGCUCUAAGAGCAAAUCAAUGUUCUCAAACUAUUUGAUGUGUUGGUAUGGAUUUUAGAAACUAACAUCUCAUCAAUGCAUAUCAAGGCAUCCAAGCAUGUAAGAGAUCAAUAGACUCAAAAUGAUUCUAAUUGGAGCCUUUUUGAAUUAGGAGGUAGCUACAUGAAGAAGGUGAUUGUUAUGGAGAUAAGGAUUUAGAAUUACAAGUUCUUUAGAUUUGAUUGUGAAGAGAGUUGAGAGCAUGUGACUAAUUUUUUUUUUUAAAAGAAAAUUACUAAAAGAUGUGAAAAAAGUCUUUCAAAAAAAUAAAAAUAAAUUUAAACACGAAAAUGAUUAUGUAUACAAUAUUGAAUUAUCAAUUUGUCCUUCCCUUUCGUUUAAUGAAAGAUAAAUAUACAUGGAAAUUGAUAAUUGAAGUUGUUAUUCAAUCAUCUAAAGAUUAGAUUAGAUGGGAUGUAUUGUAAUGAUCUACUCCUAAUUGUGUAGAUAUUGUUUGUUUGCAGUCCAACCCAUCAUAUCCCCUAAGAUUAGGAUGGUCAAACAAAUUCUCAAACUAGAGGGUCAACGAUCAACUCUAAUACCAUUUUUAAUGGCUCACUCUCAACAAUAUAGAUAUUAUUCUUUCAAUCAUCUACAUAUUGUUUGUUCUAAACCCAAAAAUCUGCUCACAACUUUAAAUCUUGUGUAUAAAAUUAAAAGGAGUUUAUAAAUAUAUAAUGCCAUGAACUUUUUCCCCAUUUGAUGAAAGAUACCACAUAUAUUCCCUCAAAAUAUUGAUUCCAAUUAGAUGUGUAGAGGAACCAUUUAAUAUUAGAAAGAAAAUAAAUACAUAGAUGGUAAUAUGUAUUAUUUCUAUUCCUUACUCUUGUUGCAAGGAUACUCAUUGCUAUAUAAUAUAUAUUUUUAUUUAAAGAAUGUUGAAAAUUAAUUUUUUAUAUACAUAAUUAACUUAUAAUUAAAAGAAAAUCAUUUUUAAUACAAAAAUUGGAUUGAUAGAUAAUUAUAUAAGUAAAUUAUCUUAAUUUAGCUCAAUUUUAAGUCUUAAAUUACGAAUUCAAAAUCUAUUAAAUCAAAAUAAAAAUAAAAUAAAAAUUCACUUAAAUCUUACAUGGAUUAAUAGAAAUAAUAACUUCUAUACAAAAAUUAAAAAAUUUUAUAGAAAAAAUCCAAAGCUUAUCUUAUUUGGUUUUUAUAACAGAAAUUCAAGUGAACAAAAAACUGUUAACUUCAAAUUUUUAAGAUAUUUUUAAGAUAAAUCUCUAUUAUUUACAUAAGAACUCAUACUAUUUUUAAUUUUCAAAAAUAUAAAAUGUAUCCAAUGUCCACUUAAAUUUUUUUUUAAAAAUGAACCUUAAGCAAACUCUACUAAUCACAUUAUUUUAUCAUUUACCUAAAGAUUUAUGCUUAUCAAAAAUCAAUCAACUACACUAAGAAUUGGUAAUUCUAGGUAGCUAGUAACACAUGCAAUCACAAGAAAGUCAAUGAAGACUACACAUAUUCAUGUCUCUUCCUCUAUGAAUUCCUCAAAAGACGCCAUUCAUGAGCUCAUUGCUCACAUCCAUAAAACAAUGAACAAGAAGAGAUCAUACCGUAGGCGUAUGUAUCGUCAAAAGGUUGAUGAAAGAACUUAUACCUUCACCCUUUGAGCUCUAGAACUGUACCUAAAAAAUAACUUCAUUUUUCUUUCCUCUUUUUGAACUACUUUUUACCAAGAUCCCAAAGCCCUAAAUGCUAUUUAUAUUUGGACUUAUAGAAUACUUAAAAUAAAUAACACAAUCAACUGGCUUAGAGAACUUUUCAAGGGUUGGAUAAACAUAGCUCAACAAAUUUAGCUUAAAAUAACCUUUAAAAUUACCCAUUUAAGAUCUAUUAAAUAAAAAUAAAAAUAAAAUAAAACCUUUUGAAAACCAUUUCUAUACAAAAAUUUAAAUAUAUAUAUAUAUAUAUAGCAAAUUGAAAACUUAUCUUAUAUGCUUUCGAUAACUGAAGUUUCAAGUGAACAAAAAACUAUAAAAUUCAAUUUUUUCUUCUAUUUUUCAAAACAUUUAUUUUUAAGAUAAAUCUCUAUUAUUUAUAUAAGAGCUCAUACUAUAUUUUAUUUUCAAAAAUAAAAAAUGUAUUCAAAGUCCAAUUAAAUUUUGUGGAUAAUGAACCUUGAGCAAACUCUCACAAUCACAUUAUUUAAUCAUUUACCUAAAGAUUUAUGCUUAAAGAAAAUAAAUCAACCACAUUGAGAAUUGAUAAUUCUAGAUAGCUAGUAACACAUGGAAUCACAAGAAAGCUGAUGAAGAGUAUGUAUAUUUUGGUUUAUUCCUUUCUAAAUUCCUUAUAGCUCACAUACCACUCAUCAAGCACAACAACCAUGUGCUCACUCAUCACACCCAUAAAACAAUGAACAAAAGAGUUCCAGAAGAGAUUAGAUUGCAGCAACUUCCCCAAAACAUUGAUGAAAGAACUUGUACCUUCCCCCAUUAAGCUCUAGAACAAUGCCCAAAAAUCAACCUAAUUUUUCUUUCCAUUUUUUGAACCAAUUUUGAACAAGAUUCCAAAGCCCUAGAUGCUAUUUAUAUUUUGACUUAGAGAAUUCCUCAAAUAUAUAGCCCAAUGCAUGGGAGAAGAAACUUUUCAUGGGCUAGCUAAACUUAGCUCAACAAAUUUACCUUAAUAUUAACCCUUUAAAUUACAAUUCAAGAUCUAUUAAAUAAAAAUUCUCGAAAACUUUUUCCAUACAAAAGAUAAAAAAUUUUAUAGAAAAAAAUUGAAAACUUAUCUUAUUUAUGCUCUCUAUAACUAAAAUUUCAAGUAAACUAAAAACUAUUAACUUCAAUUUUUUAAGCUAUUUUUAAAGUUAUUUAUGUUUUAGAUAAAUCUCUAUUAUUCAUAUAAGAAUUCAUACUAAAAAUAAAUAAAAAAAUUUGAAAGUCCACUUAAAUUUGAAAAUGAACCUUGAACAAACUUUCUCGAUCAAAUUAUUUUAUCAUUUACCUAAAGAUUUAUGCUUAUAAAAAAAUCAAUCAACCACAUUGAGAAUUGAUAAUUCUAGAUAGCUAGUAACACAUGGAAACAAGAAGGAUGAUGAAGAGUAUGUAUAUUCUGGUCUUUUUAUCUCUGAAUUUCUCACAGCUCACAUCAACUCAUCUUUGAUGCUAUAUGUGAACUCACUUGUCACACCCAUAAAACAAUAAAUAGGAAGAGAUCAGGAAGAUCAUACCACAAGGGCUUCCCAAAAAGGUUGAUGAAAGAACUUAUACCUUCACCCUCUAAGCUCUAGAAUAGUGCCAAAAAAACAAGCUAGUCUUUCUUUCCCUUUUCUAAACUACAUUUUACCAAGAUCUAAAAGCCCUCGAUUUUAUUUAUAUUUAAUCAAAGAGAAUACCUAAAAUAAAUAGCCUAAUGCAUGGGCUUAGAAAACUUUUCAUGGGUUGGAUAUACUAAGCUCAACAAAUUUUGCAUAUAAUAUUAACCCUUAAAAUUACCCAUUUAGGGUCUAUUAAAUCAAAAUAAAAAUAAAAUUUCAAAAACCUUUUCUAAACAAAAAAUAAAAAUUUUGAUAGAAAAAUUUGAAAACCUAUGCUAUAUGCUUUCUAUAACUAAAGUUUCAUGUGAACAAAAAAAUGCUAACUUCAAAAUUUUAAGCUAUUUUUAAAAUUAUUUAUUUUUAAAAUAAAUCAAUAUUAUUUCUAAAAUAAAUCACUAUUAUUUCUAUAAGAACACAUAUUAUCCUUUAUUUUCAAAAAUGAAAAAUGUAUUCAAAGUCCACUUAAAUUUUGUAGAAAAUGAACCUUGAACAAACUUUCCUGGUCACAUUAUUUUAUCAUUUGCUUCAAAUUUUAUGCUUAUCGAAAAUCAAUCAACUAAUUGAGAAUUGAUAAUUCUAGGUAGCUAGUAAAAUAUAGAAUCACAAGAAAUCUCAUGAAGAGUAUGUAUAUUAUGGUCUCUACCUCUCUGAAUUCCUUAAAGCACACAUACCACUUGUCAAAGAUGUCAUCCAUGAACUCACUCACCACACCCAUAAAACAAUCAAUAAGAAGAGAUCAUACCGUAAGGGAUUCCUCAAAACAUUGAUGAAAGAACUCAUACCUUCACCCAUGUAGCUCUAGAGCAAUGCCUGGAAAAUAACCUAAAUUUUCCUUUCCUUUUUCUGCACCAAUUUUCACCAAGAUCCCAAAGCCCUAUGUUAUUUAUAUUUUGACUUAGAGAAUUCCUAAAAUAAAUUAAUAGCCAAAUGCAAGGGAAGAGAAAACUUUUCAUGGGUUGGAUAAACUUAGCUCAAUAAAUUAAGCUUAAUAUUAAACCUUCAAAUUACCAUUCAACACCUAUUACAUCAAAAUAAAAAUAAAAUAAAAAAUUUUGAAAACCAUUUUGUAUGCAAAAAAUAAGCAAAUUUAUAGAAAUGGUUGAAAACUUAUCCUAUAUGCUCUUUAUAACUAAAAUUUCAAGUGAACUAAAAAAUAUUCACUUCAAAAUUUUAAGUUAUUUUUAAAAUUAUUUAUGUUUAAGAUAAAUCUCUAUUAUUUAUAUAAGGACCCAUACUAUUUUUUAUUUUUAAAAAUAAAAAACCUAUUCAAAGUCCAUUAAAAUUUUGUAGAGAAUGAACCUUCGGGGAAACUCUCUUGGUCACAUUAUUUUAUCAUUUUCCUAAAGAUUUACGCUUAUUGAAAAUCAAUUAACCACACUAAGAAUUGAUAAUUCUGGGUAGCUAGUAACACAUGGAAUCACAAGAAUGAAGACUAUGUAUAUUCUGGUAUCUUACCUUUUGAAUUCCUCAAAGCUCACAUAUUAAUCAUCAUAUCAUCCAUGAGUUCACUCAUCACACCCAUGAAACAAUGAAGAAGAAGAGAUCAGGAAUAUCAUAUUGCAUGGGCUUCCCUUAAAGGUUGAUGAAAGAACUUAUACUUUCACCCUUUGUGCUCUAGAACAAUGCCUAGAAAACAAUGUAAUUUUUCUUUCCUUUUUUUGAAACACUUUUAACAAAGAUCCAAAAGCUCUAGAUGCUAUUUAUAUUGGACUUAGAGAGUAACUAAAAAAAAAAAAAAUCCAAUGCAUGGGCUUAGAAAACUUAAAUAGUUAUCAAAGAGUUGUUAAUACAUUAUCCAUAAUAUGAAUGUCAACCACAACACUUAAAUAGUUACUCAAAAUAUAACAUGUCAAUAUUUGAGUAUUCAUGAAGAGUUUUUCAUACUAAUAAAUAUAAAAUUCAUGUUGUUAUUCAUUUUGAAAUUUGGGAUAUGGAGAUUCAAAAAGUGCAUUUGAAAAACCAAAGUUCUCCAAAUCAACUCCUUCUAGAGCCACGCCACCACCAUCCUCAUCAUCUACAAAAAAAAUUAAAUAUGUAUUAACAAGAAAUCAUUUUUAAAGAAAAAAUAGUAAUUAUUGGACUUUUAUAAGUUUACAUAUUCUACUAAUCAAUGUGAGCAGUUGAAUUUGAACUUUCUACUUCGUUUAUUGGAAUUAACCCUUCUUCAUAUAUAAGAUUUUCCAAUUCUUUGACAUCUAGGUCUCCUGGCUCAUCCUCAUCAACUAUCCAAAAAUCGGUUUUAUCAAUGCAUGCAUAAUCAAUGGGAUCAUAGGUCAUUUUCUUGUUGUACAACCUAAAAAAUAAAAGCAUAUAAUUAUUGAUAAUUAUAUAUAAAAAAAUUUAAAUUUAUUUAUAUCGAUUUUUUAGCUGCAAAUUGUAAUGAAUGUAUACAAGUUCAUUAAGCCUUUGAUGUUCCAAUCUAUUACUUUUUUUGGUAUGUAUAUGUUUAAACAUAGUCCGAUUCUUCUCACAUCUGGAAGACGAUGAAGUUUGACUUAAUAUUUAAAUGGCCAACUUUUGUAAAUAUGGUGCACUGUAUCCAUGUAGCCUUUAUCAUUCAUCUAGUUACUAUUUUCACAUUCAAAAUAAGGGAAAAAAAGCAUUAGCUAGUUUAAAAAUAUAAUAAUCUAUAUUUUAAACUUAAAGCACAUUAGUAAAUAUUAAAUAGUAAGUAGGUAAUUAAUGAAAAAAAACAAACACACUAAUAAAUUAUUUUUCACCAGGUUGAAGUACUUCACGUGAAGAAUAACCAAGGUCUUUUCCAAAACUUCCCAAUCGAUCACAAAACAACUUUAAUUCAUUCAUCAUUUCAUACUUUCCUUUCACAACUUUCUGAUCAUUAACAUCCAUGACACUUCCAAUAACUUUUGGCUUAUUAGAAAAGUUUUCCUGAUCAUGUUAGAAACAUGGAUUCAACCAAUAAGCUUCUUAAUGAAUCCUUUUCUUCUUUGGUUGCUUAUCCAAACGUUCCAUUAUGAUUUGUGGAUAAGGCUUGUAUUGUCUUUUGUUGUGCUUAAAUAAUUUCUUGAUGCCUAAACAAGCCCUAUAAAUGCCUUCAUACACAUAUUUAGAUGUGGUUUGUCCUACUUGUGGUAAAAAUCAUAGGGGUAGGCCAUGUUAUAGAGAGACUGAAGCUUACUUUAGUUAUGGGAAGCAAAGGCAUAUGAUUCGAGAGUGUUCAAAGAAUAAGAAGUUUAUAAAUAAGAAGCCUAAGAAGGAGAAAAAUGAGAAUAAAUGGAAGCCUAGGGUCCAAGGGCAAGUGUUUGCUAUGACUCAUCGAGAUGCUAAAGCCCCUUCCGAUGUGGUGACAAGUAUUAUUCAAAUUCACACUUUAUUUUCUAGAGCCCUUGAUCCUAGCUCAACAUACUCUUUUUUUUCGAUAUCUUUUGUUGGUUUGUUGGAUAUGGCUUUUUCUAUCAUGGACUUUGAUUUGAUUAUUGCUACUCUUAUGAAAGAUUUUGUUGUGACUGAUAGAAUGCUUAGAGAUUGUUUGGUGAUGAUUAGUUAUAGCGAAACAUUAGUUGACUUAGUACUCCUUCAUCUUCAAGAUUUUGAUGUGAUUUUGGAGAUGGAUUGGUUAGCUUCCUACCUAUGGAUUGUUUUCGGAAAAGGGUGGCGUUUCACAUUCCUGGUUAGUCUAAGUUUAGUUUUGAGAGGAAGUAUAUGGACAAACCAUUGCAUAUGAUUUCAGCCUUACAAGCUAGUUCCUUGAUUAGGAAAGGUUGUCAAGGCUUUUUAGAUUAUGUGGUGAGUAAUGAAAAUGAUUUAAAGUUGGAGGACAUACCCAUUGUAAGGGAUUACCCUGAUGUCUUUCUAGAUGAUUUGUCUAGCUUGCCAUAGAGAGGGCGGUGGAGUUCACCAUUGAUUUGGUACUGGGAAUAACUCCUAUCUUUAAGACGCUAUACAAGAUGGCACUUGUAGAGCUUAAGGAGUUGAAGGUUUAACUUUAGGAGUUGUUUGAUAAGGGUUUUAUUAAGCCCAAUGUUUCACCUUGGGAUGUGGACCCACAUUUUUCACAUGUGCCCUCAUUUGUGGAUGAGACUUGUUUUUUUAAGUGAAAAACUAUAUUUUGUAAAAAACUAGAGUUGCCACUUAUUUUUAUUUUUUAAAAGGGAAAAUAAAAUAAGAAAAUAAAACCUUAAGAAAAAUUAUUCGAACUUUUGGAAAGUGCCUUUGAAAAACCCAAGUCUAGGUCAGGGGACUAGGUUACCUAUUGGGAAGGUACCUAAAAAAUGUAGCAUCCUUCUAAGCCCUAACAAGGUCUCUACUGACUAGGUUAAGGAAAGUGUGACAAUUAAUUGAUUGACUUAGGGUACUAAGAAAGGCUAAGGUGUUUAUGUAAAUUCUAAUAACAUAUUGAGCAAGCGAGCAAUCGUUCUCAAUCUCAAACAUAAAGCAGAGUUAGCAAGUGUACCUAAGAUGCUUCUUAAAGCGCUAUCAUAAGAUGAUGGGGUUAGAUCAAACAACAAGAUAUAUAACAUACAAUUCAUAAAUAAAUAAAUAAAUAUAGUAACAACCAAAGCAAUCAAGGAUAGUAUCAUGCAUGGAUGAAGUUCACACAAAACGUGCAUGCCAUAGAAUUAAAAGGCGAAAGGUUAAGAGUGUAUUCGAACAACAUAUCUUAAACACAAUGCACUUCCAAUAUGAAUAGAGAUGGUUAGAAUGAAAGAUAAUGAAAAGCAAUUAUGUGAAUAAAACCUAACAUGUAUGAUAUCUACAUGGCAUAAAGAGAAAACAUGGACUCACAAAAGCAUCAAUAUUCCUACAAGACAUGCAUACAACUUUUAGAUAUAGAAAAGAUGUAAGAAGCAAGCAUUAUAACAAAGUAUAUAACCAACUAAUCAAAAUAUGAGCAUCACAAGUAUAUUUCUAAAUUAUUACAUACUCAUCAUUUGACCAAUAAAUAAAUAAAAGCCAACAUCCCUAUCCAUUCAUCACUAAUUUUACACCACGAUCAAUUAGUAUGCAAAAAUUCAACAUAUGACCAGAAUUUAUUGUCUUCAGAAAUAAAUUCCAAAAAAAAAAAAAAAUUAAAAAUAUGAAAUUGAUCAUGCCAAAGGACAUAGAACUACUCCUAGAUAUCUAUAACAAGAAAGAAGAGUCCAAACACUAAUUCAAAUAUCAUAUUUAAUUAAAAAAAAAAAUCAAAAGUUUCAGAAGGUCCAGAAUUGGACAGAAAACAAUGAUAUGCAUAAACUGAAUUUUAAAACAUAUCUAAUGGCCUUCUACAUUCAUACAAAAUAAAAAUAAAAAAUAAAAAAUCACACAUGUCCUUUAAGGUGUCUAUAUUACAUAAAAAAAUUAAGCCAAUGAGCACUUAGAAGAAUUUUUAAAACACUCAAAUUGAUCAACAAUCCAGAAUCAAUCAUGUGUAGUAAGUGCGAAUUUGAAAAAUCAUAUCUCUUUUUAGAAAACAUAUACUUCAAUAUCUUAUGUGUCAAAAUUAAAUUUCAGAAAGUCAAGAAUUUAAGAAAAAUAUUUAUUUGAAUUUAAAAAGUCAAAAUAUAAUAUAAUUUUACAAAAUUCUCUUCGAUAUACAGAAUCAGACCAAAACAGAACAUGCUGAAAAAAAAGAUCAUAACUCAACUUUGAAUCAACAACAUGAAUCAACAAUUAAAUUAAAUGGACUAAUAAAAUGAAAUAUUUGAAAGAAGAAAAGAAUUAUUAAAUCAUGAAGAGACUAAUCCUAUAUUAUUCAAGAGCAUGAAUCAACAAUUAAAUUAAAUGAACUAAUAAAAAGAAAUAUUUGAAACAAGACAAGAAUUAUUAAAUUAUCAAGAGACUAAUCCUAAAUUAUUCAAUAACAUGAAUCAACAAUUAAAUUAAAUGAACUAAAAAAACGAUAUAUUUGAAACAAGACAAGAAUUAUUAAAUUAUUAAAUUAUCAAGAGACUAAUCCUAAAUUAUUCAACAACAUGAAUCAACAAUUAAAUUAAAUGAACUAAUAAAACAAAAUAUCUAAAACAAGCCAAGAAUUAUUAAAUCAUCAAGAGACUAAUCCUAAAUUAUUCAAGAGCAUGAAUCAACAAUUAAAUUAAAUGGACUAACAAAAAAUAUCUAAAACAAGACAAGAAUUGUUAAAUCAUCAAGAGAUUAAUCCUAAAUUAUUCAAGAGCAUAAAUCAACAAUUAAAUUAAAUAUUGAACUAAUAAAACAAAACAAGAAUUAUUAAAUUAUCAAGAAACGAAUCCUAAAUCUUUCAAGAACAUGAUUCAACAAUUAAGUUAAAUGAACUAAAAAGAGAAAAAUUCUUAAAGAAAAAUUUUAAAAUAAAAAUUUGAGCUAAAAAGAACGAACUACCUAUUUGCCUCUAGGUAUCUCAUAAGCAAGAUCUAAACUUUUAUAACAUAAAUCAUAUUUUUAUUCAUUGUUUCAAGUUUAAAUGAGAGAAAUCUAUAAUCGGCAACCUUUGUUCUCAAUCUUCAACCUAGACCUUGAUCUCAUUACUUUGUAUAUAUUAUGUGGUUCCAUUGCAUUGUACCUUAAUCUUAUUGCUUUAUACUUUGGUCCCAUUAUUUAAUACAUCCGAAUCCUUUGUUUGUAACGUAGUUUCAUAUAUUUGUACCUUCUUUAAUAAGAAAAAAUUUAAUUUGAAUUUUAGUAUGUAUUGAUUCAGUACUAUAGACUUUUCCAAAAUUCUAACUAUUUUUUAUAUAAAUUAUGUUUUUAUAUGGUAUUAACUUUGUUAGUGUAUUAUAUAUGUUGAUAGUUUUACUCCUAAGAUUAAUGGAUGAAGACUAAUUCACUACAAUGAGGAUUAUACUAACAUAUUCAAGUUGAAGACACAAAAUUUGAAGCUCAAAUAUAAUUAUGUUUCAAGUUUGAAAUUAAAAUGGUUCAAUGGUAUUGUAAAAUGAAUAAUUUAGCAGUAACUUAAAGUAUUCUAGGUAUUUUUGUCUAGAAUAUUUUUAUGAAAAUUAAUUAUUUAAAAUUCUUAUUUUCUAGAUUAAGUUUUCAAAAUAUGCUAAACCUAAAAUACCCAAGGUUUAGGUAUGGAAAGGAUUUGAAAAUUUCAUUUUGGUAUGAAACUAAAAAAUAAAAAUUGAAUUCUGGGUAGCUAAUGACACAUGGAAUCACAAGAAAGCUAAUGGAGACUAUGUAUAUUCCAGUAUCUUACUUUUUUUAAUUUCUCAAAUCUCACACACUAAUCAUCAAAGAUGUCGUCCAUGAGUUCACUUGUCAUGCCCAUGAAACAAUGAACAAGAAGAGAUUAGGAAGAUCGUACCGUAGGGGCUUCCCCUAAAGCUUGAUGAAAGAGCUCACACCUUCACUCUUUGUGCUCUGGAACAAUGCCCAGAAAACAAUGUAAUUUUUCUUUCCUUUUUCUGAAACAAUUUUAACAAAGAUCCAAAAGCCCUAGAUGAUGCUAUUUAUAUUUGGACAUAGAGAAUAACUAAAAGAAAUAGUCCAAUGCAUAGGCUUAGAAAACUUAAAUAGUUAUCAAAGAGUUGUUAACACAUUAUCUAUAAUACAAAUGUCAACCACAAGACUUAAAUAGUUACUCAAAUUAUAACAUGUCAAUAUUUGAGUAUUCAUGAAGAUUUUUUCGUACUAAUAAAUAUAAAAUUCAUGUCUUAUUCAUUUUGAAAAUUAGAAUAUGGAGAUUCAAAAUGAGCAUUUGGAAAACCAAAGUUCUCCAAAUCAACCCCUUCUAGAGCCAAUCACCACCAUCCCCGUCAUCUACAAAAAUAUUAAAUACAUAUUAACAAGAAAUCAUUUUUAAAGUAAAAAAUAGUAAUUAUUGAACUUUUAUAAGUUUACAUAUUCUACUAAUCAAUGUGAGCUUGCAGCUAAACUUGAACCUUCUACAUCGUUUAUGGGAAUUGAUCCUUCUUCAUAUAGAAGACUUUCCAAUUCUUCCACAUCUAGCUCUCUUGGCUCAUCAUCGUCUACUAACCAAAAAUCGGUUUCAUCAAUGCAUGCAUAAUCAAUGGGAUCAUAGGUCCCUUUCUUGUUGUACAACCUAAAAAAGAAAAACAUAUAAUUAUUCAUAAUUAUCAAUGAAAAAUUUUAAAUUCAAAACAACUAAGAAAGUAUUUAUAUUGAUUUUUUAGCCAUAGAUUGUAAUGAAUGUAUACAAGAUCAUUAAGCCUUUCAUUUUUCAAUCUAUUCCUUUUUUUGGUAUGUAUAUGUUCAAACACACUCCAAGUGCUCUCACACCCGAAAGACGAUGAAAUUUGACUCAAUAUUUGAAUGACCAACUUUUGAAAAUAUGGUGCACUAUAUCCAUGUAGCCUCUACUAUUUAUCUAGUUACUAUUUUCACAUUAAAAAUAAGGAAAGAAAAAAACAACUUCAAUUCAGUCAUCAUUUCAUGCUUUCGUUUCUUAACUUUCUGAUCAAUAACAUCCAUGACACCUCCAAUAACUUCUUUCUUAUUACAAAAGUUUUUUUAUUUAUUUAUCAUAUUGGAAACAUGGAUUCAACCAAUAAGCUGCUGAAUGAAUGUUUUUCUUUGGUUGUUCAUCCUAAUGUUCCUUUAUGAUAUGUGUAUAAGGCUUGUAUAGUCUUUUAUUGUGGUUAAAUAAUUUCUUAUACCCAAAUGAGCAUUAUACAUGCCUUUAUACACAUCCCAUCGAAGGCCUCUCAUCACAAUCAACAAUAUGUAAUAAGUGCACAAGUGGAGCCAUGAGAUUCAUAACUAUCAAACAAUCAUUUCAAAAUCUAUUAUCCAAGAUGAUAGAAACUACAACUCUGCUUUUAUUAUCCAUUAAAUAUUUAGAGUCCACAAAAAACUUGCUAAUCACCAAAGCUUGCAAGUCAUGUUUAUGAUCAUGAAGACUUUUUAGUGCAAUGAAUGUAGUAGCAAAGUGAGUUGCACUAGGUCGAAGAAUCUCUAUCCCUCAUUCUCUUUUUAUCAACCAACUUGACAAAGCAACAUGAUUAUUUAUAAAAAUUGUCACCUUUGAUGUUACAAGUUUAGCAACAUGAUCCAUCUUACUAAUAUCCUUAAAGAUCAAAUUAAGUCAAUAAGUUGUACAAGGUGACCAAUUGAUUUGUUUAUACUUCUAAGAAAUCAAUCUCCUUGAGACCACAUAUUUGUUGCAUUAUCAGUCACUACACGAACUACAUUGAGUGAACCAACCCAUUCAACCACCUCAUCAAAUGACAUAAACAAAUUAAUUGCAUCCUUCACAAUAUUUGAAGCAUCAACAGAUUUCACAAAUGAUAUUCCUUGAGGACAAUAAACAAUGUUCAUUGUUUGUUAUCUGUCCAACCAUCACCCAUUAUUAUACACCCAAUUUUUACCCAAAUUUUACAAUAAGAGUUUGCAAGUAACUGAACUUCCUUCUUGGCAUCCUUUAAAAGAUUAAACCGCAGUUGACGGUAAGUUGAACCCUUAUAUCCAAGACAAAUUGCAGAUAUAGCAUUCAACAUUAGCUUGAAGUAGAAAGAAUUUACAACAUUAAUAGGAAUGCAUGCAUCAUAAAAGAAUCUCUCAACAACCAUAUCUACUCUCCAAAUAGCUUAUUUCCUAGUUAAUACACUCCUAAUGGAAGUUUAAGCUCCUUAAGUAGUUCUUGGUGCAAAAUACUUAUCCAUUGUUGAUUUUUGUCUUUUUCUACUACUAGUUGCCAUAGGAUUUUGCAUUUCUUAAACCUCUUCUCCACAUUCUAGCAUAUCCCCUUCAAAUUGUGACACAUUAGGACCAUAAUUCAUAUGUUUCUUGGGUUGCUUUCUUGGAUUUAACAAACUCCUACAAAGAAUUUUCCAUUUGAAAUCUACAUUAGAAGGAAUCGAUUUACAUGGAUUAAUAUCCUGUUUCAUUCCAACAAGGUGUUGUUUCAUUUUUAUGAAUUCCCCCACCUUUUGCAACCUUUUUACAAUAUAAACAAAUAAGAGCUUUCCUUCCAUUUGUAUAUUUUUCUUUAGAAACAUGCUCCCAUGUAGGAUUGGUGUUGUCUCUACUUGUUUGUGAAUUUGUAUUUGAAUUUUGACUAGAGGAUGGGGUCAAGUUUGAUUCCAUUUUGAUUUUUCUAUAAAAUUGUAAACAAAAUAACAAUUUUAAUCACCAUUCAAUGCAUUCAUCAAUAAAAAAUAUGUAUUCAACCACCAUAUUAAUUUAAAGAAUCAAGUGAUCAACAAUUUUUAAAAAAUCAAAGAAUUAAAGAAUUUAUUAUAGAAAAUUCUUUCAAAAUCAGAAAUUUACUUUCAAAUAAAAAAUUUAUUUAAAAUUUAAAAAUAAGAUUUUUAUUUAAAAAUUAGAAAAUUUAAAUUUAUUAAAAACUAUUUUAAAAUGGAACAUAAUGUUUGAUUCAUUGAUUAUUUCCAAAAAAUUAUUUUAAUUUCUAAUGUUUUUAAAUGAUUUUAAUAAUUUAUUUAAACUCAAAUAAGAUAUUUUAAAAAUCAAUAUAAAAUUUUAAAAAAUAAAAUGAAAAUAAAGUAAACAAAUAAAUAAAAUCUAAACAAAUGAUUCAAUUAUUCAAAUGACAUUUCAAUGAAUAUUGAUAUUGUAAUUUAAUAAAUCAAUAUGAUAUAAAAUUAUUAAAUAUUAAAUAUUAAAUUAAUUAAAUAAAUUGCAAGAUUCCAAAGUUUAAACUCAUAAUGGGAGAUUUGGAAUCCAGUGCGGUUGUCGGCAUGUGGAAGCGAUGGCUUCAAUAACGAUGGCUGCUCCAAUGUGGUGCAAUUAUUGGAGACGUGCAGGCUAGAGAGGGAGUAAGGAGUGGGGUUGUAAAAAAAAAAGGGUUUAUAUACAGAGCAAAACAACGCUAUUUUGAUGGAAAAAAAAUAAAAAAGGUAUGAACCAUUUAGUUUGGGGAAAACCAGUUGAUUCACUAGUAUCACCGCUGAUUUCGGUGGUUGGAGGUCAAUCCAACCCUUCGAUGGUUUAAAUCACCAAACCAAACCGGAAAAUUGACCGAGCGAAAGUCGGACCGAUUGGACUGGCUGGUCUGGUUCGAUUUUUAAAAUUAUGUUCAUACCUUUAAAAUGUGUUUACAAAAUUAAGAGAAACUCAUACAUAUAUAGUGUUAGCAACAUUUUCCCCAAUUUGAUGUGGAAUAAAUAUCACAUGUAUUCCCUUAAAAUGUUGAUUCCAAGUAGAUGGGCAAAGGAACCAUUUGGUAUUAAAAAGAAAAAAAAAUACAUGGAUGUUAAUGUGUAUUAAUUCAUUUUUGAGCUCGUUAUAACACCCCACAUUUAUUGUUAGGGGCAGAACUAUAAAUUAGAAUAAAAUAAAAAUAAAUAAAUUUAAUAAAUUUAAUAAGGGUAUAAAGACCUUUUUUGCAUUAAAAAAAUCCUAGAUAUAAAUUAGAUUUUCUUUGUCUUCUUCAUUCAGAAAACCCUAUUAUACAUGGAUUAGAAAAUCUAAAAUCAACAAAUCUCAUUUUUAAAAUAAACAUAUCAACCAUAGAAUUUUUUUUUGUCCAAACAAUUUCAAACUUAAACAAUAGCUAACAGUAAUCAAAUUCUAACAUUUAACAAAGUCCCAAAAAGUGAGUUUAAGCAAAUGUCCUGAUAAUGUCAAAUUUCUCAUCCUAACCGUCACUCCUCGCAUGAAUUGAGGGUACUUAAAAAAAAUUAUCAACAAAGGGGAAUGAGCUCAAAACCCAAUAAGGAACAUUAAUGUACAGUUUCAUGGAUCAAAUAGUUUUAAUCAUGCUUACAAAUAGAAGAUAUAAGAUUGAGUUCAAAUAUGCUAAUACAUUUUAAUUUGUUCAACCAAGCAUUUUCAUAUAUAUCAAAACCAUUUCACAUCAAAUCCAAAUCAAACACAUUUCAAAUAUUUUCACUUUGGUUAUCAUAUAACAAAUGGUGCCCAAUUGGGUGAGACUUUACAAAUGAGUGGCUAGUUUCAAAUUUGUUUCAUUUAAGGUGAACAAAACCAAAAGUCAACAAUUAUAACCCAUUGACUAGGGCCAUAAGCUUAACUAUUAUAACCUGUUGCCUAGAGCCAUAUAAUAUCAAUUAUUAUGACCCAUUGACUAGGGUCGGAAAUGUCAACAAUUAUAAUUCGUUGACUAGAGCCAUAGAAAUCAGAGUCAAACACUUCAUUUCAUUAAUUCAAACUUACAAAACAAAAUAUCAUAUUUUCACAAUUUUUAUCUUUAAUGAAUAAAGAAAAUGCUCAAACAUAUUUUUCAUGAAAAACAUAUAUUUAUCCAUGCAUAAAAAUAAAAAUAAAUUUUUUCAUAAAUCAAAAUAACAUUUAAAAAGAAAUACCUUUUUUUUUUUUUUACAAAAUAUGUAUUAAUUUCCCUUACCUCAUAUAAGCACUCAAAAACCUUGAAGUAUUUAAUCCUGAAGUGUUUUGCCCCAAAUAACCUAUUUCAAACCUAACAAAAAAAAAAAGAAAAAAAAAACAACUAUUACUAUUAACUAUUUAUCUAAAAUUAAGGGCUUGAGAAUCCUAAUAAUUUUAUAUGUUAUGUCAUCUAUAUUAUAUUUAACUUCUUAAUCAAUAACAAUUUAAUACAUAAGUUUCUAAAUUCUUCUAAAAGUUUGGUUCUUUCCAAAAUUCAUUCCCAAGAUUCUAUUAAUUUAUUAUUGUUAUUUUUUAAACUAAAUUUCUCAAAAAUAUGUUUUUUCUAUUUAUUACAUUAAACUAUUAUUAUUACUAAUAUUUCAUUUAUUACAUUAAACUAUUAUUAUUAUUACUAAUAAUCAAAAGGUUAAAAUCUUAUUUGAAAAAUUUAGACUUUAGACCCUAAACUUUUAAACCUUCAUCCUUAUGUUUUUCAAUUUUUUUUUAUGUAAAAGAGUUUUACUCAAACAAAGAAGAUAAAGAAAAUCUAAUUUAUAGAUAAGACUUUUAAAAGUGAAAAGAUUUUCUAUCAUUAUUAAAUUAAUUAAUUAUUUUUUAAUUAAGAUUUUAGCCUUGGGUUUGGUGCAUUACAGAAAAUUUUUAUAAAAUUAAGAUAUUUUUAUUCAUUUAAAAUUUUUAUUUAAAACUUUAAACCUUGACUUUACAAAUUUUGGCCCAUAACUCGAAGAACUUUAUGUGAAAGGUGUAGCUAUCCGAACCCUUCCUCGAGGGGACGUGAAUCAUAAUUUUGUUGCUGGUUUUAUAUUAAAUUGGGAUAAAUCUAGGACCACCCAUUUUUGUCUCAAUAUUCAACCAAGACCAACCACCAAUCAUACAAAAACGAUAAAGAAAAUAGAGUGAACCAGCAAAGCCCUGUCGUCAGUUCCUUUGCCCUCCAAUACUAUCCAACCACUAUUAUAAGAGUGACACCACCGCAAAGCCCUCGAAACAUCCAUUUUUUUCUCUCUCUUUGCAGUAAUUGCUAGUUAGUGAUGGAGCUAACUGCUAGUUAGUGAUGGAGCAAACUGAGCUGGUCUUCAUCCCAUUUCUUGUCAUCGGCCUCAAAGUAAUUCCAUUGCAAAUCCCAUGACAUGAUACAAGAAUCAUAUGUUUAAUCAUGUGAAGAAACUAUGCCAGAAAUUUCUAUAGAAAAGAAACCAACCUUAAAUCAUUUAUGCGUUUGAUGAAGAUGUAUGGAUCUUCUAAGACUGUGGAGAGCAUCACCUUUCUUUUAUUCUCUCUGACAAUGGGAAGUGGGAGAGAAUGGGUUCAGUUUUUGUUUCAAAAGAUGUGAUCAUCUGAAGAAUAGACACUUAACCUUUAUAUACCCUCCUGCCUUAAGGACCAUACCCUUUGGGUUAUUGGGACUCACGGGUCUUAGGCCCAUCAUCUAAGGCCCGUAAGGUGACCCAUACUCUAGAUCAAUCACCAAUCAUAUAUAUAUAUAUAUAUAUAUGGAUAGUUAAAUCCUGACCAAUGGUUAAUAUGAUGUGGGUCCUCAUUUAUUCUAACACGACCACCUUGCGUUUGCACUGGAGAUUGCCAAGCUGAUUACUAAGCGCGACCCCCAAUUCUCAGUCAUGAUCUUCAUCAUAAGUUUCCAUUUGAGACCAUUGAUGGUAUGGAAACGAACUUUGAUUCCGUACAGUUCGUCACACUUCCUCGUAUAGAGAUCAGCUUUGGAACGGCCCCGUUUGGUCUCUUCCUCUCUAAAUUCCUCAAAGCUCACAUCCCACUCGUCAAAGACGCUAUCCACGAGCUCACUUGCUCCAACCCGAUUCAGCUCGCUGGGUUCGUUAUUGAUAUGUUCUGCACUGUUACGACCGCCUCUACCACGGCUUCUAGCACGUUUGCCACGAGGAGCUAUGGUGAUUCUUUGUUGUAACAAACCUGAUCAAGAGAAUAAAUAUGGUUUUAAUUCGAGGAAAAACCAGACCUCCCAAUAGCAAACUGCUAUAUAAUAUUCUGAUUAUUCCCCAUUGAUAUGCCGUGAAACUCUAUAAAUAGCUUUACAAAGUUAAACAACUCCAACAUCCCUAAACCACUCAUCACCUAGAUAAGGAUAAACACUAUUCCUAACCAAACUCCUAAUACUUCAAUCUGAUAACAAUUCAGAUUGCUAUUAUUAUCCUAAAACAAAUAAAAAUAAGAUAAUUAAAUAAAAAAUGAGAUAAUCCUAACACAAUCCUACUCAGCAACUCCUCUGCCUCAUGAAUACAGCAACUCCUCUUGCUAGUGGACAUAACAUAUCCUACCCCUUUAGAUUCGACCCUUGUCCUCAAGGGUGAUAUCAGGAAAACGAAGCCUCAUGAAUACAACAACUCCUCUUGCUAGUGGACAUAACACUUUCUUCGAUAUCUCCAAUUCCGUCACCGCUAUCCUCCUCUGGCCAGCAUCCUUCAAUAAAAAAAAGCUCCUUACACCGAUGCCCAGGGGCAAACUUUUCGUCACAAUUGAAGCAAAGGCCCUUAUCUCUACGUUCUUUCAUCUCCGUUGGUGACAAUCUUCGAAUGGCGGGAGUAGAUGAAAGUGGGCGACUGGUGACUGUUGAGUUCUUUGAUACAGUCUUUUUUGGCUCAAGGUUGAAACUGGAUCGCUUAUGAUAUUUAACCUCAUAGAGCCGAGCCAAACCUACUGCUGCAGACAACGUUGGUGGUUUCAUGGCUUGAACAUCUAUCCUCACAUCUUCGUUUAGACCACCAAUGAAACAAGCAACCUGUUGAGUCUGAUUUAACUUCCCCACUCGGCUGAGGAGUUUCUCGAAUUGGCUUUGAUACUCCCGUACUGAACCAACCUGUUUGAGCCUUGUAAGAUCUCCAAAAAAAUCAUCAAAUUCCGUUGGCCCAUACCUGGAAUUCAGCCCUUCCUUGAGCGUGAGCCAUGCAACUUCCCCUUCUUCCUUCAGUAUUUGAUACCACAAUUGUGCCUCGCCUUCUAGAUGAUACGUCGCUAGCGGAACCUUCUCUUCCUUAGCAAUUUUCUGAAAUUCGAAGAAUUGCUCUACUCGACAAAUCUAACUCGUUGGAUCUUCACUGCUAUUGAAGCGAGGAAAAUCAAGUUUAGUGACCCUAGGAAUUACCGCACCAUAAGACUCAGUGGAGUCACGAGGGCCUCUAUAAUUGAAUCGCCGAGACCCCCCACCAUCGUGUGAACUCUCUCCUCGUUCCAAACUUUGGUUGCCCGAUAUUUGAUCUAAUCGGGUAUUCAUUGACGUUAUCGCUUGCAUUAGUGUUUCUUGUAACUCCUGGAACUUCCUAUCUUGCUCUGCUGCUAUAGAGCCUAUAUCUGUCUCCAAACGAUCAAUGCGUGAUUCAUCCAUAACCUGCUCUGAUACCAAAAGUUGUUACGACCGCCUCUACCACGGCUUCCAGCACGUUUGCCACGAGGAGCUAUGGUGAUUCUUUGUUGUAACAAACCUGAUCAAGAGAAUAACUAUGGUUUUAAUUCGAGGAAAAACCAGACCUCCCAAUAGCAAACUGCUAUAUAAUAUUCUGAUUAUUCCCCAUUGAUAUGUCGUGAAACUCUAUAAAUAGCUUUACAAAGUUAAACAACUCCAACAUCCCUAAACCACUCAUCACCUAGAUAAGGAUAAACACUAUUCCUAACCAAACUCCUAAUACUUCAAUCUGAUAACAAUUCAGAUUGCUAUUAUUAUCCUAAAACAAAUAAAAAUAAGAUAAUUAAAUAAAAAAUGAGAUAAUCCUAACACAAUCCUACUCAGCAACUCCUCUGCUUCAUGAAUACAGCAACUCCUCUUGCUAGUGGACAUAACAUGCACCCACAUGAUUGAUCUGGCCGAUGAGUUUGGGGUGCCUUCCUAUCUCUUCUUCCCUCCCAGCGCUGCUUUUCUUGGCUUCCUGUUGCAUCUGCGGUUCCUCCAUGAUUAUGAGGGCUUGGAUAUUAAUGAGUUCAAGGACUCGGAUGCUGAGUUGGAGGUUUCAAGUUUUGCUAACUCAGUUCCGGGUAAGGCCUUUUCUUCUUUGAUGAUUGACAAGGAAAGCGGAGGGGCCGAGAUGCUUCUUCAUCACACGAGGAGAUUCAGACACGUCAAGGGUAUUCUAGUAAAUACAGUUAUUGAGCUUGAAUCACAUGCUAUUCAAUCACUUUCUGAAAGUACAGUACCCGUAGUGUAUCCCGUUGGACCCAUACUCAACACCCGAAAGGGAUCUGAUAGGGGUCAAGAAGAUGCUAGUGCCAUCAUGAGCUGGCUUGAUGAUCAGCCUCCAUCGUCCGUGGUUUUCCUGUGCUUUGGGAGCAUGGGAAGCUUUGGUGCGGAUCAAAUCAAGGAGAUAGCACAUGCGUUAGAGCACAGUGGGCAUCGCUUCUUGUGGUCCCUUCGCCAACCUCCCCCAAAGGGUAAAGUGAUUACAAGCGACUAUGAAAAUAUUGAGCAAGUUCUACUAGAAGGAUUUUUACAUCGGACGGCUAGAAUUGGAAAGGUGAUUGGAUGGGCUCCACAAAUAGCGGUUUUAGCCUACUCAGCUAUUGGAGGAUUUGUAUCUCAUUGUGGAUGGAAUUCUUUGCUAGAAAGCAUAUGGUAUGGUGUUCUAGUAGCCACAUGGCCAAUAUAUGCAGAACAAUAGAUCAACGCAUUUCAAAUGGUGAAAGAUUUGGGGUUGGUGAUAGAAAUUAAAAUUGAUUACAAUAAGGAUUGUGAUCAUAUUGUAAGUGCUUAUGUGUAAAGUGUGAUUAAAGGGUCAAAGCUUAACCCUAAUUGAUAUUCAUCCAUGUAAAUAUAUAGUACAUCAAGCAAACCUAAUUAAGGGAAAACCGUGAGUUUAGGAAACAUUCCUAAACAAUGCCGUGAGUUUAGGAAACAAUCCUAAACAGUAGCUCCUAGAAUAUAUCAUAAUAUCUCAACAUUUAGGAAACAAUCCUAAACAAUAGCAACUACUUUCCUAGAAUAUAUCAUAAUAUCUCAACACCCUCCCUCAAGUUGGAGCAUGAGGUUCAAAAAUGCCCAACUUGGCAAGAAGAUAAUCAAAUUGUUUCUUUCUAAGAGCCUUUGUAAAAAUAUCCGCCAAUUGUGUAACAGUAGGAACAUAUGACGGAGCAAUCAAACCAUCUGUUAUCGCAUCCCGAACAAAGUGACAAUCAACCUCAAUGUGUUUGGUGCGUUCAUGAAAUACUGGAUUUUUGGCCAUAUGAAGGGCUGAUUGACUAUCACAAAAGAGCUUGAUUGCCUUUGGGUGGUGCACACCCAAGCUCAGAAGCAACCCCUUCAACCAUUUGAGCUCACAAGUAACUGCUGCCAUAGCUCGGUAUUCCGCUUCUGCAGACGAGCGGGAAACUGUGUGUUGCUUCUUUGUCUUCCAAGAAAUAGGAGAUUGCCCAAGAAACACAAGCCAUCCGGACAAAGAGCGUCUAGUGACUGGACAUGCUGCCCAAUCAGAAUCACACCAACCCUGCAGGGACAGAUCACUAUCUGCACGUAACAAGAUACCCUGACCCGGAGUACCUUUCAAAUAACGAACGACUCUGAAAGCCGCCUCCCAAUGCUCAAUUCUGGGCUCCUGCAUAAAUUGAGAUAAUAUAUGAACCGAGUAGGCCAAAUCUGGACGGGUCACUGCCAGAUAAAUGAGUCGACCUACUAAUCUGCGAUAGGACUCAGGGUUCGACAAGAGCUCCCCAUUUGCGAGUCCUAAUCUGUGAUUUUGCUCGAUCGGGAAGCCACACGGCUUGGCUCCCAGUAAUCCGGCCUCCGAUACAAUGUCAAGUGUGUACUUGCGUUGACACAAUAACAAACCAGCCGAACUCCUGGCCACCUCGAUUCCGAGGAAAUACUUCAAAACACCAAGAUCUUUCAUCUUAAAACAAUCACUGAGAUAGGCUUUAAAGGUCUUAAGUACAGCGGAAUCAUUCCCAGAGAUAAUAAGAUCGUCGACAUACACUAGCACAUUUAUUUGAACAUUGCCCUUAGUGUAAGUGAAAAGAGAAUAAUCAGAGUAGGAUUGUAAGAAACCAUAUCCUUUAAGAGCCAUGACCAACUUGGCAAACCAACAUCUCGGAGCCUAUUUCAACCCAUAAAGUGAUUUCCGUAACCUGCAAACCAAGUUCGGAUCGGAACUCUCAAAUCCUGGGGGUAGCUUCAUAUACACUUCCUCCUCAAGAUCUCCAUGCAAAAAGGCAUUGUGAACAUCCAUCUUAUGAAGUUCCCAAUUUUUCGAAGCCGCAAUAGCCAAGAAAACACGCACCGUAGUCAUUUUGGCAACUGGAGAAAAAGUCUCAUGAUAAUCAAUACCGGCUUCUUGAUGAUUCCCCAAAACUACUAAUCUGGAUUUGAGCCUUUCAAUAUCACCGUUUGAGAAGUACUUGGUUCUGUAAACCCACUGACUUCCCAAAGCACGCUUACCCUUUGGAAGAGGUUCAAGAGUCCACGUACCAUUUUCCUCCAAAGCCCGAAUCUCCUCAUGCAUUGACUUUUGCCAACCGACAUCUUUCAUAGCCUCUUUAAAUGACUUAGGAUCAUUGCUCGAAAUAAUAGCUGCAAGAAACUUUCGAUAAUGUACAGAAAAAUUGUCACAAUUUAUAUAAUGUGCUAUGGGAUAAGGAGUACCUGAGGGAUGCUGUGGAGACGGAGUGGCGGGAGAUGGACUUUCAGCAACCAUCAUAUGAGUAACAAAAUCUCGUAAUAGAACCGAAGGAAAUUUAUCCCUCAUUCCCUUUCCCAUAGGAGCAGAUUGCCCAUUGCUUGUAUUGUCAAGCCCAAGUGAAUCAAGCCCAACAGUGGGAACAACUUCCGGCCCAGGUGAAAGAUCUUGGUGGGCUUGGGGUUUAGGUUGGAUGAGGUUGGGAUUUUGUGUUUGGGCUUGUGGGUUAGGUAAAUCAGCAUCAUCAUCGACAAAAUCAGCAAAAUCACUAUCAAUUUCAACAUUUACUGUAGGCACAAUGUUGUCCGGAAUAAUAUUCACAGCACCCGGGUUACCAAACGGAAAAACAUCCUCAAAAAACUUGACAUCACGAGAAACAAAUAAUUCCUUGGUGUCCAAAUCAAACAACUUCCACCCCUUCUUUCCAAACGGGUAACCCAAAAACACACAUUUUCUACUUCUACUUGCAAAUUUGUCACCUUUGGAUUUUUUAUCAUGAGCAAAACUGAGACAACCAAAGGUGUGAAUUGCUGCAUAUGAAGGAGGGGUGCCAAAUAGGAUUUCAAAUGGUGUUUUAUUGUGUAACAAAGGAGAGGGAGUGCGGUUUAUUAAAUGAGCAGCGGCAAGAACACUUUCGCCCCAAAAAUAAAUAGGCAAAUUUGCUUGAAAGCGUAAUGUCCUCCCCACAUUUAAAAUAUGUUUGUGUUUUCUCUCAACCCUCCCAUUUUUUUUGCGGAGUUCCCACACAAGAAGUUUGGAAUAAAAUGGCAGUUGUAGAAAAAUAGUCAAGUAGGCAUUUAAAUUCCGUACCAUUAUCACUUUGAACAACUUUCACUGUUUGAGAAAAUUGUCGAUCUACCAUUGCAAUAAAAGACAUAAACAUCCGAAAAACUUCUGUUUUAUCGACCAACAAAUAAAUCCACACAGCUCUUGAGAAAUCAUCAACAAUAGUUAAAAAAUAACGAGCUCCACAAGAAGAGACAUGUUUAUAAGAGCCCCACAAAUCACAAUGUAUUUUCUCAAAAAUUCUAGUUGCCUUAUUGUCACUUAAAGGAAAUUUGUCUCUAGGAUGCUUAGCACGAAAACAUAUUUCACAAGCUUUGUUUAAACUACCCUUAAGAUUGCUAACUGGAGGAAGUAACUUCACUACUUUCUCUGAAGGAUGUCCCAUCCUUUUGUGCCACAACUCCAAAGUGGAGGUUGCGUUGUGGACAGAAACAUGUUGUACCGAAUCACCUUCAGCUCCACCGAAGUAGUAAAGUCCAUCUCGCCUAACUCCCGUUCGAAUCAGCUCCCUGGUGUGGUCCUGUAUAGCACACAUAUAAGAGUUAAAUUGGACAAUACAAUGUAAGUCAUCAGCCAAUUGUGAAACAGAAAGUAAAUUGCAAUUGAGUUUUGGCACAUAAAGAAUGUUUUUAAGAGUGAUGUUAUUCGACAAACGAACGGAACUGGAUUGGGUCGCAACAACAGAUUCACCAUUAGGAAGGCCAACCGGACACUCAAACAAUGCUAUAGUAUCAAAUAACCAAGAUAAAUCACCGGUCACGUGAUGAGUUGCCCCGGUGUCAAUGAUCCAUGACUUCGUGUCAAACUUACCAUUCAACCUGUCAUCCGGAACUUGAGCAUUACCAAUUAAGCCCGCAAGAGCUUUCCAUUGUUCGAACUUGUGGCGUGCCUCCAAUGCCAACUGAAUAUCGGAAGCCCAAUCAUCAUAAUUGUCGCCGCGUAAGCGAGUGGGAGUGAUGAAGUCACCUGGUCGGUCUCCUGUGCCGAGAAAAAAAGGUGAAUUCAUCUCCCUUUUAGGUGGCGGCAAUGGUGGUUGUUCAUCGUCGCCGGCCAUUGUUUUAUUGUGUGUGCAUGUCAGUGCUCUGAUACCAUGUAAAGUGUGAUUAAAGGGUCAAAGCUUAACCCUAAUUGAUAUUCAUCCAUGUAAAUAUAUAGUACAUCAAGCAAACCUAAUUAAGGGAAAACCGUGAGUUUAGGAAACAUUCCUAAACAAUGCCGUGAGUUUAGGAAACAAUCCUAAACAAUAGCUCCUAUAAUAUAUCAUAAUAUCUCAACAUUUAAGAAACAAUCCUAAACAAUAGCAACUACUUUCCUAGAAUAUAUCAUAAUAUCUCAACAUUAUGAGAUUGAAAAUGGAUUAGGGAACCUAAUGAAUACCAAUAGUGAGGUGAGGCAGAAGAAGAAAGAAAUGCAAAAAAUAAGUAGAAGAGUCAUGAUAGAUGGUGGGUCCUCGCACUCUUCUUUUGGCCAUUUUAUUGAAGACAUGGUGGCCAACAUUCCUAAUGUAUGAAUUAUUUUAUACUAAUAUGAAAGGAAAAGGUGCAUUGUAGGCUCUAAUCAAUAAAUUUAUCAUCUCCUUUAUUUUAAUGCUCAAAUAAUUUCUUUGAUGAUGUCAAGAAAUUUGACCUUUCAAACGAAUUUAGUGAAACGAAUUUAGUCAUAUGUCGAUCUCAUUGAUCAAUGAAUACACAAUUGAGCAUUUUCCUGUAGGGAGCUGGACUAGUAAUAAAAUCAACUAUAUAAUUCAAAAUCCACAAACUCUACUGAAUUUGGUUUGCUGGGAUGAAUAGAUAUAAGAAUUUUUAUAAGAAUUUAUUGAAUUGGAUCACUAUUAGAGACAACCGUCCAUUUGAGAUAUACAUUGAUAGAAAUUUAAUUAAUUUCUGGUCAGUGUAUAUCUUCUUUUGUACAAGCAUGAUGCUCUAAGAGCAAAUUAAUGUUCUCAAACUAUUUGAUGUGUUGGUAUGGAUUUAAGAAACUAACCUCUCAUCAAUGCAUAUCAAGGCAUCCAGGCAUGUAAGAGAUCAAUAGGCUCAAAAUGAUUCUAAUUGGAGCCUUUUUGAAUUAGGAGGUAGCUACAUGAAGAAGGUGAUUGUUAUGGAGAUAAGGAUUUAGAAUUACAAGUUCUUUAGAUUUGAUUGUGAAGAGAGUUGAGAGCAUAUGACUAAUUUUUAUUUUUUUUUAAAGAAAAUUACUAAAAGAUGUGAAAAAAGUCUUUCAAAAAAAAAAAAAAAUUAAACACGAAAAUGAUUAUGUAUACAAUAUUGAAUUAUCAAUUUGUCCUUUCCUUUCAUUUAAUGAAAGAUAAAUAUACAUGAAAAUUGAUAAUUGAAGUUGUUAUUCAAUCAUCUAAAGAUUAGAUUAGAUGGGAUGUAUUGUAAUGAUCUACUCCUAAUUGUGUAGAUAUUGUUUGCUUGCAGUCCAACCCAUCAUAUCCCCAUAAGAUUAGGGUGGUCAAACAAAUUCUCACACUAAAGGGUCAACGAUCAACUCAAAUACUAUUUGUACUGGCUUACUUCCAACAGUAUCGAUAUUAUCUUUCUAAUCAUCUAAAUAUUGUUUGUUCUAAACCCAAAAAUCCGCUCACAACUUGAAAUAUUAUGUAUAAAAUUAAAAGGAAUUUAUACAUAUAUAAUGUCAAGAACGUUUUCCCCUUUUGAUGAAAGAUACCACAUGUAUUCCCUCAAAAUAUUGAUUCCAAUUAGAUGUGCAAAGGAACCAUUUAAUGUUAGAAAGAAAAUAAAUACAUAGAUGGUAAUAUGUAUUAUUUCUAUUCCUUAUUCUUGUUGCAAGGAUACUCAUUGCUAUAUAAUAUAUAUUUUUAUUUAAAGAACUUUGAAAAUUAAUUUUGUUAUAUAUAUAAUUAACUUAUAAUUAAAAGAAGAUCAUUUGUAAUACAAAAAUUGGAUUAAUAGAUAAUUAUAUAAGUAAAUUAUCUUAAUUUAGCUCAAUUUUAAGUCUUAAAUUACACAUUCAAAAUCUAUUAAAUCAAAAUAAAAAUUCACUUAAAUCUUACAUGGAUAAAUAGAAAUAAUAACUUCUAUACAAAAAAAUAAAAAAAAUCGAAAGCUUAUUGUGGACCCCCGCAUUUCGGCUCAUCCGUUUUCCACUCGAUGGCGAGCUUGAUUUUACUUUGAAAAUGAUUUUAUUGUUUGAAAAAUGACUUAGAGUCGCCACUUAUUUUUGUUUUAUUAUUUUUUUAAAGGGUAAACAAAAUAAGAAAGAAAACCCUAAGUGUGACUCCUCAUUUUGGAAAAGGUGAUCUAUGAAAAACCGGAUCGGGCUCGGGGGUUAGGUUACUUAUCGAGAAGGUACGGUAAAGACCAUAGCACCCCUCUAAGUCCCUAAAGUCGGGUCUCUACUAAUAAAAUGAAACUAACAUGACAAUCAAUAGGAAAAUCAAUGGAUACUCGAGUCGAUUAUGUACAUAUGGGAAUCAGAACAUGCGUAGAGAAUGACCAGAAUAGGAAUGGAUGCAUACCUGGGCCACGAACGAGCGAUGCGCUAUCAUAAAAACAGAGUCGGUGCACAAUAUAGGGCACGAAAUAUAUCAUAUGCAUUACCAAACAGAAAUUAAAAUUGUUCGAAGUAAAACUGGAUUUUUGAAAUUCAUUUUGAAAAUCGGAGUCUUAGAGAUUAUUUGAAAAUUGGAUUUUUAGAAAUUAAAUAUAGGAAUGAGAAUUUUAGAAAUUAAAUUUGAAAGGAAUUGGAAUUUCAGAGAACUAAAUUUGGGGAUCGGAAUUUUGAAGAAUUAUUUAAAGACGGAAUUUUAAUAAAUAAAUAAGUGAAUAAAUAAAUGAAUGGAAUAAUAAUAAUGAUGACAUAAUAAAGAUUAGGUAAAUAAUUGCAAAAAAUAGAAUUUUAGAGAUUGGAGAUUGAAUUUAGAGAUUGAAAUUUUGAGAAAUUAUUUGGAGAUGAGAUUUUAAAUAUAUGAAUAAGUGAAUAAAUAAAUGAACGAGAUAAUAAUAAUAACGAAAAUAAUCAUUAAACAACUGAAUGUGAAUAGUGGAAUUUUUUAGAUUGAAAAUUAAAUUUGGAAAACGGAAUUUUGAAAAAUUGAACUUUAAUUAUUGGAAUUUAUAAAAUAAAUUAAUGGAAUAAUAAUAAUAAUAAUGAGAAUAAUAUUUAAACGAAUGAACGUGAAUAGUGGAAUCUUUGAGAUUGAAAAUUAAAUUCGGAAGUCAGAUUUUUCAAGAAUUGAACUUUAAUGAUUUGAAUUUUUAAAAGAAAUAAAAAAAUAAAUAUGGAAUAAUAAUAAUAAUAAUAACAAAAAUAAUGGUUAAGCGAAUGAACGUGAAUAGUGGAAUUUUUGUUUAAAAGAAAUAAGUAAAUAAAUAUGGAAUAAUAAUAAUAAUGACAAAAGAAAUGGUUAAGCGAAUGAACGUGAAUAGUGGAAUUUUUAGAUUGAAAAUUAAAUUCCGAAGUAAGAUUUUUAAAUAAUUAAAUUUUAAUGAUUGAAAAUUUUAAGAUAAAUAAAUAAAUAAACAUGGAAUAAUAAUAAUACUGACAAAAAUAAUGUUUAAACGAAUGAACUUAAAUAGUGAAAUUUUUUAGAUUGAAAAUUAAAUUCGGAAGUCAGAUUUUUUAAGAAUUGAACCUUAAUGAUUUGAAUUUUUAAAAGAAAUAAAUAAAUAAAUAUGGAAUGAUAAUAAUAAUAACAAAAAUAAUGUUUAAACGAAUGAACGUGAAUAGUAGAAUUUCGGAGAUCGAAAAUUUGAAGAGUUAUUUAGAAAUGAUAUUUUAAAUAAAUGAAUAAGUGAAUAGAUAAACGAAUGGAAUAAUAGUAAUAAUGAUUAGGUAAAUAAUUGUGAAAAUUGGGAAGUAAACUUGGGAAUUGGAAAAUUGAAGAAUUAUUUAGAGAUGGAAUGUCGGAAAAUUAAAUUUCGAAAACUAGAAACCCGAAAAAUUAUUUUAAGGAUGGAAUGUUGGAAAAUUAAAUUUCGAAAAGUGGAAACCCGAAAAAUUAUUUUAAGGAUGGAACGCCGGGGAAACUCGAAAAAUUAUUUUAAGGAUGGAAUGUUGGAAAAUUAAAUUUUGAAAAUUGGAAACCCGAAAAAUUAUUUUGAGGAUGGAAUGUCGGAAAAUUAAAUUUCGAAAAUUGGAAACCCGAAAAAUUAUUAAGGAUGGAAGGUCGGAAAAAUAAAUUUCAAAAAGUGGAAACCCGAAAAAUUAUUUGAAGGAUGGAAUGCCGGAAAAUUAAAUUUCGAAAAGUAGAAACCUGAAAAAUUAUUUUAAGGAUUGAAUGCCGGAAAAUUAAAUUUCAAAAAGUGGAAACCCGAAAAAUUAUUUUAAGGAUGGAAUGUUGAAAAAUUAAAUUUCGAAAAUUGGAAACCCGAAAAAUUAUUUUAAGGAUGGAGGAAAAUUAAAUUUCGAAAAUUGGAAACCCGAAAAAUUAUUAAGGAUGGAAGGUCGGAAAAAUAAAUUUCGAAAAGUGGAAACCCGAAAAAAUAUUUUAAGGAUGGAAUGUCGGAAAAUUAAAUUUCAAAAAGUGAAAACCCGAAAAAUUAUUUUAAGGAUGGAAUGUCGGAAAAUUAAAUUUUGAAAAUUGGAAACCUGAAAAAUUAUUAAGGAUGGAAGGUCGAAAAAUUAAAUUUCGAAAAGUGGAAACCCGAAAAAAAUAUUUUAAGGAUGGAAUGCCGGAAAAUUAAAUUUCAAAAAGUGAAAACCCGAAAAAUUAUUUUAAGAAUGGAAUGUUGGAAAAUUAAAUUUCGAAAAGUGGAAACCCGAAAAAUUAUUAAGGAUGGAAGGUCGAAAAAUUAAAUUUCGAAAACUGGAAUAUUUAGAUAAUUACUUUGAUAUCCAAAACGUGAAGAAAUAAUAAAAGAAAUAUGAAUUGUGGUGAUCUUUAAGUGCACGUCUCCAGUGUAAUGCCCAUAAACCCAUUUUACAAUUUUUUUUUUUUUUUUUACCACCUGAGCAAACAACUUUUGCAUGAAGAUUGAUGAGUGGGUAUUGAAGAAUGAUGACAUGGGCAAGGUAAUGGAAUCAACCACUAGUAGGAAAUAAAUAAAAAAAUGAAAAUCCUGCAGACCCAUUUAAUUCGACAUCAAACCAGAAAGCAAAACCAUGCAUUAAACCCCAUGAUCCAAGUACCACAGCAGGUGCUACACGAAAUCUAGCAUAGAGCUGCCCAUCAUCAGCAUGCUUCUUCACCAUGCUUUCCAGAAUGUCACCAUCUCCAAGAGUUGUAGCGCCUGGCAUUCCUCCCGGCAGCAAAAUGAGAUCGAAAUCAGCACCAGCGCAGUCAGAAAUUGGGGCAUCCGCAACAAUAUCCACGCCUUGGCACGCGUCAACUUGAAGCCGCUUCCUCACAGGGACGACGGUCACAUUGAUGCCAGCUCGCCGGAGCUCAUCAAUGGUGAUCACUACUUCCAUCAACUUCGAGCCAUAGGCGUUCGAAACCAAACCUUACGGAAAGAUGCAGCCAUUGAUGAUGGGGACUUAGUGGAGGACUUGGUGAGUGGAUGCUGGAAAUUUUCUCUUGUUACCCACUUAAUAAUCUCAGAGAUGGACGAGAGACGACUCAGAUAUAUAUCACUGUCCGAUAGAAGGUAUCACAGUACGAGUAGUGAAAGAUCUAUAGACUUGCUGCCUAUAGAAGGUAUUCACCAGUCAGCGGCAUGGCCUCCUCCACCCACUAGCAUGGCCGACCAUCUUGACUUGCUGCCUCCACCAAUUUGGCUUCCACUAGCAGAAAAGGCCCCCCCACCCCACGCCCCCCAACUCACUUAUCCUAGGUAUCGCCAGCUCCUCCAGGUGGCGAGACAUUAUCCUUCCCAUGCCAUAAAAAAAAACUAACCGUCUUUGCUCUCUUAAGGGGUCUACAAAUAUGCCCUCUUCGGUAAAAUUUACAAAUGUAAGGAAUAUGAACACUAGAGUGAAUAAUGAGUGAAAUGAAGUGAACUCUACCGAAGAACCAAAGAGACCCUCACAGGGGCACCAAUGAAACACGGACUUACUCAGGUCAAGAGACGAACAUAAAAGCUCUAAUCCUAAAAGAAAAGGAUGUCUUAAAAUGACCCUAAAGUCACACUAAAGGAUCCAGACUCUCUCUAAGACGUCUCAAUAAGUGACUCGAAAAACCAUAUCAAAGAUGAGUAACGGUCGAACCACUUUGGAGUACAAUAAGGAACGUGUCUCGAGAGGGUUGCCCUAAGAGAACUACACGGAAAUGCCAAGUGUAGGGUGCCCAACGACAUGACCGAAGUAUGCGUCGUAAACUCAAAGGACUACGUCAUGAGCAAUGAAAAGGGAAAUCUGGAAGAGCAAUGACAAAUAAGCGAUAAGCACAGGGUAACACGGUGAGGAAAACAAGGAUAGAUGCAAACCCCUGAAGGCAACAUGUGUAAUGCUGGUGAACAUGAAUGUCAACACUGUGACUCUAGACGAUACAGUCAGGGAGAAAUGACCCUGAACGUUAAACACGGAAAGAUGAUGACUCAAGGUCCUUGAAUGAAUAUGUACAAUGGAUCUGAAUGCCAAACUAGAGAAUGACGGUGACACUGAAUGCUAAACAGAACAAUGGUUCUGAACGUCAAAACUAAGGAAGGUGGUGACUCAAAAUGCAUGAACGGGUACGAAAAACGGCUCUGAAUGCCAAACUAAAAGAAAAAUGUGGUAGGGACGCCAAACGUCGAAUAGAACAGUGGCUCUGAACGUCAAAACUAAGAAAAAAGAUGACUCAAAAGGUUGAAAGAGCGUGUCCAAUGGCUCUGAACGCUAGAAAGGAGGAAAAUGGUGAUGGAUCGAACGAAAGAUAGACAUGAAGACUCUGAGUGUCGAACUAAAACGGCGACUUGGAACACUAAAUAAUGGCCCUGAACAUAGAAUGAAGGUGUGGCUCCGAACGUCGAAACGAAUGAUAUGCAAUGGCUUUGAACACCGAAUCGAAAGUGGACAAUGGCUCUGAACGCCAAAAUAACAGCAAAACAUGGCUCCGAACGUUAGAAUGAAUGACGUAAUGGCUCUGAACACCAAACGAGAAUACGACUUUGAACGUCAAACUGAGGAGUAAUAAUGAUGGCUCUGAACGUCAAAACUGCAAACACGACGAGGAUAGCUCUAAACACUAAUACUGAUGAGUGAUGGCUUUGACCGCCGAACGAAGAUGCGAUGAUGGCUCUGAACGCUGAAAUCGGGAAAGUGAUGGCUCUGAACGCCAACGAAGAUGCGAUGAUGGCUCUAAACGCUAAACGAAGCGAAACAUGGCUCUAAACGUCAAACUGAGGAGUGAUAAUGGCUCUGAACGCCGAAAUCGGGGACGCAAAUCGGAACGUCAAACUAAAAAGUGAUGAUGGCUCUGAACGUCAAACUGAGGAGUAGUAAUGAUGGCUCUUAACGUCGAAACUGAAAAUACAACGAGGAUAGCUCUAAACACUGAUACUGAUGAGUGAUGGCUCUGAACACCGAAUCGAAAGUGGACAAUGGCUCUGAAUGCCAAACGAAGCAAAACAUGGCUCCGAACGUCGGAAUGAAUGACGUAAUGGCUCUGAACGCCGAACGAGAAUAUGACUCUGAACGUCAAACUGAGGAGUAAUAAUGAUGGCUCUGAACGUCGAAACUGAAAAUACGACGAGGAUAGCUCUAAACACUGAUAUUGAUGAGUGAUGGCUCUAAACGCCGAACGAAGAUGCGAUGAUGGCUCUGAACGCCGAAACUGGGAAAGCGAUGGCUCUGAACGCCAACGAAGAUGCAAUGAUGGCUCUGAACACUAAACGCAUCGAAACAUGGCUCUGAACGCCGAAAUGGGAAAGUGAUGGCUCUAAAUGCCAAUGAAGAUGCGAUGAUGGCUUUGAACGCUAAACGAAGCGAAACAUGACUCUAAACGUCAAACUGAGGAGUGAUAAUGGCUCUGAACGCUGAAAUCGGGAACGCAAAUCGGAACGUCAAACUAGGAAGUGAUGAUGGCUCUGAACGUCAAACUGAGGAGUGAUAAUGAUGGCUCUGAAUGUUGAAACUGAAAAUACGGCGAGGAUAGCUCUAAACACUAAUACUGAUGAGUGAUGGCUUUGAAAACUGAAUCGAAAGUGGACAAUGGCUCUGAACGCCAAACGAAGCAAAACAUGGCUCCGAACGUCGGAAUGAAUGACGUAAUGGCUCUGAACGCCCGACGAGAACACGACUCUAAACAUCAAACUGAGGAGUAGUAAUGAUGGCUCUGAACGUCGAAACUGAAAAUACGACGAGGAUAGCUUUAAACACUGAUACUGAUGAGUGAUGGCUUUGAACGCCGAACGAAGAUGCGAUGAAGACUCUGAACGCCGAAACCGGGAAAGUGAUGGCUCUGAAUGACAACGAAGAUGCGAUGAUGGCUCUGAAUGCUAAACAAAGCGAAACAUGCCUCUAAACGCCGAAAUCAGGAAAAUGAUGGCUCUGAACGCCAACGAAGAUGCGAUGAUGGCUCUGAAUGCUAAACGAAGCGAAAUAUGGCUCUAAACGUCAAACUAAGGAGUGAUAAUGGCUCUGAACGUCAAACUGAGGAGUGAUAAUGAUGGCUCUGAAUGUCGAAACUGAAAAUACGACGAGGAUAGCUUCUUAACACUGAUACUGAUGAGUGAUGGCUCUGAACACCGAAUCGAAAGUGGACAAUGGCUCUGAACACCAAACAAAGCAAAACAUGGCUCCGAACAUCAGAAUGAAUGAUGUAAUGGCUCUGAACGCCUGACGAGAACACGACUCUAAACAUCAAACUGAGGAGUAGUAAUGAUGGCUCUGAACGUUGAAACUGAAAAUAUGACGAGGAUAGCUCUAAACACUGAUACUGAUGAGUGAUAGCUCUGAACGCCUAAAAAAGAUGCGAUGAUGGCUCUGAACGCCGAAACCGGGAAAGUGAUGGCUCUGAACGUCAAACUGAGGAGUGAUAAUGGCUUUGAACCCCGAACGAAGCGAAACAUGGCUCUGAAUGCCGAAAUCGGGAAAGUGAUGGCUCUGAACGCCAACGAAUCGAAACAUGGCUCUGAACGUCAAACUGAGAAGUGAUAAUGGCUUUAAACGCCGAACGAAGCAAAAAUGGCUCUGAAUGCCGAAAUCGGGAAAGUGAUGGCUUUGAACGCCAACGAAGAUGUGGUGAUGACUUUGAACGCUGAAACCGGGAAAGUGAUGGCUCUGAACGUCAAACUGAGGAGUGAUAAUGGCUUUGAACACCAAACAAAGCGAAACAUGGCUCUAAAUGCCGAAAUUGGGAAAAUGAUGGCUCUGAAUGCCAACGAAGAUGCGAUGAUGGCUCUGAACGCCGAAACGAAGCGAAACAUGGCUCUAAACACCGAAAUCAAGAAAGUGAUGGCUCUGAACNNNNNNNNNNNNNNNNNNNNNNNNNNNNNNNNNNNNNNNNNNNNNNNNNNNNNNNNNNNNNNNNNNNNNNNNNNNNNNNNNNNNNNNNNNNNNNNNNNNNGGGAAAAUGAUGGCUUUAAAUGCCAAAGAAGAUGCGAUAAUGGCUCUGAACGCCGAAACGAAGCGAAACAUGGCUCUAAACACCGAAAUCAGGAAAGUGAUGGCUCUGAACGCCAACGAAGAUGUGAUGAUGGCUCUGAACGCUAAACGAAGCGAAACAUGGCUCUGAACGCCGAAAUCGGGAAAGUGAUGGCUUUGAACGCCAACGAAGAUGCGAUGAUGGCUCUGAACGCUAAACGAAGUGAAACAUGGCUCUGAACGUCAAAUUGAGGAGUAGUAAUGAUGGCUCUGAAUGUCGAAACUGAAAAUACGACGAGAAUAGCUCUAAACACUGAUACUGAUGAGUGAUGGCUCUGAACGCCAAACGAAGAUGCGAUAAUGGUUUUGAACGCCGAAACCGAGAAAGUAAUGGCUUUGAACGCUGAACGAAGAUGCGACGAUGGCUCUGAAUGCCAAAACGGGGAAGUGACUCUGAACGUCAAACUAGGAAGUGAUGAUGAUGGCUCUAAACACCGAGACUUAAAAUGAUGGUGGCUCUGAACGCCGAACUACAAGGAAAUGAUGAGAGAGAAAUAUGUCCCAGUGUGGCAUGCCGCUGCAAAUCUCAAUCCGCUAGAAGGGUCUGAAAGAGACUCUAUGAGCCCCGAAAGACGCUCUGCUAGCUAGUUAGAAUGAUCAGGUCAACGGUGAACAUAGUCUCUGGACUUGCCCGAAGAAAUCACGAGGUCUGCCAGAGUGUCGUAAUAAGCCGAACUCCUCUGACUCAUAAUGCUCUGCCUAAAGAACCUAUCGUCGUCCUGAACGGAUAAUCCGAUAGUCUCAGGGAGUGGUCUGGUAAGAGACACACCACAAUCUCGAUAUAGCAAUCUACUGAAUAGUCCUGGCUAAUGGGGUGAUCAAAACCCGAACAUCGUGCUCUACUGGAAGCUCAUCUCAACGAACAACAUAGGAAUAGUGACCAGUGAAGCAAAUGCAAUAUCUCUCGAUCGAGUAAUGAAAACUGUAACAGACCUGUGAGAGAAUGAUCAUCUCCAUAGCUAAAUGAGGAAAAUAUGCCCCAGUAUGGCAUCAGAUAUAUCCGAUCUGUCCUGAUAACUCAAGGAUAACUCCAUGGGGAUGCACAAAGGAUCUAUCAUGUACUCCGCUAAAAUGGUGACACGGGAAUCCUCGCGCCUGAGGUAACUCUGUCCACGAAUCGCGACUAUAUCAGGAAACGCGAAUCCGAUUGAAAGACUCAAGAAAGGCUCCGUGGAGUACCAGGACACAAUGAAAUCGAAUGAUCCACCUGAUGCGUACCUCAAAACCGAGGGUGAUCAUGCCAAUCAGUGGGGGAUCUACAAAUCUCGACCGAAAUGGGGAAUACGUCCUAGCGUGGCAUCAAAAUGUGACAGGUCGGAAAAUCAGAUGAGCUCAAAUCAUCCCUCAUCGAAUGCUCGAUCCAAGUCAUCCAUGUCUACAACUGAAUCAGGCCCACAAAUCGAAGAGGCAUCUCUCGGAAGGGAGCAUGAUGACAUCUAAGUGUUGAGAGGUGCAGGCCUAAUGAGGCGACUCCUGAGAGGCCCCAUUGAGAAAUCAUCAUAAAGAUAGUGGAUAGAACGUCGUCCCGGCGCACGUCUCGUAAAUGGGGAUGAGUACACAACUCCACCAAGAUCUGUAAAUCUCAUCCAGAUCGGCAAUACGCCCCAGCAUGACAUCAAACGUAUGAUAGGUCGAAGAUCGGGCGACGUGAAAUCACCUAUCAUCGAACAUGCGACAUCCGUGAAGGUCCAUAAAUCUCAUCUGAAGUGGAAAAUGUGCCCGAGUAUGGCGUCAGGUGCACGACAGGUCCAAAUAGCAAAAUGACAUGAAGUCAUCUAUCGUCACACAUGUGACCUCCAUGAAAAUCAGUAAAUCUCAUCCAAAACAGAAAUAUGCCCCAGCAUGGCAUCAGAUGCGCGAUAGGUCCGAAGAACAAAAUGACAUGAAGUCAUCUAUCGUCGCACAUGUGACUUCCAUGAAAAUCAGUAAAUCUCAUCCGAAACGGAAAUAUGCCCCAGUGUGGCAUCAGGUAUACGACAGGUCCAAGGAACAAAUGACAUGAACUCAUCUAUCGUUGAGCACGUGAACUCUGUGAAGAUCCAUAAAUCUCAUCUAAAAUAGAAAACACGCCCCGGUAUGGCAUCAGGUGCACGAUAGGUCCGAAUAACAAAUGACAUGGAAUCAUCUAUCGUCACACAUGUAAUCCUGGUCAUUCGGAUCUAUAACUGAAUCAUGCCCAUAGAUCCAAGAUGUACUUCCCGGAUGGAGAAGCAUGAUGGCAUCUAAGUGCCGAGAAAUGCGGGCCUAACUGGAUGGCUCUCGGGAUGCUCCUCUGAAGAAUCAUGAUAAGGCAACGAUCAUGUCUACGUCUCGGUGAGCAUCCAGUGAGUGAUGAUGAUCGUGCAAGUCCGUGAGGAUCCAUAAACCUCCAAAUGAAAUGGGAUAUGCCACAGUGUGGCAUCAGAGGCACAAUAGGUCAAAAAUCGAGGAUGCCAAACCAUCCAUCGUCAAAACGCAUGAUCCCGGUAAUCCGAACAUAACUGAAUCAGACCUACACAUCAAAGAGGUGACUCCCAGAAGAAGAAGCAUGACGAUAUCCAAACAUCAACCAAAUCUCAGACACUUGUCCAAGUAGAGGUUGUCGAAGACGACAUCUGAUCCCAUGGCCUCAGGGUGGUCUUAAGACGUGGGACGUAACGUAGGCUAGGGUGAUAGGGUAAUAGAAAUGAAAGGAAACUAGACUCAAAUACCCAAUGAUCAGAAAACCAUGCCCUCAUAUAUGAAAUGCAACAUGUAUAGUAAGUCCCGUGAGCCACGGACCUGAGGAUGCCUAACGUGAAUAUGAUGUCGAUAAGGAGACAAAUGAAGCAAAAUGAACUGAUAGUGAUAUGUGGAAUGAUGAUGCGAAGUGAGUAUCAAACCCGAGAUGGGUUGCUGUAUGAAGAGAAUAAAACGUGAAGUGAAUGAGAUGAAUCACAAGCAACGAUAAGAAUGACAGCGAAAUAAUGAAUAUGUGAAGAAAGGUGGUGAUCGACUCAGAUCAAACAUGGAGUGAAGUCACAUCAAUAAUGAAUGUAAUGAUGGAAAGGACAAUGACUCGGAGUCCUUAGGAGAAGGUCACUCAUCUCUCUCACAAAUAGAUAUGACAAAGCAAUACAAAUAACAUGGGAUCUCAAAGAGCUCACAUACAAACUCUCAAUAACGAACAUACUCGAUAAAAAUGACCCUAAACAUCAAUAUACAUACUCAAUGAUCAAGAACACUAUGCACAUACACACAUGUGCUUAUUAUUUUUCUUUUUCUUUUCUUUUCAUUUUCAUUUUUUUUUUUACAUAUAUACAAAUACACAUACCCUAAAUGUGAACACAUGAACCCCAAGGAUGAUGUCGAUAACGGAUGGACACCAUCUCAAGUGCUAAGGCAACCAAAACUCUCUCUAAUGAGAUGACAUUCUCAAACUAAGGAUCUCUAAACCAAUGUCCGUGAGAUAGAUGGUGGAAAUGAUGUGACUAUCCUCCACGUGAUGAAUUGAGGAGGCUCACCACUCAGGGUGGAGAGAAUAUGAAACAAACAAGUAGUAGAUAAGAUAAGGAAGAAGAGACGAGGAACACAAACAACGAGGUGAGAUGAAAAUGCAGAGGUGCAGUGAUAGAAAAAAAUAAUGAGAAAAAACGUGCCCCUAGGUCCAAGGCUCAUGAAAUUCCCAAACAAUGCAUGCAUACACUAAAAAGGCCCCUAUCCCGGUGUGAAAAUGUGAGCAAGGCGAUAAGAAAGAAAGACUAUAAUGCGCAUGCGAGGCUUAAUAGGCUAGCAACAGACUAUGUAUCACAAAGGAAUAACAAGGUAAUGGCUAACCGAAAUAAUGGGCACCCAUCCUGCGACCAUGGUCUCAAACAUAGUACCUCUUUAGCUGAUCCACAUUGGUAGGCUUUGAGAAUCGGUUUCCAUCUAAAUCCAUCAACCAUGCAGCGCCCUCUGGGGUCAACUCCCUAAUGAAAUAAGGUUCGCUCCAGUUGGGUCUGAACUUCCCUCUAGGAUCUUUGAUCAAUCCCCUGAUGACCUUCAGAACCAAGUCACCUAUCCGUAAUGGUCAAGGCUUGACCCGUUUUUUAAAAGCACGGGCCAUCUUCCUCUGAUAUGCACGAACAUGGUCUGUUACUCUCAAUCUCCUCUCAUCCAGGAGAUUGAGCUGAUCAAAUUGAGCCUGAGCCCAAUCUGCCUUGGGAAUCUGCUGUUUUAGUGCUACUCUCAACGAACCCAUCUCGAUCUCAACAGGUAGCACCACCUCCAUGCCGUACACCAAUGAGUAAGGUGUGGCGCCUAUAAAGGUACGAAAAGAAGUCCGAUAAGCCCACAAUGCAAAUGGGAGCUUCUCUGACCAAUCCCGAGAAGCCUUGACCACCCUCCGUAAUAUCCUCUUGAUAUUCUUAUUCGCGACCUCUACUGCCCCGUUCGUCUACGACCUGUAAGCAGACGACCUAUGAUGUUGGAUGCUAUAUCGCUGCACCAAGGUGUCAACCUCUGCCCUAAAAUGUACCCCUCUAUCCGAAAUCAACUCAUGAGGGACUCCAUAGUGACAGAUAAUGUGUGAUCUGAUGAAACUAGCAACUCCAGAUGAUGUCAAUCUCGCAUACGAAGCAGUCUCCACCCACUUGGUGAAGUAAUCGAUGACGACCAGGAUGAACUCAUGACCACUGGAAGAUUUCGGCGAAAUCUUCCCGAUGAUGUCGAUACCCCAUACUAAAAACGGCCAAGGUGAAGUCAAUAUGUGCAACUCUGAAGGUGGCACGUGAAUGAGGUCCCCAUGUAUCUGACACUUGGGACAUCUCUGAACAAAUUGGCAGCAAUCCGUCUCCAUGUUCAACUAGAAGUAACCGGUCCUCAUGAUCUUACGGGCCAACAUAUGUCCUCCCAUAUGUGGUCCGCAGACUCCCGAAUGAACCUCUCUCAUCGCUCGAUUGGCAGAGGCGCGGUCCAAACACAAUAGCAACAUCCCGUCAGCUGAUCGUCUAUAUAGUGUCUCGCCACAAAUCAUGAAUCGGGCGGCUAACUGUCUCAAUGCUCUCAUAUCCUUGGUCGUGGCGACCUCAGGAUGUAUGCCAAGUCUCAGAAAGUGAUAUAUGUCAUGGUACCAGGGCAGAUCAUCGUCUAUCUCCGUAUCGUCAAUCAAACAACAAUACGCAUGAGCAGAUCUCGACUCAAUCAACAAUGGACGAACAGUGGCGUCAACAGGAAUGUCAAACAUGGAAGCCAGAGUAGCUAAAGAGUCAGCAAACUGGUUAUGCGCUCUAGGCAGAUGGGUAUAUCUCAAAUCAUCAAAUCUCCCAACCAGUAGCUCCAAAUAUGCAUGAUAGGGCCUAAGCUUCACAUCUCUAAUCUUCCAUUCGCCCUGAAUCUAUUUCAAUACCCGAUUGGAGUCACCAAACACCUCCAUCUAUCUAAUCCCGAGCUCGAGGGCAGUCUCUAAUCCCAAGAUACAAGCCUCAUACUCAACAAUGUUGUUUGUGGCAGGAUGUCGAUUAGAGAAUGCCAAACGAACAAAUCUGGGAAUGUGAUCACCAUGAGGAGAUAUCAAUAGGACGCCUAUCCCGUACCCAGAAUGGUUGGCUGCACCAUCAAAGUACAUGCGCCAUCCUGAUAAACUGGUCACAACUGCGACAUCCUCGUCCGGGAAGUUAUCAUCAAUGGCUCUGCCAUCGGAAACUGGUAAAGAAGCUAGGUGAUCCGUGACAAUGCUCCCUAUGAUGGACUUCUGAGUGACAUAAUGGAUGUCGAACUCAGUCAGAAGCACCAACCAUCUCAUGAGGCGACCAACCAGGGCGGGCCUGUCAAACAAAUAUCUUAGAGGGUCUAGACGGGAUAUCAAAUGCACUGAAUACUCGGUCAUGUAAUGUCUCAAUCAUCAAGUGGCCCAAACCAAUGCCAAGCAAUAACGCUCAAUCAUAACAUAUCUCGUCUCGUAAUCUAGCAUCCUCUUACUCAGAUAAUAAAUGGCUCGAUCCUUGCCCGAAUCAUCAAGCUAAGCCAACAUGCAUCCUAAAGCCACGUCUGAGACGGAUAGGUAUAGGAGUAAAGGACGACUUGGUGUAGGAGGCGCCAAGACUGGAGGUGACAACAAGUACUCUCGGAUCCUCUCGAAUGCGUGUUGACACUAAUCAUCCUAAACAGCAGGUUGACUUUUCCUUAAGAGUCGAAAAAUGGGCUCACAGAUAUCUGUCAAUCUGGCGAUGAAUCUGCUGAUGUACUGAAGUCUACCCAAGAAGCCUCUGACCUCUCUCUCUUUGUCCUCGGUGCACGCAUGUCAAGGAUGACUCUGAUCUUAUCCGGGUCUCCUUCUAUACCUCUCUCACUGACUAUAUACCCCAAGAGUUUCCCAGAAGUCACUCUGAAAGUGCACUUCUUGGGAUUCAAUCUUAAUCUGAACUGUCGGAUCCUCUCAAAGAACCUCUUUAGAGCUGCUAGGUGAUCUGGUCUGUCUUGGGAUUUCACUAUCAUGUCGUCUACAUAAACCUCGACAUCCCGAUGCAUCAUGUCAUGGAAAAGGGUGGUCGCCGCUCUUUGAUAGGUGGCUCCUGCAUUCUUUAAUCCGAAUGGCAUGACUCUGUAGCAAUAAGUACCCCACUCAGUAAUGAAGGACAUCUUUUCCAUGUCCUCUAGAGCCAUCAAGACCUGACUAUACCCAGAAAAUCCGUCCAUAAAGGAUAACAUCGAGUGACCUGCCGUACUGUCAACUAGUAUGUCGAUGUGUGGAAGAGGAAAAUCAUCCUUAGGACUGGCCUUGUUGAGAUCUCGAAAAUCAACGUUGACUCUCACAUUGCCGUCCUUUUUGGGAACAGGGACGACAUUGGCCAACUACUCCGGGUACUCGACCACUUAUAAGAAUCCUACACUGAGCUACUUCUGAAUCUCCUCCUUGACCUGCAAGCUCCAACGAGGAUGCAAUCGUCUCAACUUCUGCUUAACCGAUCUGGCAUGGGGCAAAAGUGGCAAACGAUACUGGACAAUAGAUGGAUCAAGGCCUGGCAUGUCCUUAUAGGACCAUGCGAAAACGUCCAAGUAUGCUCUGAGCAACUGGAUAAGGCUAUCUCUCUCAUCAAUAGAUAAAUCUGAUCCGAUCCUCAACUCUCUAGGCUGAUCUGCUGUGCCGAAAUCAACAAUCUCCGUGUCCCCUACAGCAGGUGAAACUCUCUCAUCAACAGGAUCCGAAUCGGUAACAGAAGACGAGUCAUCGUCUGAAUCAUGCUGCGUAAUCUCAUCAUCAAUGUCAAAAAUCUGUGAUGUGGGUGAAGAUGGUGCAGAUAAAUCAAUAACAUGAGAGAUAGGCAAAUACUCAAAGAUGCUCAAAUCCAUAGAUGAAAAGUCAGAAACAUAGUCAUGACAGGAGACAAAUCUCGAUAAAACAUCAAAGGAAAGAGGUGGGUCCACAAGGUCGGACGCUCCCUCAACUAGGCCAACAGGGCCAUCAAACAAACCAUCAACAACCAUAACAUCCUCGAUGAUCUUCGGAGCAGGAGCGAACUGAAUCUUCUCGACGAUCUCGAGGACGGACACCCCGAAGAGAUCAAAUGGUGAAGCGAGCUUAGACGGGGCUAUCUCCUCGAUUUGGCUCAAGCUCAUCGCGAGCAUCUCAUCAACGUACUCGUCACGUGGCACGACUCCGUCUACUAUGUCUUCGAUCUCGGCAAAAGUCUCGUGCUCAUCGAUCUCAUCCAGGAAGCAAAGUGUUGAUUACUACUCAAAAAGUGCUAUUUUGUAGCUUGUAAUUAAUCCUUUUAAACACUUUUGAGUAGUAGUUAUUGCCUUUUAACUCAAUUAACAUGUUAAGGACCCUUGCAAUCAUUUCUAAUCAAAUUGUGUAAGUUUUGGUGUUUUUGUUAGUAAUUUGAUCACCAAAACUAUCCAAGAUUGAGGAGAGUUAUUUGGAAUUCAUGGCAAAGCUUUUGGAAGCUCAAAUUCAUGAAGAACCAAGCUUUGGAGCUUCAUAGCCCUUUGCCAAAGUCGUUCAAAGUAUGCAAGGAGAGAAGCAAGGAGAGAAGCAAGGAGAAAGGAAAAACAGAGUGAAGAAAACAGAGGAAAGCCAGCUGCAGUCUUCUUUUGCACUUUUGGAGCACUUCCCGAAGUCCAUUUUCUACAUUCUAUAUAUCAUUUCAAAGCUCAGGAAGUCAAAAAUCCAAAGCUUCAAACGGUGCACGAUUCGGAGUUGAAACGAAGAAGUUACAGCCAUUGCAAGCAGAUCACUCCAAAGUGUUGCGAAAUCAGCCUUUUGUUGCGAGAAUUUCGCAGCCUUUUUGUACAGUGCUAUGGAAUUCCUCCUAAAGCUACCCGAUACAUGCCGCAAGCUGGAACGCUGAGAACCUCAAGGUGGAAGCCAAUUUCGCAGCCCUGCGAGUUUAACUUGUUGUUGCGAAAAUAUUUCGCAGCCCUCUUGGGUGUCUGCGAAAUCUCGCAGACACCAUUUUCACCUGCGAAAUGGUUCCUGAAGCUUCCCGAUAUUUUCCACCAACUCUUUUGGAUAUUUUUCUUCAGAUAUUUUUGUAUAAAUUUCCAUUUUCUCCUUGUAUUCAGCCACUCAUGUAAUUCCUUAGCUAGGAAGUGUCCAAGGAAGGGUAAAUUACCUUCCUAUAUAAACUCUCUUGCAUCCACUGUAAAAAGACGCUCGGAGAAGUAUGUAAUAUAGAUAUAUCAUAUAUAGAAUCAAGGAACAGAGCACUUGCUCUGUUUUUUCAUAUAUAUUCUUGUCUUCUCUUUCAUUUUCAUUUUUUAGCAAACCAAACUCUGAGGAUUUUUCCACAGAGGAUGAGAGGCUAGGCUCUUUGUCUCUUGGAGUAAGGUAACCGGGUAAGUUUCCACAUGCAUAAUUUGGAAGUUUUGUUGUUUUAGUUUUUAAUGAAGAGAAAGUGUAACCCGUUAAUGGUUUUUAUCUUUUAAGUUAACUUAAAACGCCUUUAAAUCACCUGGGCCAACACUUGGUAAGGCAAGUGAUCUCCAUCCAUGGAGAUGCACUAGUUUACCCCUUGCGAGCCUUUGGGAGGUGACUUCAAGGUAGGAUUUUCUAGAAUAGCCAACACUUGGUAAGCUUUUGGACUCCAAGGAGACAUCCAUUAGUUAUCUCUUGCGAGCUUUUGACGGGUAAUCCAAGGUUAAAGAUCACCUUGAAUGGCAAGUGCUAAGUGAGAGGUAUGAGCCAUUGCAAAGUGCAUCAGUGAGAGGGAUUUAGUGUUUGAACCCAUUAAUGGGAAGCAUCUGUACAACACCGGUUAGAGAAUUAACUAUAUGUUAAUUCUCUAAUGCGAGGAAAAGAAACAAGUGACCGGAACUCCCUUUUUGUAUGAGGAAUCUGAGCCUAGUGAUCUGAACUCCAAGAAACACUUUUCUUUGUAGUUAAAAUCAGUUACUAUUUUUGGUUAGCUUAAAACCAACUUUUUCCAUUUAAACAUCUUUAUGUUUUCUUUUAAAGCUAACUUUGAAAUGAAAAGGCACCAAUUCAGCUUUGAAUUGAUAUCAUUUGUGAAGUGAAAACCCAUCCCAGUGAACGAUCCUAGAGCCACUAUACUAUAGUAGCUUUUUCUUUGCUACCCUAGUAUAUAGUGUUAUAGGUUAUAAAUUUUGUUGAUCACUCCCUCAAUCAAGGAGCACCAGCUGGACACGAAUCAGCUGAGACACCAAUUGGGCACGAAUCAAAUGGCGCCGUUGCCGGGGAUCGAACCCCGAAUCAAAUGGUGCCAUUGCCACUGCCGCUGCUAGGGACGAAUCAAGUGUCAUAAAGCUCGUGCGAUCGGGGGAGGGAGGAGCGAUCAAUGCAGAAGUCAAAGGGCCAAGGACUCCGUCACUCAACUGUAACUACUGGAUGAGGUGCUAAAGCUCGGCCUCCUAGGUGGUGUUGAGUCCUCCGAUGAUCCCAUCAGACGGUGCACGUGGCUCCGAUGCCCUCACAAAGUAAUCGGCUAGGCUUAGGGUGUAUGGGCGAACAGGAUAAUAAAAGGGCGUAUGAGUCAAGCGAGCCAUCACCCUCUCCCUACGCAAUCGUGCCAUAUAACGAUAGUCGGCCUCAGUGGGAAUGAAUCCAAACCUGAAUGGUACGUCGUGGUCCGGAAAGACCAUGAACACACUAGGCCAGUGUUGACGCCGCCCUAACCCCAUACCGGGAAUAUAAGACAUGCUUCGCAUAAUAUCGAGCACUACCGUGCUGUUGUGCUGGUCGAAGGACAUGACUACAAAGUCUCGACAGAAAUCCUCCAUUUCCAAAGUCUGCACCUCGUCAAAGGUGAAUCUGGUUAGAAAAAGAUCAUCAUCAACGUGACUAAUCUCGAGUACGGGCUCAGCCGAAAUGAACAUAUCCCCUAUAGACUGCACCACGAUGACCCGACCAUCAUGAAUAAACUUCACCUUCUGAUGAAGGGAAGAAGGAAUGGUCCCAACUCUAUGGAUCCAUGGUCGGCCCAGAAGCAGGUUAAAGGACGCAGGAAUCCUCAAAACCUGAAAUACGGCGACAAAAGUGGCUGGACCAAUUAGUAGCUCAAUCUCUAAUGUACCCAUGACCUCCCUCCGAGUGCUAUCAUACGCGCGAACGGUCUGAGUGGAGGGACCGAAGUCAGAAUGAGCGUAUUCGAGGACAAUGGCAGUGGCAAGAGGACAUACGUUCAGGGCCGAGCCAUUAUCCAGAAGGACAGAUGGGACGCGGCGACCUGAACAGCCAAUAGAUAUGUAUAGAAGACAUGUGUGGUCCGAGCCCUCCGGUGGCAAAUCAUCGUCCGAGAAUACGAUGCAUGUGGCUUGGCAGGCCGUCAUCAUAUGAAUCAAUCCCUGAUUUGGUUCAGAGCUCGAAUCAGAGCAUCACGGUGAGUGCUCGAGGACACCAACAGGCUCCAGAUGGAAAUACGAGCCCGAGUACUCUAUAGCUGUCUCAAAAUCUCAUCGUCCUCUACUCUAACCUCCUCGGGAGCAAAUGUACCCUCAACGGCCUAGCUACAGUGGGAGGUGGCUGUCGCAUCAGUCUACCUCCUCGGAAAAUAUACUGAACAUCCAAAGUCUAAGGAUCAUCAACACGUGGAACCUGAACCCCCUCAACAUCUGGGAUCAAGAUGAAUGGCACCUGGACGCUAUAAUGUGGCAGAAUCAAUGGCUCAACAGUGGUAGCCUGCACCGACGCCGCCUCGAGAACCAAUCGGAAUGGAGCGAGCAUCCGAGGCCCUAGAGUCAUCCCACUCAUCUCAUAAAUCACAUCUGACAUGAUGGGCUUUGAGUCUGAAUCGUCCUCACUCAGCAUGUGGAUAUGGUCAUCGAUCUCAUCAAAGUCUAAGAAAUGAAUGUCAUCAGCUGGUGGAGGGACUGCAUGUGUGGUAUGGGCAGGUAACGGGUUCGUGGUCACACUCGGCUGACCCUAGUGUACCAAACCCUGGUCGAUCAAAUCCUGGACGGCAUGCCUCAAAGCGGUGCAUCGAUCGGUCUCGUGUCCAGGCCCCUGAUGGUAUGCACAGUGCGGAUCCAUCCUGAACGGAGGCAGAAUCGGCUGAGGCGACGGCCUAGGAGUGAGAGUAGUCAACAACCCUGCCUCUGUAAGCUUCUGAAGAGCCUGGCUCAACGACAUGCCUAACUGCGAGAACUACCUAUGUGUCCUUAAAGCAAAUGGAGCAAAAGUCUGCUAAGCUCUAGGUCGGGGAUAAGGCACUGCGAGUCUCGUAGUGAAUUGAGCAGCAUAGCAUGGCUGUCCUGUGGCCGUGUAGGAAAUCGGGGGUCUCUCAAUGCCUUGGGAGGCAUAAUAAGGCAAAGCCAAAGUCUGCGGCGUGUAUAUCUGAUCAUAAGCCGGACGAGGGGCCCGUGGCCUAUACUGAUGAGGUGCAUAGGAAGAAUGAGGCUCAGAAAGCUGUGGGAUUGGUUGAUGGUGCUUAAGAGGCCUCUGACUGGAAGAACCAAUGGCACUCACAUCCACUGACCUCUGUCCUACAAAGGGCUUCUUCCCCUUAAUAUCACUAGGGGAAGAAUCUGUCCACAAUCCUCUCGAGAUGUCGUCCUCGACAUCGUAUAAAGCCAGAACCAAUGAGCCAAAAUUUGCGAAUGGUACCCCGACCACGUGCCUAGCGAUCCUGGGCUGUAAACUCCUCAAGACCAUCUGUACCUGAUCUCUCUCCGGAGGCCUAUCAAUGAUCUCGGCAAUCUUCCCACGCUAGCGGGAGAUGAAUGAUGAAACUAACUCAUCUAUCCUCUGCCUCAGAGCCUCGAGCUCUCUCCUAGAUAUGUCAACGACAAUAUUAAAUGCAUAUUGUCUCAAGAACUCUUGGGCCAGAUCAUCCCAAGUCCGACGACGUGAUACAUCCAAAGAAGCAAACCAACGCUGUGCAGCGCCACCCAAAGACAUGGGGAAAAGCAUAAUCAUCUGAGCCCCGUCCAAUCCAUGAGCCCUCAUGAUCGUACUGUAAAGCCUCAAAUGGAUACGGGGGCACCCAAUCCUCGUGUAUAGCUCGAUCUCUGGCAUCCUGAACUUGGCUGGUAAACUGGCCACUAGCACUCCAUCAAAAUCCUCCCAAGUAAUGGCUCUGUCUGAAGUCCUCAACUGCCUCAAACCCUGCUCAAGUUUAUCCAUGCGAGCAUGUGGGUCCUCUGAGGUCGGGGUAGGCACGGUGAUGGGAGGUGGGGCAACCUCGGUCAGACUAUGUAGAGUGAACGGCAUGGCCUGUGGUGCUGACUGAUUGGGUGGAGGGGGUGGUGGCACUGUAGGGUCAUACUGGGCGCCAUCCUGAGGCGGGACCUACUGAGCCUGCUGCCCAUCUAUCCUCCGGCCGAGGCUAGCUAUAGCCUCCUGAAUCAAAGCCAUGGCCUCAGCAAACUGAUCGACGGUAACUACCUGUGAAUCCAUAUCUCUCUGAUUUGAUCUCUGGUCUGACUGGUCCGAUACCCUGAUCAAUCUACCCUCAACUCUGAUCCAAGAAGUCGAACCUGGACUGAACGUAUCGAUACUCCUACAACAGUGGAAAUACUAGAUAAGAUACGGGGUAAGGGAAACUUCACAAAGAAUGUCUAUCAAAUGUAUUGAAAGGUAGCCCGGGAGCAAUCAAACUGAUAUCCAGUCCUAAGCAAAUAUAUAAGAUACUACUGUGAAGGUAACUAAACCUGUCACUACUGAACCAGCUCUGAAGGCCCACAGAUGCACCCACGUGUUCGGGAAGGAAAAUUCUAAUUGAAAUGUCUAAGGCUCAACUUACAAGGUCAAGGCGGCUCUAAAAGGAGAUAGGUGGACUUUAAAAGAUCCCUAGCAGAAGCGAUCGUACCCUCCGGUGGUACGCAACCCUCUACACGCCUCCGAAGAGACGGGGCGCUUCCAUGCAAGGUGGGCAUCACCUCCACACAUGCACUACCUCGACAUCCCAGGGGGUUUCUUAUGGUGAAACCUCUCAAACUCUCAACGCUCAAUGGUCAACUAGAGUGCAGAGUGAACUGUGUGGGUGCAUCCGAUAACCCUAAGAAGCUAAAACGGGAAAGGAAACACACUGGCCACACAAAUAUCCAUGAAACCUAGCUUCGGGCUAUACAGGUCUUCAAUGAUCGGACUCCAAUCGACAUAAAAGUGUCGCUCUCCUCUAGAAUGCUCCCAUGCAUCGAUAUAGCCCGUCGUUAGACCUCACUCCUAAUCUCUAGCUCGGUCAGAGAGCAAGCACAUAGAAGGUCUCACACUUGCAAUAGUGAGAACCGAGAUGACAGGAAUGACCAAAACCAAGAGAGUUGGAGGUAAGGGGAUAUACAUGCGGCCCACAGAGACAAGCAACAUGCAAUCACAUAGAAGGAAGGCAGUCAUGCAACAUGCAAUCAAGCAGAGUACAGGGUAUAUCAUUCAUGUCCACACAAACCAUGAUAAAUAGAUAAAAAGUGAUACAUAUAUACAUCAUGCUCAAAGACGAUCAAGAGGAUAUACAACCUAGUGAACCAACGUGCCAAAUCAAUCGAUAUCGGAAUGAAUCGAUAUUACAUCAUGUUAAAAAAUGAAUCUAUACAUGCAAGGCGACUAAAACAAUCAUGGCAAACAUCGGAAUCACUAUGCUAAACGAAGCAAGAUAGGUAAUCAAUGCAAUCAACAUGUCAAUAUUUCCAACGAAUAUGGCAAUGAAGCACAAAGAAAGUAGCCAUCAUAGGAUCCUUAAUCAAGACGAAUGAAUCGUCGCAAGCAACAUGUCAGGAAUUCUCAAUGCACAAUCAAGAUAUGAGUACCCAAUGAUCGACCCAUCAAACGCCAGGUUUGCUUCAUCUUAAGUUCAAGAUUGACUCUCUAAACAUCCCUAGUGGAGUCGCCAUUUUGUGGACCCCUCCAUUUCGGCUCAUGCUGUGGACCCGCAUUUUUCACGUGCGCCCCCACUCGAUCGGCGAGACCCGCUUUUUAUUUGUGAAAAAUUAAUUUUUAGAAAAGUCGGAGUCGCCACUUAUUUUAUUUUUAUUUUAAAGGGAAAAUAAAACAAGAAAGAAAAACCCUAAAAAAAAAUGACUCCAUAAUUUUUGGAAAAGCAUGUCUUUGAAAACCCAAGUCUUGGUCCGGGGAUCAGGUUACUUAUUGGGAAGGUACCUCUAAGAGGUAGUACCCCUCUAAGCCCUAUAAAGGUCUCUACUGACAAAGUUAAGGGAAGUGUGGUCAUUAAUCAGUUAAUUAUAGGUACCUAAGUAGGCUAGAUGAUUUCAAAUAUUGCAUGCCUAACAAGAAAACCAACCAUAAGAGAGAGUCGAAGUGCGUACCUGAACGACUUCUCAAGCGCUAUCAUGAAACAUAAGAGAUUAGUUUGGAAAUGUGACACAUUAUAUGUAUUUUAUCAAAGAUGAUCAAACAAGCAUCAAGACAAUCAAUUAUGGCAUCAAACAUGGUCAUGGUUCAUGAUAACAUACAUAUUCAUAGAAUUUUAGAGUUGAAGGGUAGAAAGAGCGUACCUGAUUAGCGAACAUCCAUACGUCUAUGGGAACAAGGGUAUCUCAACAAUAAAUAUAAAACGAAUCAUGUAUGUCAUCAAGGAGAAUAAAAAAUCAACAUAUCAAGCAAACAAUAUUGAAGAGAGUAUCAUAAAUUUCGGGCCCCCACCAAAGCCCUAAUUAAUUUCACAUGAGUUUGUUCUAUGAAUUCCAUUAUUUGGAAUCAUAAAAUUUAUUCAUGCUUAGAAAAAAUUGAGAAAAUCAGUUGAAAAUCAAAUAAAUUAGUGAAAACGCGUGCCAGAAGGAAAAUGGCAGCAAGAGUGUGUUAGAAUAUGGAUUUUAAACCUAGAAAGGACCUAAGAUGAAUUUUUUUCAAAGCCGGGAAUGUUUAGUCGAACAAUGGUUCAAAAAUUCAAUUUAAAACAGUAAGUUCCCAAUCAAAGAAGCAAAUAGAGGAGAAGGUGUGUAUAGCAAGGUUGCCAUGAAGUGAAGCCAGGAGAUUCCGGAUAGAAGGGACCAAUUCACUACAAAAGUGUACAACUGUCAAAUGCUUCAACUUAAAAGAUAUCUUGAUUUGUAAGCUCAACUGGAUUCUCCUCAACAGAAGUCAAAUAUUGAAUAGAAGGUUCGGAAUUUCCAAUUUUCUGCAUUGAGAGAUUUCCUGCAUUCUGCUAGCUUUCAAUUGAUUAAGCCUUUCAACUUUUACCUCAAUCUGCCAUAAAAGCGGCCUAGUAGAUUUUGGAACUUGAGUGAUUGACUCCUCAUGUCGACGUUCACUAGCUUGAUAACGCUUUUGAAGAUCCUCAAUGUCUCUAUAGAACCAAUCCUCUCUAAACACAGCCUGUUGCUCUGUUUAACGUUUGUCGUAGUUCUUCGAAGGGCCUGAACCAGCGUGGCUUUACGUUCCUCAGCUUCUCUUAGACGAAUUUCUAGUUCAGUUCUGGCUUCACUGUUAACCCAUGCCUCAACUAAUGCUUCAGUCAAUAAGAUUCAGCAACUUCUUAGCGUGAAACUUUCUUGCUAUCGAUUCUGUUGCAUGAUAGGGCAUCUUGAGAAAACCCCACUCCUCUCAUUGUUUGUAUUCUCAUAUGCCUUAGCUGGAAGUUGAAACACCAAUUAUAAGGUUUCUUCAAGCUUCAUGCUGUCAGCCUCUUCAGCCUGUGGUCUAGUUUCAGUUAUGGCAUUUGUUUGUAGUGUCCUAUUUUUCCGAAUUAGCCUCAAAGAUAUUCACAAGCUUGCCCUCCAACUGUGCUUCCUGUUUCAUUCUUUUCCUUUUCUCACAUAUAUAUAUCAUCCCUCAAGACCUAAAUUUGUUUCCAAAAAGGAAAAUUCUCCUAUUUCUUUUCUUCUUCUCUUCUUUUCCUUUUUUUAAAAUCUUCCCAUUCAAAAGCAAUCUUCCCCAUUUCGAAUUCCCCUCCAAAACCUUCCGAGGAGGGUCUCACCUUCCUUAAACUCCAAUGGUAAGUUUCCUUGCAAAAACAUGAAAUUUUUAAAAGUAAAUAAUUGAAUGAAUAACUAAACAAGUAAACAAAAUAAAUACAUAAAUAAAAUAAAAUAAAAGUCUUAGUAGGCCUAGUGUGCCUAAGUGGGCCUAGGGUGCCUAAGUGGACCUAAGUAGACUACCCUAAAAGCUAUCUUAAAAAUGAAUGAAAAGCCUAAGGUGGUGUUUGUUUUUUUACUUAAUUCUAAAUAGAACCUUAAUACUUAAUAGUAUUAAAUAUUAGGUUGUUUGUUUUUGUAGUAUUUUAUUUGUAUUAAGUAUUAAAAAGUAAAAAAAAAAAAACCAUUGUGUUAUUUUUUCUAUUUAGAAAAAGUCACAUAUUUUGGCUUUUUCUAUUUAGUAAAAAGUUUAUAAUAAGUCAUGAAAAAGUAAAAAAAACAAACAACCUAAAUUCUAAAACUAAAUGGUUUUCAGUAAAAAGCCAAAAAAACAAACACCACCUAAGUCUAAAAUAAGGCUGCCAAAGGUAGCAAUAAGAGGUCAGAUAAUCCUUCAGCUAAAAUCUCCAGGGUGACUCAGAAAAAGGUAAGUCGUACGAGUAGUAAUGGGCCACCAAGGAGUUACUAUGGGGCACUGAAAACAAAUUUAAAGACAUGUGCUAAAUGGACAAAAUUGAGGGUCUACAAAUAUGCCCCUCUUCGGUAUAGAUCACGAGUGUAGAGAAUGUGAGUAGAAACACGAGUAAUGAGCGGAAUGAAGUGAACUAUAUCGAAGAAUUAAAGAAGGACCAGAGAUUUUGUCGUAGCACAUGAGAAGGUAAGGUCAAAAGAUGGGGUCUCAACGACAUGGAUGGGACAACUUUAUGCGGGGGAAUGACAAUAAAGAGAGAACGGUAUGUGACGAGUAGCACAAAGAUGGAAAAAUGUGAAAAAUGAUGACUCAAAGUCAUGGAUCAGAUGAAUGAAUCUGGGUCAUGGACAAGAUGAACGACUCUGGGUCUAAAAUAGGAUAAAUGACUCAGGGUCAUGGGCUCAGGGCUCUAAAAGGAAAGAAUAACUAUGGGUCAUAAAAGGGAAAACGACUCUAGGUCGAGAGCCCUAGGCUCUAAAUGGAAAAGAAAUGACUCUGGGUCAUAAAUGGAAAACAACUCUAGGUCAAGAGCUCUAGGCUCUAAAUAGGAAAGAAUGACUCUAGGUCAAAAUGGAAAAUGACUCUGGGUCGAGAGCUCUGGGCUCUAAAUAGAUAGCCGAUUAGGAUACUUUCCGACUCAAGGUGCCGGGUCGAGGCCACUCACAAGUGGCUAGAAUGAUGAAAACGAAACAUCUCAGGGAUGUAAAUGAUACAAAUGACUCCGGGUCGUGAGCUCAGGGCUCGGGGUGGAAUGAAUGACUCUGGGUCAUGAUGCAAUGAGUAAUUCAGGGUACGAUGAAUAGCUCAGGGCUAUAGAUGGAAUGAAUAACUCUGGGUCAUGAUGCGAUGAGUAACUCGGGGUUACGAUGAAUAGCUCAGGGCUAUGAGCUUCUGGCUCUAAUGACUGAUCGGCUAAAAGGAUAAUGCGAUACGCAAACUCCAGGUCAAACCACUCAUGGGCGACCAAAUGAUGAAGGCUCAGCUCAGGGCCGGAAAGACUCCGGGUCUAUAGGAAACGAUAGCUCAGGGCUACCAGGCUCAGGGCCUAAGGGAAGAAAGAUAGCUUAGAGCUAUAAGACUCAGGGUCUAGAAGAGAAGGAUAGCUCAGGGCUACUAGGCUCAAGGCCUAGAAAGAAAUGAAAGCUCAGGGCUACUAGACUCGGGGCCCAAGGGAAGAAGAAUAACUCAAGGCUACAAGGCUCAGGGCCUAGAAGGGAAUAAUAGAGAAGACCAACUCGAAAGUGGAUAUAAAAUAAAUGGGUGCAAAAGCAAAUACCCAAAAUGCUAAGGGUCGAACUACUAAACCCAAGAAGGGAAAUAUGCCCCAGUAUCCAAGCUGCUCACACUACUGAAACAGCCGGUAAAUCAAUCAUCUGCUGAAAUCAAUGGGUCAGGAACCGAAUACGUCACAACAAACCUCUAAAAAGUCAAAACCGAAAGAACCCUCUAUGUUUGAAAAACUGCUCUGUCUACAAAUCUCAAAAGGUAAAUCUCAAAGCGUGUAUAUCGUGGCUCAUCUAAAAGCAAAUCUUAAAGUACACAAAAUGGUGCUCAUCUGGAUAACCCAAUAUGCAAGGUAACAAUGGCGAAAACAAAUCUGUCUCAUGAACAUCUAGCUAAAGGAUCCACCCAUGCUCAUCAGGUGAAAUAUGAUGUGAUCCAUCUCUAUCUCAACAAAUCCAUAUAGGGGGGUCCUGAUACAAUCAAUCAUCGAAAGUUCUGGGCUAGUACUCAAUCUGAAACCAAACUGGCUACUGUCCCAAUCUCAAGGAUACUCAAAGAAAAUGGGGAAAUAUGCCCCAGUAUAAGAUCUGAUAUCAAAGUCAUGAGGUAAACAACCGACACUAAUCAUCCAUCCUCAUACCACUGCCCAAACAAAAUCUUGUCAAGGAGAGGGGAAUAUGCCCCAGUAUGGAUAUCCGAUGUCGAAGUCGUGAGGCAAACAACAAACAAUGAUCAUCCAUUCUCGUACCACUGCCCCAACACAAUCUCAUCAAGGAGAGGGGAAUAUGCCCCAGUAUGGAUAUCUGAUGUACAAUAAAGAGUCUGUCAAAAUCAACCAAACAUCUCUAUAACCAUGAAUAAGGAUAGUCAUACCGCACAAUAACAUAUAGGAAUCUCGAGGGAAUGGGGGAAUAUGCCCCAGUGUGAAUAUAUAAUGCACAACCAAAGGAUGAAUCCAACAUCAUCAAUCAACUGUCCUCAACUCAACAAUAAUCCGCUAAGAAGUCAGAAUGAAGUAUCGACCAAUGCCUCAAGGGAGACACUCUAAAUCUAAUCUCAAAUGAAUAGCUAAAAUGAUGAGGAAUGUGGUAAUCUUAGGAGUAGAAGCACGUCUCUAAUGAAUCCCUAAUUGAAUCCAACAUGAAUCUGGUAACCUCGAAAUGGGGAAAUAUGUCCCAACAUGCCAGAUCUAUACAUUGCACUGAAAACUGUCUCCACUCAAUAAUAACCUACUAGUCCAUCUCAAAAUACUCCGCAAAUGGAACCUAUAAUCAUGAAAGUUGUCAAUGAACUCAACAAUGCUCCACUAAAACUAAUACCAUCUCAACAUACUCCACUAGGGAUCUCAGAUCAAUGAAAAUGUCCAGGCUCAAAGAAAGUGCUCCACUAGGGGCUCAUCUCAACCAAAUGAAAGGGGAAUAUGCCCCAGUAAGAUAAUUGAUGCACAAUAGAAUGAAAAUCUGGAUAGCAUCAAAUAUCAAACAUAAAAUGAAGCAAUCAUCCACAUCCAUCACCAAAUCACCUCCAAGUAUCAAAGAAGCAUUUCCCAUAAGAAGAAACAUGACAACAUCUAUAUAUCAACCAAAUCCCAAACACCAACCUAAGUAGAGGCUGUCAAAGAUAACAUCUGAUCUCAUGGCCUCAAGGUGGUCUUAAGACACGGGACGUAAUGUAGGCCAAGGCGAUAGGGUGAAAGAAAUGAAGGGAAACUAGGCUCAAAUACCCAAUGAUCAAACCCAUACCCUCGUGUAUAAGAUGUAAUGCAUAGAAAAAAUCUCAUGAGCCAUGGACCUAAAGGUAACCAAAGGAAAUGUCGAUGGCGAAAUUAGAGAAAGAUGAGUAGUCAAACCAUCAAUGAAACAUGUGAAUGAUGUGAAGAAGGUAUCAAAACAAAAAUGUGUAUCAAUAUGUAGGAAAUGGAUAAAAAGUGGAACGAAGAUUUGGAAAUGGGUGAGGAGAUACAAAGUAAGGCAAUAAGAAAGGGGAAUGAAUGAUGAUCAAUCCAUAUCAGUACAAUAAGGGAAAGUCAUAUCACUAAUGAUGGAGUGGUGGGUAAGACAAUGAUCCGGAGACCCUAGUAAAAAGAUUACUCAUCUCUCAUACCUAAUAUAUAUCAAUCAUGAUCCAAGAAGCAUAGGAUCCCAUAGAACUCUCACAUGAACCCUUGACACUCCAAAUGCAUAACGAGAGUGGCUUAAGAGUGAAAAACUCAUAAAAAUAAAAAAUAAAAAACUCACAAAAACCCACAAUGACAAAUAUACCAAAUAAAUGAACCUCAAAAGGUGACAUAAACGCCCAAUGGAGCAAGAUACCAUACAUAAACAUAUCAUUGCGGUUUUUUUUUUUUUUUGCACAUGCUCUGAUCAUCAAUAAAUCAAACUCCAAUGGGAAAUAUAUAAGGAAUGAACAAACUCUCUCAAAUCACUAGUGAAUACAUGAACCCCAUCCCAUGAGAUAAUCUCUCAAACCAAAAUCUCCGAAUCAAUGUCAGAUGAUGGGAUGAAUAGAGUGAUAUGAUUGUCCUCUUUGCACUAAGAUGUGAAGAAUCAUCAACCCCAGGAAGAGAAUAGAUAAUAUGAGACAAAUAAUGAUGAAAACAAGAAAGAGAAUGAAUAUGUGGUGAUAAUAAAAUAAAACAAAUGGGAUGAUAAGGAUAUGAUAGGAAGAAAGAGAAGAUAGGCCUAUAAGUCUAAAGCUCAUGAGACUUUCUUAACAAAGCAUGGGUAUACAUCAAAGGGCCCCAACCCAAGUAUAGAAAUGGUAAUCAAGGCUAUAAGGGAAGAAAAAGGUUUAAGCGUACCACGUGAAGCUCAAUGGGCUAGCAACGAUCUAAUAUAUAGAGGUGAUAAAGUAUAAGGCUAACCGAAAUGAUGGCCACCCAUCCUGCAACCAUGGUCUCAAAUAUAAUACUUCUUCAGCUGAUCCACAUUGGUAGGGUCUAAAAAUUGGUCUUUAUCUAGAUAUGUCAAUCAUAUUUCCUCUUUGGGGUCAACUCUCUAAUGAAAUACGGUGUAGUCCAAGUAAGCCCCUAGGGUCUCCUGGAAUAGAUGAAUCUCCAUAACCAUAACUGGGCUAACAUCGUCCUCAAACACAUCAUCAAUAUAAGUGGAAUUCCCCAACAUAAAUAAAUUGAAUCUCUCCUGAACUCUCAACAAUGAAUAUCUCAAGCAUAUCGAGAGAGUGAACUAUCUCUGGCUAAUCUAUGCUAGCCAUCCACCUAUCAUCCAACACAUCCAUCUCAGACUCAUCAUAAAGAAAACCGUGUCAAUCAAAUCUCACAUCUUAGAGGAAAAAUCUAUCAUCCUCUAUAAGAACUCUCAUCUGAUAAUCUUUAACUCAUAAUCCACUAAACUGAUCAUAUGUAUGAAGUCAUCCUUAACAAUGUCACUGGUUAACUGGGUGGUGGGGGUGGGCGGUAAUGAAUCAUACGACAUCUCAUCCUGAACUGAAUGCUAUCUAUCUCACUGUCCAUCAAUCAUCUGGUUCAAACCCAUUAAUGUCUCUUGAAUGGAGUCGUGGUGACUGCAAGUCGAUCAACUAUAACAUGCUGAAGAUCCAUACCUGACUGCUUUGAAACCCUGAUCAAUUUAUCUCCAACUCGGAUAUAAGAAGUCGAAUCUAAACUGAAACGAAUAACACUCCUAUAAGGUACAAAGGCACGAAAAGAUAAAUGACAUGAAGAAAACUCAGAAGAGGUGGAAACACACUAAUCACUAAGUAGAAAGGUGGCCCAAUUGAAACUCAAAUAUGUACCAAUCUCUGAGCACACCAAAAGUAGACUACGGAGAGGAUAACUGAACCCAAUUGUGACCAAGGCAACUCUGAAGGUCCACAAAUGCACCCACGUGUAGGAAUGAAAUCUUAAUUGGAUCUAGGCUAGCCUACAAGGUCGAGGUGGCUCUAUAGGAUAAAAUGGGUGGGUCAAAGGAUCCCUAGCAGAAGCAAUCGUACCCUCCGGCGGUAAGCAACCCUCUGCACACCUCCAAGGAGAUGGGGUGCUUCCAUGCAAGGUGGUCAUCACCUCCACACAUGCACUUCCUCGCGUUCCCAAGAGGUUUCUUAAUGGUGAAGGCUCUUCCAUCUCUCAACACUCAAGGAUAAUCUAAAGUGUACAAUGAAGGAUGUGGGUGCAUCCGAAAAACCUAAGAUCUAAAGUGAGAUAGUGAACAAAGACAAGCAAAUCAUACGAACAUGCAAGAGAAAGGGUUGUCAUGCAACAAGCAAUCAUGCGAAGCAGAUAAAUAUCAAACAAUCAAAGUCCUACCUAGCAUAUGUGAGAGUGAAUCAUGCUAAAGUGAGCAAACAGUUAAGUGAUCGUUCAAGGCAAACGCAACAAACAGUCAUGCUAAGCAGAUAAAUAUCAAACAAACAAAGUCCUAUCUAACAUAUGUGAGAGUGAAUCAUGUGAAAGUGAGCAAACAGUUAAGUGAUCAUUCAAGGCAAACGCAACAAACAGUCAUGCUAAGCAGAUAAAUAUCAAACAAACAAAGUCCUAUCUAACAUAUGUGAGAUUGAAUCAUGUUAAAGUGAGCAAAACAAUCAAGUGAUCAUCCAAGGCAAUCAAACAUGUUAAGAUAGCAAACCAAACAAGCAAGCAAAUCGAAUCACCUUGCCUAAAAAAAGAGGUACCCACUAAUCUACCAAUUAAACGCCACAUUUUCCUCAACUAGUGUUCAAGCUUGAUCCUCAAAAUCCCCAGUGGAGUCGCCAAUUUGUGGACCCGCAUUUUUCACGUGCGCCCCCACUCGAUCGACGAGACUCGCUUUUUAUUUGUAAAAAAUUAAUUUUUAGAAAAGUCGGAGUCGCCACUUAUUUUAUUUUUAUUUUAAAGGGAAAAUAAAACAAGAAAGAAAAACCCUAAAAAAAAGUGACUCCAUAAUUUUUGGAAAAGCAUGUCUUUGAAAACCCAAGUCUCGGUUCGGGGAUCAGGUUACUUAUUGGGAAGGUACCUCUAGGAGGUAGCACCCCUCUAAGCCCUAUAAAGGUCUCUACUGACAAAGUUAAGGGAAGUGUGGUCAUUAAUCAAUUAAUUAUAGGUACCUAAGUAGGCUAUAUGAUUUCAAAUAUUGCAUGCCUAACAAGAAAACCAACCAUAAGAGAGAGUCGAAGUGCGUACCUGAACGACUUCUCAAGUGCUAUCAUGAAACAUAAGAGAUUAGUUUGGAAAUGUGACACAUUAUAUGUAUUUUAUCAAAGAUGAUCAAACAAGCAUCAAGACAAUCAAUUAUGGCAUCAAACAUGGUCAUGGUUCAUGAUAACAUACAUAUUCAUAGAAUUUUAGAGUUGAAGGGUAGAAAGAGCGUACCUAAUUAGCGAGCAUCCAUACGUCUAUGGGAAUAAGGGUAUCUCAACAAUAAAUAUAAAACGAAUUCAUGUAUGUCAUCAAGGAGAAUCAAAAAUCAACAUAUCAAGCAAACAAUAUUGAAGAGAGUAUCAUAAAUUUCGGGCCCCCACCAAAGCCCUAAUUAAUUUCGCAUGAGUUUGUUCUAUGAAUUCCAUUAUUUGGAAUCAUAAAAUUUAUUCAUGCUUAGAAAAAAUCGAGAAAAUCAGUUGAAAAUCAAAUAAAUUAGUGAAAACGCGUGCCAGAAGGAAAAUGGCAGCAAGAGUGUGUUAGAAUAUGGAUUUUAUACCUAGAAAGGACCUAAGAUGAAUUUUUUUCAAAGCUGGAAAUGUUUAGUCGAACAAUGGUUCAAAAAUUCAAUUUAAAACAGUAAGUUCCCAAUCAAAGAAGCGGAUAGAUGAGAAGGUGUGUAUAGCAAGGUUGCCAUGAAGUGAAGCCAGGAGAUUCCGGAUAGAAGGGACCAAUUCACUACAAAAGUGUACAACUGUCAAAUGCUUCAACUUAAAAGAUAUCUUGAUUUGUAAGCUCAACUGGAUUCUCCUCAACAGAAGUCAAAUACUGAAUAGAAGGUUCGGAAUUUCCAAUUUUCUGCAUUGAGAGGUUUCCUGCAUUCUGCUAGCUUUCAAUUGAUUAAGCCUUUCAACUUUUACCUCAAUAUUCCAUAAAAGCGGCCUAGUAGAUUCUGGAACUUGAGUGAUUGACUCCUCAUGUCGACGUUCACCAGCUUGAUAACGCUUUUGUAGAUCUUCAAUGUCUCUACAGAACCAAUCCUCUCUAAACACAGCCUGUUGCUCUGUUUAGCGUUUGUCGUAGUUCUUCAAAGGGCCUGAACCAGCGUGGCUUUACGUUCCUCAGCUUCUCUUAGACGAAUUUCUAGUUCAGUUCUGGCUUCACUUUUAACCCAUGCCUCAACUAAUGCUUCAAUCAAUAAGAUUCAGCAACUUCUUCGCAUGAAACUUUCUUGCUAUCGAUUCUAUUGCAUGACAGGGCAUCUUGAGAAAACCCCACUCCUCUCCUUGUUUGUAUUCUCACAUGCCUUAGCUGGAAGUUGAAACACCAAUUAUAAGGUUUCUUCAAGCUUCAUGUUGUCAGCCUCUUCAGCCUGUGGUCUAGUUUCAGUUAUGGCAUUUGUUUGUAGUGUCCUAUUUUUCCGAAUUAGCCUCAAAGAUAUUCACAAGCUUGCCCUCCAACUGUGCUUCCUGUUUCAUUCUUUUCCUUUUCUCACAUAUAUAUAUAUCAUCCCUCAAGACCUAAAUUUGUUUCCAAAAAGGAAAAUUCUCCUAUUUCCUUUCUUCUCCUCUUCUUUUCCUUUUUUUAAAAUCUUCCCAUUCAAAAGCAAUCUUCCCCAUUUCGAAUUCCCCUCCAAAACCUUCCGAGGAGGGUCUCACCUUCCUUAAACUCCAAUGGUAAGUUUCCUUGCAAAAACAUGAAAUUUUUUAAAGUAAAUAAUUGAAUGAAUAACUAAACAAGUAAACAAAAUAAAUAAAUAAAUAAAAUAAAAUAAAAGUCUUAGUAGGCCUAGUGUGCCUAAGUGGGCCUAGGGUGCCUAAGUGGACCUAAGUAGACUGCUCUAAAAGCUAUCUUAAAAAUGAAUGAAAAGCCUAAGUCUAAAAUAGGGCUGCCAAAGGUCGCAAUAAGAGGUCAGAUAAUCCCUCAGCUAAAAUCUCCAGGGUGACUUAGAAAAAGGUAAGUCGUACAAGUAGUAAUGGGCCACCAAGGAGUUACUAUGGGGCACUGAAAACAAAUUUAAAAACAUGUGCUAAAGGGACAAAAUUGAGGGUCUACACAUGCGUUUUCUACUCGAUGGUGAGCUUGAUUUUACUUUGAAAAUGAUUUUAUUGUUUGAAAAAUGACUUGGAGUCGCCACUUAUUUUUGUUUUAUUAUUUUUUUAAAAGGGUAAACAAAAUAAGAAAGAAAACCCUAAGUGUGACUCCUCAUUUUGGAAAAGGUGAUCUAUGAAAAACUGAAUCGGGCUCGGGGGUCAGGUUACUUAUCGGGAAGAUACGGUAAAGACCAUAGCACCCCUCUAAGUUCCUAAAGUCGAGUCUCUACUAAUAAAAUGAAGCUGACAUGACAAUCAAUAGGAAAAUCAAUGGAUACUCGAGUCGAUUAUGUAUAUAUGGGAAUCAGAACAUGCAUAGAGAAUGACCAGAAUAGGAAUGGAUGCAUACCUGAGCCACGAACGAGCGAUGCGUUAUCAUAAAAACAGAGUCAGUGCACAAUAUAGGGCACGGAAUAUAUCAUAUGCAUUACCAAACAGAAAUUAAAAUUGUUCGAAGGAAAACUGGAUUUUUGAAAUUCAUUUUGAAAAUCGGAGUCUUAGAGAUUAUUUGAAAAUCGGAUUUUUAGAAAUUAAAUAUAGGAAUGAGAAUUUUAGAAAUUAUAUUUGAAAGGAAUUGGAAUUUCAGAUAACUAAAUUUAGGAAUCGGAAUUUUGAAGAAUUAUUUAAAGACGGAAUUUUAAUAAAUAAAUAAGUGAAUAAAUAAAUGAAUGCAAUAAUAAUAAUGAUGAAAUAAUAAAGAUUAGGUAAAUAAUUGCAAAAAAUAGAAUUUUAGAGAUUGGAGAUUGAAUUUAGAGAUUGAAAUUUUGAGAAAUUAUUUGGAGACAAGAUUUUAAAUAUAUGAAUAAGUGAAUAAAUAAAUGAACGGGAUAAUAAUAAUAACGAAAAUAAUCAUUAAACAGCUGAAUGUGAAUAGUGGAAUUUUUUAGAUUGAAAAUUAAAUUUGGAAAACAGAAUUUUGAAAAAUUGAACUUUAAUUAUUGGAAUUUGUAAAAUAAAUUAAUGGAAUAAUAAUAAUAAUAAUGAGAAUAAUAUUUAAACGAAUGAACGUGAAUAGUGUAAUCUUUGAGAUUGAAAAUUAAAUUCGGAAGUCAGAUUUUUCAAGAAUUGAACUUUAAUGAUUUGAAUUUUUAAAAGAAAUAAAUAAAUAAAUAUGGAAUAAUAAUAAUAAUAACAAAAAUAAUGGUUAAGUGAAUGAACGUGAAUAGUGGAAUUUUUGUUUAAAAGAAAUAAGUAAAUAAAUAUGGAAUAAUAAUAAUAAUGACAAAAGAAAUGGUUAAGCGAAUGAACAUGAAUAGUGGAAUUUUUUAUAUUGAAAAUUAAAUUCGAAAGUAAGAUUUUUGAAUAAUUAAAUUUUAAUGAUUGAAAAUUUUAAGAUAAAUAAAUAAAUAAACAUGAAAUAAUAAUAAUACUAACAAAAAUAAUGUUUAAACGAAUGAACGUAAAUAGUGAAAUUUUUGAGAUUGAAAAUUAAAUUCGGAAGUCAGAUUUUUGAAGAAUUGAACCUUAAUGAUUUGAAUUUUUAAAAUAAAUAAAUAAAUAAUUAUGGAAUGAUAAUAAUAAUAACAAAAAUAAUUUUUAAACAAAUGAACGUGAAUAGUAGAAUUUCGGAGAUCGAAAAUUUGAAGAGUUAUUUAGAAAUAAUAUUUUAAAUAAAUGAAUAAGUGAAUAGAUAAACGAAUGGAAUAAUAGUAAUAAUGAUUAGGUAAAUAAUUGUGAAAAUUGGGAAGUGAACUUGGGAAUUAGAAAAUUGAAGAAUUAUUUAGAGAUGGAAUGUCGGAAAAUUAAAUUUCGAAAACUAGAAACCUGAAAAAUUAUUUUAAGGAUGGAAUGUUGGAAAAUUAAAUUUCGAAAAGUGGAAACCCGAAAAAUUAUUUGAAGGAUGAAACGCCGGAAAAUUAAAUUUCGAAAAGUGAAAACUCGAAAAAUUAUUUUAAGGAUGGAAUGUCAGGAAAUUAAAUUUCGAAAAUUGGAAACCCAAAAAAUUAUUUUAAGGAUGGAAUGUCAGAAAAUUAAAUUUCAAAAAUUGGAAACCCGAAAAAUUAUUAAGGAUGGAAGGUCGGAAAAAUAAAUUUCGAAAAGUAGAAACCCGAAAAAUUAUUUUAAGGAUGGAAUGUCGGAAAAUUAAAUUUCGAAAAUUGGAAACCCGAAAAAUUAUUUUAAGGAUGAAAUGUUGGAAAAUUAAAUUUCGAAAAUUGGAAACCCGAAAAAUUAUUUUAAGGAUGGAAUGUCGGAAAAUUAAAUUCGAAAAUUGGAAACCCGAAAAAUUAUUAAGGAUGGAAGGUCGAAAAAAUAAAUUUCGAAAAGUGGAAACCCGAAAAAAUAUUUUAAGGAUGGAAUGCCGAAAAAUUAAAUUUCGAAAAGUGGAAACCCGAAAAAUUAUUUUAAGGAUGGAAUGUCGGAAAAUUAAAUUUCGAAAAUUGGAAACCCGAAAAAUUAUUUUAAGGAUGGAAUGUCGGAAAAUUAAAUUUCGAAAAUUGGAAACCCGAAAAAUUAUUAAGGAUGGAAUAUCGGAAAAUUAAAUUUUGAAAAUUGAAAACUCGAAAAAUUAUUAAGGAUGGAAGUUCGAAAAAUUAAAUUUCGAAAAAUGGAAACCCGAAAAAAAAUAUUUUAAGGAUGGAAUGCCGGAAAAUUAAAUUUCAAAAAGUGAAAACCCGAAAAAUUAUUUUAAGGAUGGAAUGUCGGAAAAUUAAAUUUCGAAAAGUGGAAACCCGAAAAAUUAUUAAGGAUGGAAGGUCGAAAAAUUAAAUUUCGAAAACCGGAAUAUUUAGAGAAUUACUUUGAUAUCCAAAACGUGAAGAACUAAUAAAAGAAAUAUGAAUUGUGGUGAUCUUUAAGUGCACGUCUCCAGUGUAAUGCCCAUAAACCCAUUUUACAUUUUUUUUUUUUUUUUUACCACCUGAGCAAACAGCUUUUGCAUGAAGAUUGAUGAGUGGGUAUUGAAGAAUGAUGACAUGGGCAAGGUAAUGGAAUACUAGUUGGAAAUAAAUAAAAAAAUGAAAAUCCUGCAGACCCAUUUAAUUCGACAUCAAACCAGAAAGCAAAACCAUGCAUUAAACCCCAUGAUCCAAGUGCCACAGCAGGUGCUACACGAAAUCUAGCAUACAGCUACCCAUCAUCAGCAUGCUUCUUCACCAUGCUUUCCAGAAUGUCACCAUCUCCAAGAUUUGUAGCGCCUGGCAUUCCUCCCGGCAGCAAAAUGAGAUCGAUCGAAAUCAGCACCAGCGCAGUCAGAAAUUGGGGCAUCCGCAACAAUAUCCACGCCUUGGUACGUGUCAACUUGAAGCCGCUUCCUCACAGGGACGACGGUCACAUUGACGCCAGCUCGCUGGAGCUCAUCAAUGGUGAUCACUACUUCUAUCAACUUCGAGCCAUAGGCGUUCGAAACCAAACCUUACGGGAAGAUGCAGCCAUUGAUGAUGGGGACUUAGUGGAGGACUUGGUGAGUGGAUGCUGGAAAUUUUCUCUUAUUACCCACUUAAUAAUCUCAGAGAUGGACGAGAGACGACUCAGAUAUAUAUCACUGUCCGAUAGAAGGUAUCAUAGUACGAGUAGUGAAAGAUCUAUAAAUAAAGGCCAAACAGAAAGAGGGCUUCUUUUCGAUACCUAAGGCCACUAGUGAUGAGUGGAAGUUCUCAUUUCUAUGCAUGUUACCCUUGCAUAGAAAAUGAAGAACCAGCUUAACGUCUUAGACAAUAAAAAAUGAGCAUCCCGAACAUCAGAAAUGAGUAAAAUAUGACUGUAAAAGUGAAGAACCUCAAGUGGGAGAUGAUCUAACCUGAAGGCCUCCCUUGGAGCAAAAUCGCUUGGUUCUCAGUGAGCUAUAAAACUCCCACCUUUGCCCCCCUCGAAAGCACCAGAAAAACCCCUGCCUCUCUCUGGCUUUCUCCUCCUUUCUUUUUUCUCCUUCUUUUCGUUCUUCUUUUCCCUGUUUCUAUCUUCUUUGGCAAGUCACUACUUGCUUUCCUGUUCACUAGUCAGCGGCAUGGCCUCCUCCACCCACUAGCAUGGCCGGCCAUCUUGACUUGCUGCCUCCACCAAUCUAGCUUCCUCCAACAGAAAAGCCCCCCCCCCCCAACUCACUUAUCCUAGGUGUCGCCAGCUCCUCCAGGUGGAGAGACAUUAUCCUUCCCAUGCCAUAAAAAAAAAUCCCUUAAAAAAAAACUAACCGUCUUUGCUCUCUUAAGGGGGUCUACACUUAUCUUAUUUGGUUUCUAUAACAGAAAUUUAAGUGAACAAAAAACUCUUAAGGGGGUCUACACUUAUCUUAUUUGGUUUCUAUAACAGAAAUUUAAGUGAACAAAAAAUUGUCAACUUCAAUUUUUAAAGCUAUUUUUAAAGCUAUUUUUAAGAUAAAUCUCUAUUAUUUACAUAAGAACUCAUACUAUUUUUAAUUUUCAAAAAUAAAAAAUGUAUUCAAUGUCCACUUAAAUUUUGUAAAAAAUGAACGUUGAAUAAACUCUCCUAAUCAAAUUAUUUUAUCAUUUACCUAAAGAUUUAUGCUUAUCAAAAAUAAAUCAACCACACUGAGAAUUGGUAAUUCUAGGUAGCUAGUAACACAUGCAAUCACCAGAAAGUCAAUGAAGAGUACAUAUAUUCAUGUCUCUUCCUCUAUGAAUUCCUCAAAAGACGCCAUCCAUGAGCUCAUUGAUCGCAUCCAUAAAACAAUGAACAAGAAGAGAUCAUCCCGUAGGCGUAUCAUCAAAAGGUUGAUAAAAGAACUUAUACCUCACCCUUUGAGCUCUAGAAUAGAAUCUACAAAAUAACUCAAUUUUUCUUUCCUUUUUUUGAACUACUUUUUACCAAAAUCCCAAAGCCCUAAAUGUAAUUUAUAUUUGGACUUAGAGAAUACUUAAAAUAAAUAACACAAUCAAUGGCCUUAGAGAACUUUUCAAGGGUUGGAUAAACAUAGCUCAACAAAUUUAGUUUAAAAUAACCUUCAAAAUUACUUAUUCAAGAUCUAUUAAAUAAAAAUAAAAAUAAAAUAAAACCUUUUGAAAACCUUUUCUAUACAAAAAUUAAAAAAAUAUAUAUAAAAAAUUGAAAACUCAUCUUAUAUGCUUUCUAUAACUGAAAUUUUUGAGUGAACAAAAAAUUGUAAAAUUCAAUUUUUUUCUUCUAUUUUUCAAAACAAUUAUUUUUAAGAUAAAUCUCUAUUAUUUAUAUAAGAGCUCAUACUAUCUUUUAUUUUCAAAAAUAAAAAAUGUAUUCAAAGUCUAAUUAAAUUUUGUGGAUAAGGGACCUUGAGCAAACUCUCAUAGUCACAUUACUUAAUCAUUUACCUAAAGAUUUAUGCUUGAGAAUUGAUAAUUCUAGGUAGCUAGUAACACAUGGAAUCACAAGAAAGCUGAUGAAGAGUAUGUAUGUUUUGGUCUAUUCCUUAAAGCUCACAUACCACUCAUCAAGCUCACUCAUCACACCCAUAAAACAAUGAAUGAAAGAGUUCAAGAAGAGAUUAGAUUGCAGCAACUUCUCCAAAACAUUGAUGAAAGAACUUGUACCUUCCCCCAUUAAGCUCUAGAACAAUGCCCAAAAAACAACCUAAUUUUUCUUUCCAUUUUUUGAACCAAUUUUGAACAAGAUUGCCCUAGAUACUAUUUAUAUUUCAACUUAGAGAAUUCUUAAAAUAUGUAGCCCAAUACAUGGGAGAAGAAACUUUUCAUGGGCUAGCUAAACUUAGCUCAACAAAUUUACCUUAAUAUUGACCCUUUAAAUUACCAUUCAAGAUCUAUUAAAUAAAAAUUCUCAAAAACCUUUUCCAUACAAAAAAUUAAAAAAAAUUAUAGAAAAAAUUGAAAACUUAUCUUAUAUGCUCUCCAUAACAAAAAUUUCAAGUGAACAAAAAACUAUUAACUUCAUUUUUUAAGCUAUUUUUAAAAUUAUUUACGUUUAAGAUAAAUCUCUAUUAUUCAUAUAAGAACUCAUACUAAAAAUAAAAAAUGUUUUCAAAGUCUACUUAAAUUUCAUAAUGAACCUUGAACAAACUCUCCCAAUCAAAUUAUUUUAUCAUUUACCUAAAGAUUUAUGUGUAGACCCCCUGUUUUAAACCAAGUGUAUUUGGUUCAAUGAUAUGAUUUUUAUUAUUAUUACCUUCUUUUAUUAUUUUUAUAAGUUGAAGCAAGGCAUUUCAAGAAGGAUCCGGGGGGUAGAAUUUAGUGAGGAGUGGGGGGGGGGGGGGGGACCCCUUUUUACAAGGAGAGCAGCUUCAAAGACACGGCAAAAAAACAUGGGCGGACCAUGCGGGUGGUCAGGGACGCCAUGCUUCUGGGGGGGGGAAAAAUAAGGGAAAAAAAAGGCUUCCCAAGAAAAAAAGAAAAAGAAAAAAUUAAAAAAAAAAAAGGGGGGGGGGGNNNNNNNNNNNNNNNNNNNNNNNNNNNNNNNNNNNNNNNNNNNNNNNNNNNNNNNNNNNNNNNNNNNNNNNNNNNNNNNNNNNNNNNNNNNNNNNNNNNNGACAAAACAAGGUCCCCUAAAAUUAUCCGAGGGGAACCAAAAUAAAGAAGAGUGAGGCCCCGGGAAGGGACCCCUUUUUACAAAGAGAGCAGCUUCAAAGACACGGCAAAGAGACAUGGGCGGCCCAUGGUGGUGGUCAGGGACGCCAUGCUUGUUGAGUGGAGGAACAUUAGGGCAAGUAGAGGCUUGCCAAGGAAGAUAGGAAGAGGGGGGGUUGAAAAAAAAAAGGGGGGGGGGGGGGGGGGAAGGAGGAAAAAGGAAGGGGGUUCUGGGAGCUCGGGAGGGAGACGCAAGCUGGAGGAGUUUCUUUUCUCAGGGAGGACACCGAGGCGAGGGAGCAAGAAAGGACCUGGAGAGCAGUGGAGCGUAUUUUGGUAGAGGGUCACAGAGAUAACAGGGAAACGAGCAUCUGCAGGCGAGUUUGAGGUGAGUCUCUUGCUUACUUUGAUUCAUAUUCAUCUCAUCUCCUUCUCGUUUCGGUUUGCUUCACAUUACUCAUUAGUUUGGGUUGGAUAAUAUAUUGAAUCUCGUUGUUUUUCUGGAUUAUUUUCUCGUUAUUGUUGUUGAUCUCGUUGUUAUCCUUAUGGUUUGGCUUGGGGUUAAUGAGACUCUAUUUCUCAAGCAUUUUUGUAACUCUAGCUUGAGAUCCCCUCACCGGUAAAGACCAGCUACGAACCCACUAGUUGUAAUGAAGGGAAUUUGUGACUAUUCCAGCGAGUGUGUAUGUGCGUGUCUUCUCACUCUUUUAUGCAAUCACUCAUCUCACCCCUUCCAGUUUCUCAAGUCCCAUGUGUACGUGAUUAUCACGCAUGCACCCGAGACCAUUAUUCACACUCCCAUUACCAUGUCAUACCCACAGUUCAUCAUCACCAUUCCCACCCGUGUCAUCCUUGCUCACGUAUACCCAUUUCCCGUGCCAUGCAUGCCACCACCUUUCCUCUCUCUUUUUCUCUUUCUCUUUCCCUUCCUCUUUCUCUUCCUCUCCAUGCAUCUCUUCUCUAGCGCCGCCGGCACAGCAAGAUCGACGCCAAUCCGAAGCGGCAUGCGGUGGUUCUUGCCCUCGCCAUCUCAACCACCUCCGCUCUCAUAGUCCUCGUGGCCUCCGGCGCCUUCAUCGGCGGCGCGUGGUUCAGCGACCAGCUUCGGCCAUCAUGGGCGGUUGCGCCCGCCAUCGCAGCGGCAGCGUUUGCAUGGAUGCUGCUGGAUAGCCGCCACCCCUUCCUCCUCCAUUACGUCGCUGCUGGUGGAGAUGACGAUGCCCAGGUGGAUAGGAGGGUUGUGUUGGUGAUGGACUUGGGCUUGUCCAUGGUGUUGGGUUUGGGCUUGAGUGGGAGCCCAGCCCAAGCAAGCUGAUGGAAGUCAAUGUCUUCUCAAAUAAAUGGGUUGUGAUGGUGAUGGGCUUGGGCUUGGGCUUUGCUGGUGGACUUGGAGGUUAGGAUUUGGGCUUGAGGUCUGCUGAUGGACUUGGACUGGACUAGGGUUGCUAGGGUGAUUUUAUUACUAUUAUUAUUAUUAUUGUUGUUAUUAUACUUAUUAUUAUUAUUAUUAUUAUUAUUAUUAUUAUUAUUAUUAUGAUUAAUCCAACUUUCAAAAUCUCAUUAUUAUUAUUAUUAUUAAUUCACACUUUCAAAAUCUAUUUAUUAUUAUUAUUAUUAUUAUCAUUAAUCCAAACUUUCAAAAUCUUAUUAUUAUCAUUAUUAUUACUAUUACUAUUAAUUCACACUUUCAAAAUCCUAUUAUUAUUAUUAUUAUUAAUUCAACUCUCAAAAUCUUAUUAUUAUUAUUAUUAAUUAAUUCACACUUUCAAAGUCUUAUUAUUAUUAUUAUUAUUAUCAUUAAUUCAAAUUUUCGAAGUCUUAUUAUUAUUAUUAUUUUUAUUAUUAUUAUUAUUAUUAUUUUUAUUAUUAUUAUUAUUAUUAUUAUUAUUAUUAUUAUUAUUAUUAUUAUUAUUAUUAAUUCAAACUUUCGAAAUCUUAUUAUCACUAUCAUUAUUAUUAUUGUUAUUAUUAUUAAUUCAAACUUUCAAAAUCUUAUUAUUACUAUUAUUAUUAUUAAUUCAAAUUCUCAAAAUCUUAUUAUUACUAUUAUUAUUAACUCAACUUUCAAAAUCUCAUUAUUAUUAUUAUUAUUAAUUCACACUCUUAAAAUCUUAUUAUUAUUAUUAUUAUUAAUUCAACUUCCAAAAUCUUAUCAUUAUUAUUAUUAUUAAUUCCAACUUUCAAAAUCUUAUUAUUAUUAAUUCAAACUCUCAAAAUCUUAUUAUUACUAUUAUUAUUAACUCAACUCUCAAAAUCUUAUUAUUACUAUUAUUAUUAACUCAACUUUCAAAAUCUCAUUAUUAUUUUUAUUAUUAAUUCAACUUUCAAAAUCUUAUUAUUAUUAUUAUUAUUAUUAAUUCAAACUCUCAAAAUCUUAUUAUUACUAUUAUUAUUAACUCAACUCUCAAAAUCUUAUUAUUACUAUUAUUAUUAACUCAACUUUCAAAAUCUCAUUAUUAUUUUUAUUAUUAAUUCAACUUUCAAAAUCUUAUUAUUAUUAUUAUUAUUAAUUCAAACUUUCAAAAUCUUAUUAUUAUUAUUAUUAUCAUCAUUAAUUCAAACUCUCAAAAUCUUAUUAUUAUUAUUAUUAUUAUUUAUUCACACUUUCAAAAUCUUAUUAUUAUUAUUAUUAUCAUUAAUUCAAAUUUUCAAAAUCUUAUUAUUAUUAUUAUUAUCAUUAUCAUUAAUUCAACUUUCAAAAUCUGUAUUCUCGUAGUUCAAUUUCUUAAAGUUCAUUUCUUAUUAUUAUUAUUGUUACAAAUUCAACUUUCAAAAGUCUAUGUUCUCGCAGUUCAAUUUCCUAAGGUCCGUUUCUCAUUUUCUUCAACAAAUUUCAAUUCAAUUACUGGGGCUCAAAUCUUUUAAAUUUAAUUCCAAAUACUCCAAUUUUCAAAUAAACUCCAAGGAUCUAGUUUUCACUCGAAUAGUUUUAAUCCCCUUUCAGUUCCUAAAUAAUCUUCCGAUCUUCUUGAUUUUACAUAAGCAAUAAUGAAUUCUUCAUAAUUCUAAAACACGGGAUUUGUGAGACUAGUUCGUGAAUAAUAAAUUGGGCUUUGGUGGGGGGCCCUAUGUUUGAUCCCUAUUGAUUGUCAACUGUUGUGCUUAAUAUAUUUUGCUUGAUCUUGAUUUUGCACUCCGAUAUACAUGAGUUAUAAUUUGUAUUCGUUAAUUGUGUACUAAUCUCAUUUCUUGAUAGCGCAUUCUGAUACUUCACUAUACAUGUUCCGACUCUCAUAUGUGCAUGAUCAUUCAGGAUAUUCAUUGAUUUACUCAUCAAUUACCACAUCAGUUUCAUUUUAUUAGUAAAGACCCGACUUUAGGGGCUUAGAGGGGUGCUACGGUCUUUACCGUACCUUCCCGAUGAGUAACCUGACCCCCGAACCUAAUCCGAUUUUUUCACAGACCACCUUUUCCAAAAUGAGGAGUCGCACUUAGGGUUUUCUUUCUUAUUUUGUUUACCCUUUUAAAAAUAAAACAAAAAUAAGUGGUGACUCCAAGUCAAUUUUUCUUAAUCAAUAAAGAUCAAUUUUUCGAAAUCAAAAUCGAGUUUUGCCAUCGAGUCGGAAACGCAUGAGCCGAAGUGCGGGGUCCACAUUAUGCUUAUAAAAAAUCAAUCAACCACAUUAAGAAUUGAUAAUUUUGAAUACCUAGUAACACAUGGAAAUAAUAAAGAUGAUGAAGAGUAUGUAUAUUCUGGUCUCUUCCUCUCAGAAUUCCCCAUAACUCGCAUCAACUCAUCUCUGAUGUUGUUUGUGAACUCAUUUGUCAGACCCAUAAAACAAUAAACAAGAAUAGAUAAAUAAGAUCUUACCAUCAUAUCACAAGGGCUUCCCUAAAAGGUUGAUGAAAGAACUUAUACCUUCACCCUUUGAGCUUUAGAACAAUGCCCAAAAACCAACCUAAUCAUUGUUUCCUUUUUCUGCACCAUUUCACUAAGACCCAAAAGCCCUAGAUGUUAUUUAUAUUUGGACAUAAAGAACACCUAAAAUAAACAACACAAUGCACGGGCUUAGAAAGCUUUUCAUGCACUAGAUAAACUUAUCUCAAUAAAUUUAGCUUAAUAUUAACCCUUAAAGUUACCCAUUCAUGGUAUAUUAAUGAAUAUAAAUAAAAAAUUUCGAAAGCCUUUUCAAUACGAAAAAUAAAAGAUUUGAUAAAAAAAAUUGGAAACUCAUCUUAUAUGCUUUCUAUAACUAAAAUUUCGAGUGAACAAAAAACUAUUAACUUCAAAUUUUUAAGCUAUUUUUAAAAUUAUUUAUUUUUAAGAUAAAUCUCUAUUAUUUAUAUAAGCACUCAUACUAUCUUUUAUUUUCAAAAAUAAAAAUAUAUAUUCAAAGUCCAAUUAAAUUUUGUAGAAAAUGAAUCUUGAGAAAACUCUCUCAAUCAUUAUUUUUUAUUAUUUAUCUAAACAUGCUUAUCGAAAAUCAAUCAACCAUGUUGAGAAUUGAUAAUUUUGGGUAGCUGGUAACACAUGGAAUCACAAGAAAGUUGAUGAAGAGUAUGUAUAUUAUUUUCUUUUCCUCUUUGAAUUCCUCAAAGCUCACAUGCCACUCAUCUUUGAUGUUGUCCAUGAGCUCACUUGUCACACCCAUAAAACAAUAAACAAUAAGAGAUAAGGAAGAUCAUACUGCAAUGACUUCCCCAAAAGGUUGAUGAAAGAACUUAUACCUUCCCCUUCUGAGCUCUAGAAUAGUGUCGAAAAAACAACCUAAUCUUUCUUUCCUUAUUUUGAACUACAUUUUACCAAGAUCCAAAAGCCCUAGAUUUUAUUUAUAUUUGGACAGAGAGAAUGCCUAAAAUAAAUAGCCUAAUGAAUGGGCUUAGAAAACUUUUUAUGGGCUGGAUAAACUAAGCUCAAAAAAUUUAGCAUAUAAUGUUAACCUUAAAAUUACCCAUUCAAGGUCUAUUAAAUCAAAAUAAAAAUAAAUUUUCAAAAACCUUUUCUAUACAAAAAAUUAAAAAUUUUGAUAGAAAAUUUUGAAAACCUAUGUUAUAUGUUUUUUAUAACUAAAGUUUCAUGUGAACAAAAAGCUGCUAACUUCAAAAUUUUAAGCUAUUUUUAAAAUUAUUUAUUUUAAAAAUAAAUCACUAUUAUUUCUAUAAGAACACAUAUUAUCUUUUAUUUUCAAAAAUGAAAAAUGUAUUCAAAGUCCACUUAAAUUGAGUAGAAAAUGAACCUUGAGCAAACUCUCCUUGUCACAUUAUUUUAUCAUUUACUUACAAAUUUAUGCUUACUGAAAAUCAACCAACUAAUUGAGAAUUGAUAAUUCUAGGUAGCUAGUAAAAUAUAGAAUCACAAGAAAGCUGAUGAAGAGUGUAUAUUCUGGUCUCUGCCUCUCUGAAUUCCUUAAAGCACAUAUCACUUAUCAAAGAUGUCGUCCAUGAACUCGCUCGUCACACCCAAAAAAACAAUCAAUAAGAAGAUAUCAUUCCAAUAGGGCUUCCCCAAAACAUUGAUGAAAGAACUUAUACCUUCACCCAUGUAACUCUAAAGCAAUGCUUAGAAAACAACCUAAUUUUUCUUUUGUUUUCCUGCACCAAUUUUCACCUAGAUCCUAAAGCCCUAGGUGUUAUUUAUAUUUGGACUUGGAGAAUUCCUAAAAUAAAUUAAUAGCCAAAUGCAUGGGAGGAGAAAACUUUUCAUGGACGGGAUAAACUUAGCUCAACAAAUUAAGCUUAAUAUUAAACCUUCUAAUUACCAUUCAACAUCUAUUACAUAAAAAUAAAAUAAUUAAAAAAAAAAACCAUUUGUAUACAAAAAAUAAGAAAAUUUAUAGAAAAGAUUGAAAACUUAUAUUAUAUGCUCUUUAUAACUGAAAUUUGAAGUGAACUAAAAAAUGUCAACUUCAAUUUUUUAAGCUAUUUUUAAAAUUAUUUAUUUUAAGGUAAAUCUCUAUUAUUUAUUGAUUCGUUCCCAAUUGGUGUAUCAGCUGAUUCAUGUCCUCUCAAUGGUCCCCGACAACGGUGCCAUUUGAUUUGUGCCCAGCUGGUGUUCCUUGAUUUUGGUCCCCAUACGGGAGUAAUCAAAAAAAUUUAUAACCUAUUACACCAUGUACUAGGAUAGCCUCGACUAGCAUAGCAUAGUGGCUCUAGGAUCGUUCAUCGGGAUGGGUUUUCACUUCACAAUUGAUAUUAAUUCAAAGCUGAAUUGGUGCUUUUUCAUUUCAAGGUUAGCUUUAAAAGAAAACAUAAAGAUGUUUGAAAAGGCUUGGUUUUAAACUAACCAAAACUAGUAACUGAUUUUAAUUACAAAGAAAAGUGUUUCUUGGAGUUUCAGAUCACUAGGCUUAGGUUGCUUAUACAAAAAGGGAGUUCUGGUCACUUGAAUCUUUUCCUCACAUUGGGGAUUUAACAUAUAGUUAUUUCCCGAACCGGUGUGGUACAAAUGCUUCCCCUUAAUGGGUUCAAACACUAAAUCCCUCUCACUGAUGCAUCUUGCAAUGGCUCAUGCCUCUCACCUAGCAUUUACCAUUCAAGGUGAUCCUUAACCUUGGAUUUCCUUUCUCAAGCUCGCAAGAGAUAACUAAUGGAUGUCUCCUUAGAGUCCAAAAGCUUACCAAGUGUUGGCUAUUCUAGAAAAUCCUACCUUCAAACCACCUCCCAAAGGCUCGCAAGAGAUAAACUAGUGCAUCUCAAUGGAUGGAGAUCACUUGCCUUACCAAGUGUUGGCCCAGGUGAUUUAAAGGCGUUUUAAGUUAACUAAAAACAUAGAAACCAUUAACGGGUCACACUUUCUCUUCAUUAAAAACUGAAACAACAAAACUUCCAAUUUUUGCAUUUGGAAACUUACCCAGCUUUCUUCACUCCAAGAGACAAAGAGCCUGACCACUCAUCCUCUAAGGAAAUCCUUAGAGUUUGAUUUUCUAGCAAUAAAAAUAACGAGAAAACAAAAAUAUGAAAGAAAAGCAGAGCAAGUGCUCUGUAAAAUAUAUUUCUUCCUAUCGUCGAUUACAUAUAUGAUAUAUGAUUUAUUAGUUUUUUCUUUACAUUGGUUCAAAGAUAUAUAUAGAGAAUAUAUUUUCUAAGAAAUAUCUCAAUAAUAUCUUUGACUGAUUACAAGGAGAAAAUAGAAAUUUACACAAAAUAUCUUGAGAAAAAAUCUAACUGAGUCGGUUGCAAAUAUUUGAGAUUGCAUAGGUGGAUUUCGCAAGGUGAUUCACACAUUGAAUUAUCCAUUUUUCAAGUUUAAACUUUGAUUUUGCAAGUUGAAUUUGUGAUUUCGCAACUUGGAGGUGAUUUCACAACUUGGAGAUGAUUUGCAACUUGAUUCGCAGCUUGGAGGUGAUUUCGCAACAUGGUUCGCAGUUGCGAAGAUAGAGUUUCAACUUGCGAAGUGGCACACGUGUGCUUGCAGGUGGUUUCGCAGCUGCGAAACACCUUGCAAAAUUUCGCAAGUGGAUUUCAUUUCGCAGCUCAUUUCGCAGCUACGAAAUGGGCUUUGGGCUGCAAAAUUUUCGCAGCUCAUUUCGUAGCUGCGAAAUUUUCGCACAACUUGAUGCGGUUGUCUUCAAACGGCCAUAACUUCUUCGUUUCAGCUCCGAUUUGCACACCGUUUGAAGUGUUGGACUCCUGAAUUCCCAAGCUUCGAAACAACAUAUAGUAUGCAUGAAAUGGACUCUAGGAAGUACUCAAAAUGUGUCCAACAGUUGAUGUUCUCUUGAAUUUCUUCAUGUUAGAUUUCUUUCUUUUUCCUCCUUGCAUUCUUGAUUGGCUUUAGCAAAGAACUACGAAGCUCCAAAGCUUGGAUUCUUCAUGUAAAUGAGCUUCCAUUUGCUUUGCCAUGGAUUAUAUAAAGCUCUCCCUCAUCUUAAAUUGCUUUGGUGAUAAAAAAAGCUAUCAAAAACACCAAAACUAAACACAAUUUGAUUAGAAACGAUUGCAAGGGUCCUUAACAUGCCAAUUGAGUUAAAAUAUAAUAACUACUACUCAAAAGUGUUUAAAAGAGUUAAUUACAAGCUAUAAAAUAGCACUUUUUGAGUAGUAAUCACUUAUAUAAGGACUAAUACUAUCUUUUAUUUUUAAAAAUAAAAAAUGUAUUCAAAGCCCAUUAAAAUUUUUUAGAAAAUGAAUCUUCAGGGAAACUCUUCUGGUCACAUUAUUUUAUCAUUUUCCUAAAGAUUUAAGCUUAUUGAAAAUCAAUUAACCACACCGAGAAUUAAUAAUUCUAGGUAGCUAGUAACACAUGGAAUCACCAGAAAGCUAAUGGAGACUAUGUAUAUUCUGGUAUCUUACUUUUUGAAUUCCUCAAAUCUCACAUACUAAUCAUCAAAGAUGUUGUCCAUGAGUUCACUCAUCAUGCCCAUGAAACAAUGAACAAGAAGAGAUUAGGAAGAUCAUACUGCAAGGGCUUUCCCUAAAGGUUGAUGACAGAACUUGUCCCUUCACCCUUUGUGCUUUGGAACAAUGCCCAAAAAACAAUGUAAUUUUUCUUUUCUUUUUCUAAAACACUUUUAACAAAGAUCCAAAAGCUCUAGAUGCUAUUUAUAUUUGGACAUAGAGAAUAACUGAAAAAAAAAAAAGUCCAAUGCAUGGGCUUAGAAAACUUAAAUAGUUAUCAAUGAGUUGUUAACACAUUAUCCAUAAUACAAAUGUCAACCACAACACUUAAAUAGUUACUCAAAAUAUAACAUGUCAAUAUUUGAGUAUUCAUGAAGAGUUUUUCAUACUAAUAAAUAUAAAAUUCAUGUCUUUAUUCAUUUUGAAAUUUGGGAUAUGGAGAUUUAAAAUGAGCAUUUGGAAAACCAAAGUUCUCCAAAUCAACCCCUUCUAGAGCCAUGCCACCACCAUCCUCAUCAUCUACAAAAAUAUUAAAUAUAUAUUGACAAGAGAUCAUUUUUAAAGAAAAAAUAAUAAUUAUUGAACUUUUAUAAGUUUACAUAUUCUACUAACCAAUGUGAGCUCGCAAUUGAACUUGAACCUUCUACUUCGCUUAUUGGAAUUGAUCCUUCUUCAUAUAGAAGAUUUUCCAAUUCUUCCACAUCUAGCUCUAUUGGCUCAUCCUCAUCAACUAACCAAAAAUCGGUUUCAUCAAUGCAUGCAUAAUCAAUGGGAUCAUAGGUCAUUUUCUUGUUGUACAACCUAAAAAAGAAAGGCAUAUAAUUAUUCAUAAUUGUCAAUGAAAAAAAUUAAAAUUCAAAACAACUAAGAAAGUAUUUAUAUUGUUUUUUUAACCACAAAUUGUCAUGAAUGUAUACAAGAUCAUUAAGCCUUUCAUGUUCCAAUCUAUUCCUUUUUUUGGUAUGUAUAUGUUCAAACACACUCCAAGUCCUCUCAAAUCCGGAAGACGAUGAAGUUUGUCUCAAUAUUUGAAUGACCAACUUUUGAAAAUAUGGUGCACUAUAUCCAUGUAGCCUCUAUUAUUCAUCUAGUUACUAUUUUCACAUUAAAAAUAAGGAAAAAAAAAAGCAUGAGCAAGUUUAAAAAUAUAAUAAUCUAUAUUUUAAAUGUAAAGCAUACUAGUAAAUAUUAAAUAGAAAGUAGGUAAUUAAUGAAAAAGAGAAAACACACUAAUAAAUUAUCUUUUACUAGGUUGAAGUACUUCAUGUGAAGAACAAGCAAGGUCUCUUCUAAAACAUCCCAAUCGAUCAUGAAACAACUGCAAUUCAUUCAUCAUUUCAUGAUUUCCUUUCAUAACUUUCUGAUUAAUAACAUCUAUUACACCUCCAAUAACUUCUUGCUUAUUAAAAAAGUUUUUUUUUUUUAAUCAUAUUAGAAACAUAGAUUCAACCAAUGAGUUGCUGAAUGAAUGCUUUUCUUUGCUUGUUCAUCCUAGCGUUCCUUUAUGAUUCGUGUAUAAGGCUUGUAUAGUCUUUUAUUGUGGUUAAAUAAUUUCUUGAUGCCCAAACGAGCCUUAUACAUCCUUUCAUACACAUAUCCCAUCAAAGGCCUCUCAUCAUAAUCAACAAUACGUAAUAAGCGCACAAGUGGAGCUAUGAGAUUCAUAACUAUCAAACAAUCAUUCCAAAAUCUGUUAUCCAAGAUGAUAGAAACUACAAUUCUACUUUUAUUAUCCAUUAAAUAUUUAGAGUUCACAAAAAACUUGCUAGUCACCAAAGCUUGCAAGUCAUGUUUAUGAUCAUGAAGGCUCUUUAGUGCAAUGAAUGUAAUAGCAAAGCAAGUUGCAUUAAGUCAAAGAAUAUCCAUCCAUCAUUUCCUUUUUCUCAAUCAACUUAACAAAGCAACAUGAUUAUACACAAAAAUUGUCACCUUUGAUGCGCAUCUUACAAGUUCAACAACAUGGUCCAUCUUACUAGUAUAUUUAAAGAUCAAAUUAAAAAAAUAAGUUGUACAAGGUGACUAAUUGAUUUGUUUAUACUUCUAAGAAAUCAAUCUCUUGGAGGCCACAUAAUUUGUUGCAUUAUCAGUCAUUACAUGAACUACAUUGAGUGAACCAAGCCAUUCAAUCACCUCAUCAAAUAGCAUAAACAAAUUAUUUGCAUCCUUCACAAUAUUUGAAGCAUCAACAUAUUUCACAAACAAUAUUCCUUGAGGAUAAUAAACAAUGUUCUUUGUCUGUUAUCUGUCCAACUAUCACCCAUUAUUAUACACCCAACUUUUACCUAAAUUUUACAAUAAGAGUUCACAAGUAAUUGAACUUCCUUUUUGGCAUCCUUUAAAAGAUUAAACCAUAGUUGAUGGUAAGUUGGACCCUUAUAUCUAAGACCAAUUGCAGACAUAGCAUCCAACAUUGGCUUGAAGUAGAAGGAAUUCGCAAUAUUAAUAGGAAUGCAUGCAUCAUAAAAGAAUCUCUCAACAACCAUAUCUACUUUCCAAAUAUAUUAUUUCGUAGUUAAUACACUCAUGAUGGAAGGUUGAGCCCCUUAAGAAGUCCUUGGUGCAAAAUACUUAUCAAUUGUUGAUUUUUUUUUUCUUUUUCCACUACUAGCUGCCAUAGGAUUUUGCAUUUCUUGAACCUUUUCUCCACAUUCUGGCAUAUCCCUUUCAAAUUGUGACAUAUUAAGACCAUAAGGAUGUUCAUAUUCAUAUGUUUCUUGGGUUGCUUUCUUGGAUUUCACAAACUCCUGCAAAUAAUUUUCCAUUCAAAAUUUACAUUAGGAGGAAUUGAUUUACAUGGACCAAUAUCUUGUUUCACUUCAGCAAGGUAUUGUUUCAUUUUAUGAAUUUCCCUACCUUUUGCAACUUUUUUGCAAUAUAAACAAGCGAGAGCUUUCCUUCCAUUUGUAUAUCUUUCUUUAGAAACAUGCUCUCAUGUAGGGUUGGUCUUGUCUCUAAUUUUUUAAGGAUUUGUAGUUAAAUCUUGACCAGAGGAUGGGGUCAAGUUUGAUUCCAUUUUGAUUUUUUCUAUUAAAUUGUAAACAAAAAUAACAAUUUUAAUCACCAUUCAAUGCAUUCAUCAAUAAAAAUAUAUAUAUUCAACAAGCAUAUUAAUUUAAAGAAUCAAGUCAGUAACAAUUUAAAAAAUCAAAGAAUUAAAGAAUUUAUUAUAGAAAUUUCUUUCAAAAUAAAAAAAUUACUUUCAAAUAAAAAAAUUUAUUAAAAAUUUAAAAAUAAGAUUUUUAUUUAAAAAUUAGAAAAUUUAAGUUUUUUUAAAAUUAUUUAAAAAAUGGAACAUAAUGUUUGAUUCAUUGAUUGUUUCCAAAAAUUUAUUUUAAUUUCUAAUUUUUUUAAUGAUUUUAAUAAUUUAUUUAAAACUCAAAUAAGAUAUUUUAAAAAUCAAUAUAUUUUAAAAAAUGAAAAUAAAGUAAACAAAUAAAUAAAAUAUAAACAAAUGAUUCAAUUAUUCAAAUGAAAUAUCAAUGAAUAUUGAUAUUGUAAUUUAAUAAAUUAGUAUGCAAUAAAAUUAUAAAAUGUUAAAUAAUAAAAAAUUAAAUAAAUUGCAAGAGUCUAAAGUUUCAGCUCAUAGUGGGGGAUUUGGAAUCUAGUGGGGUUAUCGGCAUGCGGAGGCGAUGGUUGCUCCAAUAUGGUGCAACUAUUGGAGACGUGCAAACUAAAGAGGGAGUAAGGAGUGGGAAGGUAAAAAAGGGCUUAUAUACAAAGGAAAACAAUGUCAUUUCGAUGCCAAAUGCAUUAAGACGACGUUGUUUUGAUGGCAAAAAAAAAAAAGGUAUAAGCCAUUUAGUUCGAGGGAAACCAGCUAGUUCACCAAUCUGGCCACUGAAUCCGGUGGUUCGAGGCCAGUCCAACCCUUUGACGGUUCAAAUCACCGAACCAAACCAAAAAAUUGACCUACCAAUAGUCAGACCAAUCGGAUUGGUUGAUCUGGUCUAGUUUUUAAAAUCAUGUUCAUACCUUUAAAGUGUGUUUACAAAAGUAAGAGAAACUCAUACAUAUAUAGUGUUAGAAACAUUUUCCCUAAUUCGAUGUGGAAUAAAUAUCAUAUGUAUUCCCUCAAAAUGUUGAUUCCAAGUAGAUGGACAAAUGAACCAUUUGGUAUUAAAAAGAAAAAAAAAUUACAUGAAUGGUAAUGUGUAUUAAUUUAUUUUUUACUCUUGUUAUAGCACCCCACAUUUAUUCUUAGGGGUAGAACUAUAAAUUAUAAUAAAAUAAAAUAAAUAAAUUUAAUAAGGGUAUAAAGACCUUUUUUGCAUUAAAAGUCCUAGGUAUAAAUUAGAUUUUCUUCAUCUUCUUCAUUCAGAAAACCCUAUUAUACAUAGAUUAGAAAUUCCAAAAUCAACAAAUCUUAACUUUUAAACCAACAUAUCAACCAUAGAAUUUUUUUGUCUAAGCAAUUUCAAACUUAAACAAUAGCUAAUAGUAAUCAAAUUCUAACAUUUAUCAAAGUCCUAAAAAGAGAGUUUAAAUUGUUAGCUCAAGGGUUCUCCUGAUCGUGUUUUGAUGAUAACAAACCAUGGUUAAGUUACUAAUUGGUUUGAAUUAUAAAGAAUUUCAGGUGUUAAUUUGGAAAUUCAUCAAAGAACCCAAUGAAUGCACGAUCAAGACAAUUGGAAGACCUUUAAUUAUAGGAAACAUAUGUAAGAUGAAUGCAUGGGUACACUUAGGAUUUUCAUGCAUCUUUAAAAACUUAGUUUAUGCAUUAAAGUAACAUUUCCAUCUAAAACCGAGUUUUAUCAAAUGAACCUUAGGCAAAUUGUUUAAAAAUUGGCAUAUUAAUUUACCUAAAGAUCUUGCCUAAGUGUUAAAAGUAAAGAGACCAGAAAAAGAUAAGCUUUCGGGCCAAAAAUCAUGAACCAGUUGAGGCACUGGUGAACCGGCUCAACCAAUUAAGGUAUCGAUCGAUCGAUUGACCCUUCUCGGUUGAAGUCUGGUUGAGAGAUGCAAAAAAUCUUUUCUCUCUUCCAGUAGCCUUUCUUUCCCAAUCAAAGGAAUGUAUUCUAGGUCGAGGUUCGGUCAAGGACCGAUCGAGGCCUAACGGUCACUCGCCAUGCAUUUAAUGCUCAACAACUAGUGAACCGGUCGACCCCAAGCUCGACUAGUCGAGAUUGUCUUUUUGGCAUUAUGGCUUCUGAGGCUAGAAACCUAUAAAUUGAGAGCUCCACUUUUUUUAUGAGGAAGAGAAUACCUGCAUUUAUUUGUUUACCUACUUGUUUUUGCCUUAAAAGCUCUCAUUCUUUUCUUAGUGCAUUAAAUCUCCAUUUGCAUAUUCUUUAGUGCACCCUUGUGAUUCUUCUUAACAUUUAAAUUGUAUUUGAGCCCUUGUUGAGCUAGGUUGAGGGUUUCACCUUUUUUUUGGGGGUUUAAACCUUUUGGGGGGGGGGAAAGUGAAAAAAAUUUCUUAAGGCCCUUUUGGGGCCCAAACCCCAGGUGAAAGGGGGUUUAGAGCUUGGGUGAAACCUCCAAUUUAAAGAACCCCCCCCCCCGUUUGGGAAUUUGGGAAAAGGGAAUGUAACAAAGAAAGCCCUAAACCCCUAAAAACAUAAUUUUGGUUUUUUUAACCCUUUUUUUUUUAUUUUUUUUUAAUUUCCGGGGCUAAAAUUUUUGGUUUUGAAAAAAGGUUUUUUAAACCCUAAUUUCCCCUUCCCCCCCCCCCCCCCCCCCCCCUCUUGGGUGUUUUUCUCAAUUAAGAUUAACCUUUAUUUUCUCAAUUGGUAUCAAAGUUAAACUUCUUGUUUAAUACUUAAUCAUCUAAGAGGAUAUGACUAAUCCAUCAAGCUCAUCUCACAUUGAAAGAUUUACAACCAAUAUACCUCAAUUUUUUUAUGGGAACCUAUUAUCCCUAUUGGAAAACUAAAAUGACUUGGUUUUUACAACCAAUUUAGACUUAUGGGAUGUCAUUGAAGAUGACCUAACUUUUCCUUCAAAACUAGUUGAUGGACUCAUGGUUCCAAAACCCAAGCAAGAAUUGGAUGAGCGUGAUAGAAGAAAUUUCCAAUUAAAUUCUAGGAUCGUUUAUACUUUACAAUGUGCUAUGGCUAGAAAUGAAUAUAAUAGAAUUUUUCAUGCAAAUCGGCUAAAGAAAUUUGGAGAUUACUUGACGUAACUCAUAAAGGAAAAAAAUCAAGUUAAAGAGUCAAAAAUCAAUUUACUUGUUCAUGAUUAUGAAUUGUUUUUUAUGAAAGAUAAUGAAACUAUUGUUGACAUGAUUACUAGGUUCACCAACAUUGUCAUUGGUCUUGAAGCUUUGGGAAAGACCUACAAGGAAUCAGAGAAGAUGAUGAAGAUCUUGAGGUCACUUCCAUCAAAGUGGGAUGCAAAGAUCACCGUAAUUCAAGAAGCCAAAGACUUGACCAAACUACCUUUGGAGGAGCUCAUAGGGUCAUUGAUGACAUAUGAGAUCAAUUUGGAAAAGAAACAACAAGAAGGAAAAGACAAAAAGAAGAAGAGCAUAGCUCUCAAAGCUACAACUAAGGAAAAAGAAGAAGUUUAUGAAGAAAAACAAAGUGAAGAAGAUGAAGACUUAGCCCUCAUCACAAGAAAGUGCAACAAGUUCAUGAUGGGUAAAAAGUUUAAAGGAACAAGGUUCACUUCUAGAAGAGACUCCUUUAAAAGGGAAUCUUCAUCCCAUGGUGACAAGGAGAAAUGGUAGGAGAAAAGGGACUUGGUGUGCUUUAAGUGAAAGAAACCGGGACACAUUAAAUAUGAUUAUACUCUUUAGAAAAGUGAAGCCAAGAAGAAAAAGAAGAAGGCAAUGAUGGCCACUUGGAGUGAAAGUGAAGAUGAAUCCUCCGAAGAAGAAAAAGAGAAAGAAGUGGCAAACAUGUGCUUCAUAGCAAUAGAUGAACUUGAUGAGGUAAACUCUAACAUUAGUGAUGAAGAUAUACAUGAUGCUUUUGAAGAAUUGUAGGACGAUUUUAAAAAACUUGGUUUGAAAAAUGUUUCUCUCAAAAAGAAAGUUCAACAACUUGAAAAAGAACUUGGAGAAGUAAAAAAAGAAAAAAUUCAAAUGUUGAAGAUUCUAAAACUUGUCUUGAAAAGGAGAAUGAGAUUUUAAGAAAGAAAAAUGAAUGGUUGACCUCUUCUCUUUCAAUCUUUUUUUGUGGACAAAAAUCUUUUGAAAUGAUUCUAGCUAGCCAAAAAUGUAUUUUUAACAAACAAGGGCUAGGAUUCAAAUUUUUAAGGAAUCAAAAGUAUUUUAAGAACUAUUUUGUAAAGGAAUCCACAAGUGCAAGUCCUUCCACUGCUUGUAACUUUUAUGGAAGAAGAGGACACAUUAGUAGCACAUGCCCUUUAAGAAAUGGUUCUCAAAAGAAUUUAAAUGCAAAAGCUAAAAAGAUUUAGGUUGAAAAAUCCAAGGUCACUAACCCUCAAGGACCCAAGAAGAUAUGGAUACCUAAAUCAAAUUGAGUUGUGUGUUGUAGGGUUCAAAGAAGGAUAAGUGGUUCUUGGAUAGUGGAUGCUUAAGACACAUGAUCAGAGAUGAAUCUAAGUUUUCUUUUCUUACAAAGAAAAAUGGUCACUAACCCUCAAGGAACCAAGAAGAUAUGGAUACCUAAAUCAACUUGAGUUGUGUGUUGUAGGGUUCAAAGAAGGAUAAGUGGUUCCUGGAUAGUGGAUGCUCAAGACGCAUGAUCAGAGAUGAAUCCAAGUUUGCUUUUCUUACAAAGAAAACUGAAGGAUAUAUCACCUUUGGAGACAAUGCAAAAGGAAAAAUCAUUGGUUAGGGCAACAUUGGUAAUGACACAUCUUCUCUUAUUGAAAAUGUUUUAUUAGUAGAUGGUUUAAAACAUAAUCUUUUAAGCAUUAGUUAACUUUGUGACAAAGGUUUUAAAGUGAUUUUUAAAGCAUCUCAUUGCAUUAUAAAGGAUAUUGAAAAUGACAAAACCAUGUUCAUGGGUCAUAGAUGUGAUCAUGUUUACACUAUAAAUAUUUCAAAAUAUGAUGGCCAUGAUAGAUACUUUUUAAGCAUGCAUGAUCAAAGUUGGUUGUGGCAUAGGAGGUUGGGACAUGCUAACAUGGACCUCAUUUCCCAACUCAACAAAGAUGAACUUGUUAGAGGUCUACCCAAAAUAAAUUUUCAAAAAGAUAAAGUUUGUGAAGCUUGUCAAGUGGGAAAGCAAAUAAAAAACUCUUUUAAAAACAAAAACUUCAUUUCCAUAACUAGGCCACUUAAGUUAUUGCAUAUGGAUUUGUUUGGUUCCUCUAGGACACCAAGUCUUGGAGGAAAGUCUUAUGCUUAUGUUAUUAUGGAUGAUUUCUCUAGAUACACAUGGGUUUUGUUUUUAAGUCAAAAGAAUGAAACAUUUUAUGAGUUUUCAAAGUUUUGCAAUAAGGUUCAAAAUGAAAAAGGUUUUACAAUGACUUGUAUGAGAAGUGAUCAUGGGAGAGAAUUUGAAAAUGUUUAUUUUGAAAAUUUUAACAAUGAGCAUGGAAUUUACCACAAUUUUUCGGCUCCUAGAACUCCUCAACAAAACGGGAUAGUUGAAAGGAAAAAUAGAACUAUUCAAGAGAUAGUAAGUAUCAUGCUAAAUGAAAAGAACCGACCAAAAUAUUUUUAGGUCGAAGUGGUUAACACCUCUUGUUAUGUUCUAAAUAGAGUUUUAUUAAGGCUCAUUCUUAAGAAAACUCCCUAUGAGCUUUGGAAAAAAAAGAAGCCCAACAAUAGCUAUUUCAAAGUCUUUGGAUUCAAAUGCUUUAUAUUAAACACCAAAGAUAAUCUUAGAAAAUUUGAUGCAAAAUCGGAUGUUGGAAUUUUCCUUGGUUACUCAACUUCAAUAAAGCUUUUAGAGUUUUCAACAAAAUAACCAUGGUUGUAGAGAAGUCCGUCCAUGAUAUUUUUUAUGAAUCUAACAAUUCUCUCCAAGAAAUAGAGAAUGUUGAUGAUGAUUUAGGUUUGGAGACCUACAUGAGAACAUUACAAAUCGAAGAUAGAAUACAACAAGAAGAGAAUGAAGUGAAUCCCAAGGAAGAAAGGCCACUAUUGACACUACCCCAUCCUCAACAAGUGCAAGGUGAAUCAAGGCAAGACCUUUCUAAAGAAUGGAAGUUUGUCAUCAAUCACCCACAAGAUCAAAUCAUAGGUAAUCCAUCUAGUGGGGUAAGAACUAGAUUCUCUCUUAGAAAUAUUUGCAACAAUGUAGCUAUUAUAUCUCAAAUUCAGCCUAAAAAUAUAAAUGACAUUUUAGAUUAUGAAAAUUAGAUGAUUGUUAUGCAAGAAGAGUUAAAUCAAUUUGAAAGAAGUGAAGUUUGAGAAUUAGUACCAAGACCUUCAAAUCAAAGUUUUAUUGGAACUAGAUGGGUUUUUAGAAAUAAAAUGGAUGAAAAUGACAUAAUUGUUAGAAACAAAGCAAGGUUAGUAGCCCAAGGUUUUAAUUAAGAAGAAGGAAUAGAUUAUGAAGAGACCUUUGCCCUCGUAGCUAGGUUGAAAGCCAUUAGGAUGCUACUUGCCUUUUCAUGUUUUAAAGACUUUAUUUUAUAUCAAAAGGAUGUGAAAAGUGUCUUUUUAAAUGGUUUUAUAAAUGAUGAAGUGUAUGUUGAACAACCACUCAGUUUUGAAAGUUUUAAUUUUCCUAACCAUGUUUUUAAGCUUAAAAAUGCUCUAUACAAUUUGAAACAAGCACCUAGAGCAUGGUAUGGAAGAUUGAGAAAUUUUCUUUUGGAAAAAGGUCUUAUAAUGGGUAAAUUAUUAACACAACUCUUUUCAUAAAAACCAAAUAAAAUGAUAUGCUCUUAGUUCAAAUAUAUGUUGAUGAUAUCAUUUUUUGUGCUACUAGUGUCUCUCUUUGUGAAGAUUUUGCUAAGUGCAUGCAUAGUGAGUUUGAAAUGAGCAUAAUGAGAGAGCUCAACUUAUUUCUUGGACUUCAAGUCAAGCAACUAAAGAAAAAAACCUCCAUCAAUCAAGCAAAGUAUAUAAGAGAUCUUCUCAAAAGGUUCAACAUGGAGAAAACCAAGACAAUGAAGACUCCAAUAAGCUCAUCCAUCAAGCUUAACAAGGAUGAGAAGGGUAAAUCCAUUGACUCUACUAUGUAUAGAGGCAUGAUAGACUCUUUGCUAUACUUGACCACUAGUAGACUUGAUAUUAUGUAUAUUGUAUGCUUGUGUGCUAGAUUUUAAUCUUGUCCUAAAUAAUCUCACUUAAGUGUUGUAAAAAGAAUCCUUAAAUAUUUGAAAGGAACAAUGGACAUAGGCUUAUGGUAUCGUAAGAGUGAUAACUUUGAAUUAAUUGAUUUUUUGGAUGCUGAUUUUGUCAAUUGUAAGGUUGAAAAAAAAAAGCACUAGUGACACUUAUCAUUUCUUAGGACACACUCACUUGUUUUAUGGCAUAGUAAGUAAUAAGCAAAAUUCGAUAGCUUUGUUAAUGAUGAAAUUUGAAUACAUAGCAGUCGGUUUAUAUUGUGCACAAAUUCUUUGGAUGAAACAAACACUUAGUGAUUUUGGUUUAUCUUUUGAGCAUGUACUUAUUAAAUGUGAUAAUACUAGUACCAUAAGUAUAUAAAAAAAAUCUCAUGCAACACUCUAAGACUAAGCAUAUAGAUAUUAGACAUCAUUUUCUUAGAGAUCAUGAACAAAAGGGUGACAUAACACUCGAGUUUGUAAGCACUAAAGAUUAAAUUGUCGAUAUAUUUAACAAAACCUCUAAGUGAAGAACAAUUUGUUGAUAUUAGAAGACAAUUAAGGGUGAUUGCUUUGUGAUCAAAUGUUUGGUUAUGAAUGCUUGAUGUAUAUGCUUAUUUGAUUCAUGUCAUAUGCAUCAUAUAGAACAUCAAAUAGCAUAUACUUAGAAAAUGGUCAAUUUUUUUACCAAAAAAAAAAAAACAAAAAUCAAAAUUCCCCUAGCAUUGGGCAUAAAAAAAAAUUGGGGAAUUCAACUGAAAAAUGUAAAGGAAGAAUUAAAAAAUGAAAAAUGAACAAAAAUGGAAAGUAAAAGGACGUUGACCGCAUUGACCAAGAGGUCGACCAGUUGAUGACCAGUUGACUGGUUCGUUAGGGUUGGGAAUUUUAAGAGCCUCCCGUGUUCUUUUUUCUACACUAUUUUCCUCUAUUAUUCAAGGGUUUUUACCAAUUUUGGCUUGGGAGACUGAUUUUGGUGUGUUUCAGACUUAUUCACCUAAUUUUGAGGGAGACUUGAGGGCUUUGAAGACUAGCGUUUCGAAUUUUGGCCCCAUUUAUUUUUUUUCGAUGCGUCACAACCAGUUUUAGGUGGACUUUGUGCAUUUCUCGUGUGUCAUAGCUAGUUUGGGGUCGUUUUUUGUCCAUUUUCCGUGUGUCUUCUUCUUGCACCGUCUUUUAUAGCUCCCAAACGAGAUUUGUAGCUUCCAAGGCACAGGAUAAGCGCCCAACUGAACCGUCUCAGCCAGACACACGCCAAAAGGCGCAUUUUGACACCACCUUGUUCAAUAUUAUGGAGGAGUACUAGCGGUAUAAGCAGCCUUUUGCUUAAAAACGGGUAGUUAUAGGGCGAAAUAUCAAUUUUCCACAGCUUCAACACUUUGGAUUUGAGAGAUUGUUCACUAAGAUAAGAUGGUUAUCGGUUGUUAUGAUUUUUGAGCCGAUUUUUCUUACACUAGUACAAGUAUUCUACUCAAGGGUGACUUACGGCAUGGGUAGCUUGAUCAUAUCCACUAUGAGAGGAGUUGAGAUUCGCUUAGACCCAGAGACCAUUUGUCUUAUCUUUGAUAUUGCUCUUAUUGGACUCAGAGUAUAUGAGUCCAAGAUGUGGCCCACUAUGUCGGGAUUUGAGCCUAGAGAGGCUAUUCAAACGAUUUAUGGUCUGCCAAAUGCCCAUGGAAUGGGCAAGCCAUCAGCAGAUAGCUUGACAGUCAUCAGUAGAGUGCUACAUCAUAUGCUAUGCUUCAUUUUCCAACCAUAGGGUAGACAUCAAGAUGAGGUCUCCUAUUACGAGGCAUUCCUUACAAAUUCCAUUAUGAAUGGAAGAUGGAUUCAUCUAGGAUAUCUGAUGAUGAUGCACAUGAUUGCAUGUUGUGAGAGCACCACUCGAGUACUCUCCUAUGGCCGCUUCAUUUCCCGAGUAUUCAAGGAUGUCGGCGUUGACCUUAGUAGAGAAAUGGAUUUUGAGGCCCCCAGUACAUAUGAUACAUAUGAUGAUCAGUCCAUGGGGUGGAUGAAAUAUGAGAAGGCUCCAAAUGACUCUUGGAUCAGAAAAGUAGAGAGAGCACAACCAUAGGGACAUGGAAAAACACACCCUGGAGUUGAGAAUGAGGCCUAGAUUAGGGAGGUGGAGGGUGGAGUGGACCCUCAGAGUGGCCAUCAAUAGAGAGGGCUUGAGCUUGACAUUUCCCCACACCAGACAGAGAUUCCUUCACAGACCAGGGGUGUUCAGUUUGAGUCUACCUUCUUUGAGCUGAUGAUGAUUGAGCUGGCUUUUACAAAGUGACCAUCUAUACUGAGAUGUCACGACCUUAGGCACCUCCUGCUCCUGACCAUGCUCAUUGGAUGGAUUUAUCAACUUAAAGUAGCUCACUAGGUACUCAUAUUGAGAAGCUUACAGUGGUUAAUGACACUCACUUCUACUUCUUGGAGGAUCGUAUGGAUCAGUAUCAGACAAAGUUCACUUCUCAGCUUGAGCAUCUACAGCAAAGGAUUGAGUUUAUUGAGGAUCGCAUGAAGCAUUGCAUGGGGAGAUGAUGGCCUACUUGCAUUAUGUGUUUCCGCAUCCACCUCCUCAGCCUUGAUUGGUUAGAGACCUUCUUUGUUCAUUUUUUAUGUCGCAAAAUGGGAAGAUAUUUUAGGAUCUAGGAGGCUAGAUAUAGGAGACUCAUACAUGCAUAUCAUUUUUGUUGAAUCAUACAUUACUUAUCUUUAUUUACGUUAGUUUGAUUGGACAUAUGAUGUAUAGACUGAUACAUUUGACUUAUGAUAUAUAAUAUGCCUAUAUAUUUGAUAACUUACAUUGUUUCUUGUUGCAAUACUCUCUAACAUGUCUUAAUCCUUUUGUUUUUAAUUCUUAAAUUUUAACUGUUGAUCCAUGAUUGGUUUGAGGAGGAAAUUUUUUUCCUCUUAGAUAACCAAGGUUUUUCAUCAUAAAAAAAUGGGAGAUUGUUAGCCCAAGGGUACUCCUAAUCGAGUUUUGAUGAUAACAAAUCAUGGUUAAGUUGCUAAUUGAUUUGAAUUAUAAAGCAUUUCAGGUGUUAAUUUGAAAAUGCAUGAACGGACCCAAUGGAUGUAUGACAAAGACAAUUAGAAGACCUUUAAUAAUAGGAAACAUAUGUAAGAUGAAUGCAUAGGUAAACUUAGGAUUUUCAUGUAUCUUUAAAAACUCAGUUUAUGCAUUAAAGUAACAUUUCCAUCUAAACUCAAGUUUUAUCAAAUGAACCUUAGGCAAAUCAUUUCAAAAUUGGCAUAUUAAUUUACCUAAAGACCUUGCCUAAGUGUUAGAAGCAAAGAGACCAGAAAAAUAUAGGUUUUUGGGCCAAAAAUGGUGAACCGAUCGAGGCACUGGUGAACUGGCUCAACCAAUUAAGAUACUAGUCAACUGGUUGACCUUUCUUGAUUGAGGUCCAAUCGAGAAAUGCAAAAAAACUCUUCUCUCUCUUCCAAUAGCCUUUCUUUCUCAGUCAAGGGAAUGUAUUCCAGGUCAAGGUCCGAUCGAGGCUUAAUGGUCACUUUCCAUGCAAUUAAUGUCCAAUGGACAAUUAACCAGUUGACCGGUCGAGGCUGUUGUUUUGGAAUUUUGGCUCCCAAGGCUAGAAACUAAUAAAUUGAAAGUUCCACUUCAUUUAUGAGGAAGAGAACACUUGUAUUUAUUUUUCUACCUACUUGUUCUUGCCUUAAAAGCUCUCAUUCUUUUCUUGAUGCAUUAAAUCUUCAUUUACAUAUUCUUUAGUGCACCCUUGUGAUUCUUCCUAGCAUUUAAAUUGUAUUUGAGCCCUUGUUGAGCUAGGUUGAGAGUUUCAAACUUGUUAUUUGAGUGUUAGAACCUUCAAGUGAGUAGAGACUUGAAGAGAAUUGUGUAAGAGCUCAUUGGAGCCAAAAUCCAAGUGUAAAGGUGAUUAAAAGCUUGGUUGAAGCUUCAAGUAUAGUGAAACCCUCACUUGGUUAGGAGCUUGAGGAAAAUGGAUACAAAUAAGGAAGUGUUGAACCACUAUAAAACUUAAGUUUGCUUUCUCUAGCUUUAUCUCUUUAUAUUUGUGAUUCUUAUGCUUAAAUUUAUUGUGUUUGGAAAAAAAAAUUCAUACCCCAAUUCACCCUCCUCUUGGGUGUUUUUCUAUAUUAAGAUUAGCUUUUAUUUUCUCAUAAACAAAUGUUCUAAUCAAGCCAAAUUUCUCAUCCUAACCAUCACUCCUUGCCUGAAUUGAGGGCACCUGAAAAAUUAUCAACAAAGGGGUUUGAACUCAAAACCCAAUAAGGAACAUUAAUGUACAAUUCCAUGGAUCAAAUAGUUUCGAUCAUGCUUACAAAUAAGAGAUAUAAGGUUGAGUUCAAAUAUGCUAAUACAUUUUAAUAUGUUCAACCAAACAUUUUCAUAUAUAUCAAAACUAUUUAACAUCAAAUCCAAAUCAAACACAUUUCAAAUAUUUUCACUCUGCUUAUCAUAUAACAAAUGGUGCCCAAUUAAGUGAGACUUCACAAAGAAGUCGUUAGUUUUAAAUUUGUUCCAUUUAAGGUGAACAAAACCAAAGGUCAACAAUCAUAAUAUGUUGACUAGAGCCAUAAACUUAACCAUUAUAACCCAUUGCAUAGCGCCACAUAAUAUCAACUAUUAUAACCCACUGACUAGGGUCGGAAAUGUCAACAAUUAUAACUCGUUGACUAGAGUCAUAGAAACUAGAGACAAACACUUCAUUUCAUUAAUUCAAACUUGCAAAACAAAAUACCAUAGCUCCACAAUUUUUAUCUUUCAUAAACAAAGAAAAUGCUCAAACAUAUUUUUCAUGCAAAACAUAUAUUUAAUCUAUGCAUAAAAAUAAAAAUAAAAAUUUUCAUAAAUCAAAAUAACAUUUAAAAAGAAAUACUUUCUUUUAUAAAAUCUGUAUUAAUUUCCUUUACCUCAUAGCAUCACUCAAAAACCUUGAAGUAUUUAAUCUUGAAGAGUUUUGCCCCAAAGAACCCAUUUCAAACAUAAAAAAAAUGACACCACUAUUACUAUUAACUAUUUAUCUAAAUUUAAGGGUGUGAAAAUCCUAAUAAUUUUAUGUUAUGUCAUCUAUAUUAUUUUUAACUUCUUAAUCAAUAAAAAUUUAAUAAAUGAGUUUCUAAAUUCUUAUAAAAGUUGGGUUCUUUCCAAAAUUUAUUCCCAAGAUUCUAUUAAUUUAUUAUUAUUAUUUUUAAAACUAAAUUUAAAAAAAAAAAUUUCUAUUUAUUAUAGUAAACUAUUAUUAUUACUAAUAUUUCAUUUAUUAGUUUAAAACUAAAUAUUAUUAUUUUUAUUAAUUUUCACAUUCAAUACAUAACCAAGGCAUUACCCUCUAUAUUCAUUUAUUAUUAUAAUACUUUUUUUUCAACAUCUAACUUCCUUUCCCGUGCACACGCUUUUUCCUUCUUUUUUUCUUAACCCUACCCUACACUGCCACUCCACGUCCCCCCAUGUCUUUUAUUUAUUUAUUAAUUUUAUUAUUAUUAUUUUUUUCCUUCUUGACAUCCUAUAAUCCAUUUGUUUUCUUUUUCAAAAAAUCUGGUGCUCAAUGAUUUAUUUUUCUUUCUUAUAUUUUUCUUUUCCUCAAUCUAAAGAUAACUGAACAAUUUUAUUUAUUUUGUUUAAACCUACAAUUUAUUUUCUUCUAUUAUAUUUAUUUAUUUGAUCUAUUUAAUUAAAUAUUCAGAAUUUUCCUAUUUUCAUCAAUAAAUAAAUCUACAUUCAUAAAUUUUUAAUAUUUUGAUCUAAAAAUAUUAAACAAACAAACCUUAAUUUAGAUUAAAACCUUCUAAAGAAGUUUUAAACGGAUCAAAGCUAAUUAAUGAAAUUAAAAUAAUAAUUUAAGGGUUAAAAUUUUACCCGAAAAAUAUGGAUUUUAAACUCUAAACUUUCAAACCUUUAAUCCUAUGUUAAGAUAAGAAAAAUAUAAUUUAUACGUAGGGUUUUUAAAAGCGAAAAUACUUUUAAACUCUUAUUAAAUUAAUUUAAUUAAUUUUUUUUAAUUAUGGUUUUACCCUGGGUUUGGAGUAUUACAAUUUUUUUAUUAAAAAAAAAAUACUUAAGAUAUUUUUAUUCAUUUAAAAUUUUUAUUUAGAAAUUUAAACCAAUAGAGGUUGGCUUUACAAAUUUUGGCCCAGAUAUCUUGAAGAACUUUAUGUGAAAGGUGUAGAAUAUUCGAACCCUUCCUCAAGGGAACGUGAAUCAUAAUUUUGUUGCUGGUUUUAUAUUAAAAUGGGAUAAAUCUAGGAGUCAAUCUUCAACCAAUCAUACAAAAAAGAUGAAGAAACUAGAAUGAACCAGCCAAGCCCUGACGUCAGUUCCUUUGCCCUCCAAUACUAUCCAGACACUACUAUAAGAGUGUCACUCCACCACUCAACUCGAAACAUCCCUUUCUUUCUCUCUUUGCAGUAACUGCUAGUUAGUGAUGGAGCAAACUGAGCUGGUCUUCAUCCCAUUUCCUAUCAUCGGCCACCUUGCGCCUGCACUGGAGAUUGCAAAGCUGCUUACUCAGCGAGACCCCCGAUUCUCAGUCACGAUCUUCAUCAUAAAGUUACCGUUUGGGUCCAUUGAUGGUAUGGACGCGGACUCUGAUUCCGUACGGUUCGUCACACUUCCUCGGGU